rnacentral:lncRNA from 1 species
UUUUUUUUGUUUUGUUUUCUGCAUUAUUUAUUUUCUUUUGUUUUUUGCUAUAUUUUUUAAUUCUUUUUGCUUUUAGUUUUAGAAAAAUUAUAAACUUUCUGUUAGUACUAUUAGUUUUCAAAUUUGAAAACACUUUUUUUGUUUUUUUUGUUUUCUUUCUUGCUUUAUUUAUUUUAUUUUGCUUCUACUUACAACAAAAUACUUAUUGUUGCUACGAGGGUCGAACCAUAAGACAUUAAAGCAUUUCAAAUGAACUAUGAAAAAGUUGAAAGUUGGCAUGGUAUCAUAAAUUCACCCACAUAGCAUGUGCAUGUACAAAAUGGACAAUGGUAUCAUACUCGUGUGUUACAAAGUUGGCAUGGUAUCAUCAUAAUAGUUGUGGAAGAAAGUCUUCACUUUUUCUUCGCUUGUGUCAUUUGCUUAUUGCGCCGUAACCAUGGAUAAUCUUCAUCACUUAUAAGGAUGCUGGGGUCAGCCUUGACUUUGAAGGGAGGAAUUUCAUGAAACUUUUCAUAAUCUUCAGAUAUGUCUGUCUUGCCCUCCACUCCCACAAUGUCCCUUUUUCAUGAAAGAACUAUGUGGCGCUUUGGCUCAUCGUAUGAUGUAUUCACUUUCUUAUCUUUUUUUUUUCUCGGUCUGUUAGACAUAUCCUUCACAUAAAUAACUUGUGCCACAUCAUUGGCUAGGACGAACGGUUUGUCAGUGUACCCAAGAUUUUUCAGAUCCACUGUUGUCAUUCCGUACUGUGGGUCUACCUGUACCCUGCCUCCUGACAGAUUGACCCAUUUGCACUUAAACAAAGGGACCUUAAAAUCAUGUCCAUAGUCAAGUUCCCAUAUGUCCACUAUGUAACCAUAAUAUGUGUCAUUUCCCCUCUCGGUUGUUGCAUUAAAGCGGACACCGCUGUUUUGGUUGGUGCUCUUUUGAUCUUGGUCAAUCGUGUAAAAUGUAUUCCCAUUUAUCUCGUAUCCUUUCCAAAUCGUAACAGUCGAAGAUGGUCCCCUGGACAACAAGUACAGCUCAUCACAAACACUGUUGUCACCUCUGAGACGUGCUUCCAACCAACUGCUGAAAGUCCUGAUGUGUUCACAUGUAAUCCAGUCAUCGCACUGCUCCGAGUGUUUGGAGCGCAGACUGUUCUUGUGUUCAUCGACAUAUGGGGUCACCAAGGUAGAGUUCUGUAGAACUGUGUAGCGUGCUUGAGACCAAGAAUAUUCGUCCCUGCAUAUUAUUGAGUCCCUUCCAAGCAUGCCUUUUCCAGUCAGUCUCCCCUCAUACCGCGAUUGAGGGAGACAUGUCUUCUUAAGGCCAGGAAUGAAGUCAACACAAAACCCGAUGACAUCCUUUGUUUGAUGGCCCAUGGAGAUGCUUCCUUCUGGCCUAGCGCGGUUACGGACAUAUUUCUUUAGGACUCCCAUGAACCUCUCAAAGGGGUACAUAUUGUGUAGAAAUACGGUUCCCAGAAUGACAAUCUCAUCAACUAGAUGAACUAGGAUGUGCGUCAUGAUAUUGAAGAAGGAUGGUGGGAACACCAGCUCGAAACUGACAAGACAUUGCACCACAUCACUCCUUAGCCUUGGUAUGAUUUCUGGAUCGAUCACCUUUUGAGAGAUUGCAUUGAGGAAUGCACAUAGCUUCACAAUGGCUAAUCGGACGUUUUCCGGUAGAAGCCCCCUCAAUGCAACCGGAAGCAGUUGCGUCAUAAUCACGUGGCAGUCAUGAGACUUUAGGUUCUGAAACUUUUUUUCUGACAUAUUUAUUAUUUCUUUUAUAUUCGACGAGAAGCUAGUCGGGACCUUCAUACUAAGCAGGCAUUCAAAGAAGAUUUCCUUCUCUUCUUUGGUAAGAGCAUAGCUGGCAGGACCUUCAUACUGCUUUGGAGGCAUGCCGUCUUUUUCGUGUGAACGUUGCAGGUCCUCCCGUGCCUCAGCUGUAUCUUUUGUCUUCUCAUACACGCCUAAGAAGCCUAGAAGUACGCAAAGGUUCUUCGUCACGUGCAUCACGUCGAUCGAAGAGCGGACCUCUAGGUCUUUCCAUUAGGGUAGGUCCCAAAAUAUAGAUUUCUUCUUCCACAUGGGUGCGUGUCCCCCAGCGUCACUCGGAACAGCUAGUCCGCCGGGACCCUUUCCAAAGAUUACGUGUAAAUCAUUAACCAUAGCAAGUACGUGAUCACCGGUACGCAUGGCGGGCUUCCUCCGGUGAUCUGCCUCGCCUUUGAAAUGCUUGCCUUUCUUUCGACAUUGAUGGUUGGUCGGAAGAAAUCAACGAUGGCCCAGGUACACAUUCUUCCUGCAGCUUCCCAGGUAUAUACUAUCGGUGUCAAGUAAACAGUGCUUGCAUGCGUGGUAUCCCUUCUUUGUCUGUCCUGAAAGGUUACUGAGAGCGGGCCAAUCGUUGAUGGUCACGAACAACAACGCCUUUAGGUGAAAUUUCUCCUGUUUGUGCUCAUCCCACAUACGUACAUCGUUUCCAUUCCACAACUGUAAAAGUUCUUCAACUAAUGGCCUUAGGUACACAUCAAUGUCGUUGCCGGGUUGCUUAGGGCCUUGGAUGAGAACUGGCAUCAUAAUGAACUUCCGCUUCUUGCACAUCCAAGGAGGAAGGUUAUACAUACAUAGAGUCACGGGCCAGGUGUUGUGAUUGCUGCUCUGCUCCCCGAAAGGAUUAAUGCCAUCCGCACUUAAAGCAAACCAUAUGUUCCUUGGGUCACUUGCAAACUCAUCCCAGUACUUUCUCUCGAUUUUUCUCCACUGUGACCCGUCAGCGGGUGCUCUCAACUUCCCGUCUUUCUUACGGUCCUCACUGUGCCAUCGCAUCAACUUGGCAUGCUCUCCGUUUCUAAACAGAUGUUUCAAUCGUGGUAUUAUAGGAGCAUACCACAUCACCUUCGCAGGAACCCUCUUCCUGGGGGGCUCGUCGUUAACAUCACCAGGGUCAUCUCGUCUGAUCUUAUACCGUAAUGCACCGCAUACCGGGCAUGCGUUCAGAUCCUUGUACGCACCGCGGUAGAGGAUGCAGUCAUUAGGGCCUGCAUGUAUCUUCUGCACCUCCAAUCCUAGAGGGCAUACGACCUUCUUUGCUGCGUAUGUACUGUCGGGCAAUUCGUUAUCCUUUGGAAGCUUCUUCUUCAAUAUUUUCAGUAGCUUCUCAAAUCCUUUGUCAGGCACAGCAUUCUCUGCCUUCCACUGCAGCAAUUCCAGUACGGUACCGAGGUUUGUGUUGCCAUCUUCGCAAUUGGGGUACAACCCUUUUUCUGGUCUUCUAACAUGCGAUCGAACUUCAGCUUCUCCUUUUGACUUUCACAUUGCGUCCUUGCAUCGACAAUGACCCGACGGAGAUCAUCAUCAUCGGGCACCGCACAUCGUUUGGUUCCUCUUGAUCUUCAGCAGCUUCGCCUGUUGCAGCAUCAUCGUGCACAUCGUCUGGUUCCUCUUGAUCUUCAGUAGCAUCACCGUAUUCAGGGGGCACAUAGUUGUCAUCAUACUUUUCUUCUUUGCCGUCUUCCAUCAUAACCCCUAUUUCUCCGUGCCUCAUCCAAACAUUAUAGUGUGGCAUGAAACCCUUGUAAAGCAGGUGGGUGUGAAGGAUUUUCCGGUCAGAGUAAGACUUCAUAUUCCCACAUAUAGGGCAUGGACAACACAUAAAACCAUUAUGCUUGUUUGCCUCAGCCAAUUUGAGAAAUUCAUGCACGCCCUUAAUGUACUCGGAGGUGUGUCUUGAACCGUACAUCCAUUGCCGGUUCAUCUGCAUACAUUAUAUAUAAUUAAGUGUGUCAAAAAUUAUUACAGAACAUCAUGAAUAGAUAAUUAAGUGACCAAAUUAAUAGAAGUUCAUCAUCACAUUAAAACCAAAGUACAUACAUAGUUCUCAUCUAACAACAUAAAGCUCUGCAGAGCAUCUAAAUUAAUUAAACCAUACAUUGAAACUAUGUAAAACAUUUCAAUGCGAAAACAAAUGCGAUAAUAAUCGCAACCAAUGUAACAUCUGAUCCAACGGCAUAAUGAUACCAAGCCUCGGUAUGAAUGGCAUAUUUUCUAAUCUUUCUAAUCUUCAAGCGCAUUGCAUCCAUCUUGAUCUUGUGAUCAUCCACGACAUCCCGCAACAUGCAACUCCAAUAUCAUCUUCUCCUCCUCAAUUUUUCUAAUUUUUUCCUUCAAAAAAUUGUUUUCUUCUUCAACUAAAUUUAACCUCUCGACAAUAGGGUCGGUUGGAAUUUCCGGUUCAACAACCUCCUAGAUAAAUAAAAUCUAUGUCACGUUGGUCGGCAUAAUUGUCAUAAACAAUAGAUGAACCAAUAGUUAUGAAAAGAUAAUAUAUACCACAUCCGAAUCAUAGACAGGAGAGGGCCGACGGGGGCGGAUACCAAAACCAUUGCACUAUAUAAGAUGCAAUAAUAAAAGUAAGAAAAUUAUACAAGUAUCUAUAUAUAUAAACAUACAAGUAAGAUUUUUUUUCCUUUCAGAAAGAAGAUAAGAACAAGAGGCUCACCACGGUGGUGCCGGCGACGAGAUCGGCGCGGGCGAUCGACGGCGGUGAAGACGGGGACGGGACGUGACGGACCGCUAAACCUAGACAAAUAUUAAGGAAAAUGGAGCUUGGAGAUCGAGCUUGGAGAGGAGAAAGCUUAAGUAGUGUGGCUCGGGCAUUCCAUCGAACACCUCGUGUGCAUAGGAGGUGAGCUAGAGCACCACAAAACUCUCUCCUCGCCGGCCACGAAAAACAGAGCACUGAGAGUGCUCUGCUCGCGGGCGUAUAUAUAGGCAAUUAAUUGGUCCCGGUUCGUGGCUUGAACCGGGACUAAUGGGAAGCCUUUGGUCCCGGUUCAGGCCACCAACCGGGACCAAUGAUGGUGGGCCAGGACCAAGGCACAUUGGUCCCGGUUCGUCCCACCAACCGGGACCAAAAGGUCCAGACGAACCGGGACCAAUGGCCCACGUGGCCCGGCCAGCCCCCGGGGCUCACGAACCGGGUCCAGUGCCCCCAUUGGUCCCGGUUCUGGAUUGAACCGGGACUAAUGGGCUGACCCGGCCUGGACCAAUACCCCCUUUUCUACUAGUGGCUUGACCACGUGAACUCGUGAAGCCUGCAAAGUUGCAAGUAGAUUCCUGCAUGUAGAUGCUUCCGGCGAAGAAUUAAUUCUGAUCAUGGCUUGAACAUGCCAUAAAAUCAUAGUUUUCCGGAGGAGCAGUCAUUCCGCAUUAUGGCGCCUUCCAAUUGAGUGCAAAUUUCCGGCCCAGGAAAAAAACGAGCUCCAUGCAUGAUCUCGUGAGCCACGUGCACGUUGUCCUUUGAACGGCACACGUGGAUCAGCUUGACGAGAAGCAACACGGGCUGCCGCGUGACUAUUCGAUGCAGCCGGACCAACAUGCCAAAGCACACAGCAGGCCAUCACCGACCAGGGACGGCGCUCCGGUAGAGUUUGCAGCGGAUUAAGGGCCACGAGCCACGACCAUGUCCGCAGAGUUGCACAGCGGGUUAGCAAUUGCAUUUGCAUGGUACGAUGAUACUAUUGCUAGCGAACGAACCUUGCUCUGAUACCAACUUUAGAAAUUUAGGGUUUGUGGUCUACCCCUUAUUCCUCUGCGCUCAUCACUGGUAUCGCUCACAAUUCGCAUAUCUAAGACUAAGGGGCAGGGACCUUCUUAUACUAUUUUUUCAAAGAGUCCACCUCUUAUACAUAUAAGAUUCCUAGUCAUACAACUAGUUUCCGAGAUAGAGUCUAGACCAAAUUACCAACCACGAUCAUAUUUAUCUAUUAACGAAUUAUACCUGUUGUGUUCCAAGAGAACACGCUUGUGAGCAACACGCCAUAAUAAAGUGUAAAUUCCUCGGGGGAGGGGGGGGGGUGUGAUCAACACGAGGGUUGUAAUCUAACUAUGUAUACAAUCUAGCUCUUUCCAAUCAUCAGUGUGCCCGGGUAGUCUUUUCAAUAUAAAUAGUAUAUUUUAUUCCACUAAUAACCGACCAACUUCCUUAAACAUAUAUUACUUAAGUACAUUUCAACAAGUAACAAUUCCAUGCUAAAUAUGUAGAGCAAUUCCAUGUAUAAAUACAUGUAUAAUUCCAUAAUGAGGUAUUCUAAAUAUUUGUAAUUCUUAGUAAUUUGAAGAUAGUUGCAGGACACAUAAUUUCAUAAGACUCUGAUAGCAGCAACUUGAAACGUACGUACAUACAUAUGUCAGACCACUGUUUUUGAGUCGAAGCAGAGCAGUUUGUGAACCACAAGACCAAGAUCAAGCAGCAGGUUUAUCCACCGGUUGGGUGGCUCUUGUAUUCAUCCCUGAAACAUACUUCGUCCAUAAAGAAUUAUAAGAUCAUUUAAAGCACUACUUUAGUGAUCUAAAUGUUUUUAUAUUUCUUCACAAAGGGAGGAAUAAUAUAAUUCAUGGCCUGGAAAAUGCAAUAUUUUUUGAAAAGCCUCAAAUGACUCACGUUCUGCUCUUCUCAUGACUCCAUUUUUUCUUCAUAUGUUAUAUAAUUAAUUAAUAUUCAGGAAAACAUCCUUUUGCCAUUAUCUGCAUUUGCUACCGAUUAACAUUUUGACCACCAUGGUUCAGUAUGAUGCAAAAUAUAUAAAUGUACUGAAUAAUUGACCGGUGAAGAGCAUUGGCUUUAUGGUGUCUUAGCUUAAUUAUAGUGGUCAUCUCUACAUUUUCGCAAACUAAUCAGAAGGCACAGUAAAAUGAAUCUUUUUGAAAAAAAAUGAUGUUUUCAAUAAAUCAUCCAAUAUAUACACCUUUUUUUUAGAGAAAUUAUCCACUAUAUACACUGUGUGGUAACUGUAACAGUAAAAAAGCUAGCUUCAGUUGGUCAGUUGCUACCUUUUCAGGGCACGUUACGUGUUGGUUAGUCCUGACUGCUGGCGACGCAUCCAAAUGAACCAUGCAUAUAUGGCCAUCUUCGUUUCAUGUUUGAGGCAAUAAGAGUUGUCGUGUCGUGUCAGGUCAGAUGGAGAGGAAGGUCUUGACGGCGGCCCUGAAGGUGCGCACCACGGCGGCCCAGGCGGCCUGCGUCGGGUGCACGUCGUCCCAGUAGAAGUAGCGGCCGGGGUCGUCGCAGAGCGUGUACUGCCGCGUGCCGUUCUCGUCCUCCUCGCCGCAGUAGCCGUCCGGCCUGAAGCUCUCGCAGCACGGUCGCAGCAUGCUUUUGAACAACUUGUUGUCACUGUCACCAUUGUUGUCGUCGAGGAGGAAGGCGGCGAAGGGGGUGUGGACGUCGAGGAGGAGGAAGGUGCGGUUGUUGGAGGACCGAAUGGAGCGCGGCGUUGUGCUGGGAGGCGCCGGCGUUAGCCAGCGGGUCGCAGCCGGUGUAGUUGAGCAGGCGGGUGAAUGUCGGCGUGCAACCCAUGGGGUGCAGGUUGGUCACCACCACCCUCCGCAUCCCCGCCUCGUCGCGCAGCCGCCGGAGCUGCCCCCGGAGCUCCCGCACCACCGUUGGGAUGUACGCGAUCGCCGCCUGCACGGCACACAAACACACAGAGCAGUACAACACCGUCAGUCAUGGAUUGGUGGCUUUGACAGACAACGACGGCAAGUGCACGGUGACCACGUACGCUGGUGCCGUUGUUGUCCUUGUCGGCGGCGUAGGCGUAGUCGUUGCCGGAGACGACGACGAGUGCGGUCCUCUUGCCGCUGCCAGCGCGGCAACCAGGACGGUGGUGCAUGGUUUGGAAGAGGUCGAUCUGCGCGCUGAUGUUGCGCUGGAAGUUGCCGGUGUCGAGCACGCCGGCGCCGCCGACGGCGAAGUUCAUGCCGCGCGCGAGGGUCUCCGGCGACGCCCGCGGCCGCGCCUUGUACGCCACCGGCGUCCGCAUCCCCAGAGCCGAAGCUAUACUCACACAAAAAUAGCUAAGUAGAAACACUACGUCGGUGACAGCACAAAACACUCAUCUGAAACAUACUCCCUCCGUUCUUUUUAUAUAAGGUGUAUUAUUUUCGGCACGAUGAACAAGACAUAAAAUUGUAGACAUGUUAGGACAAAAUUACCCUUGGCAAAUUUAUUUUUUAGUGGCAAGUGGAUACAGAUUUGGUGAACAUGGGUGCACAUGCACCCUUUAUGAUAGUAAAAUCGAUAAAAUACUAGAAAAAAUAAAAAAAAGAAUUUAUUUUUAAAAUAUAAAGAGUCAACCGGUGUACUCGUAUAUGAAGUUUCAUGAAGAAAUCACAUCCGUGGUAAUCUGGGCAAAAAAUGACAAAAUCGAAGAUAAUCAAAGCUAUAUUAAAAGACACUGUUUAAUGGAUAGUAUGGUCGCGUUUGUAUUUUCCUCAGUAAGAAUACCAUGGGUGUCACUACACCAUGAAACUUCACAUGUGAGUAGAAUGAUCGAUUAAAAUUCAUACCGUGAAAUUUAAGAAUUUUUUAUUUUUUUUCUAGUAUUUUUUAUGAAUUUACUAUUCAUGUGGUUGCGCGCGCACCCAUGUUCAUCUUUGUAUUUUAGCAAGUAAAUCAGGUAGUCGAGGAAAGUAUGAGAUACAUGCAAUCGACAGAGAGAUAUUUUUCUUCUUUUGCUACAAGGAGAGAUACAGACAAUCAGGAGAGAGAUACUUUCCCUUUUUCUGGAGGGCUAACAAGGUAAUUAUAAGAAAUUAGAAUAAAUGUGCCUUACAUUCUGAAAUUUUAUAAAAAAAAUAAAUACACCUUAUAUAAAGGAAUGGAGUGAGUAGAUCUCAUGGUGUAGUAUAACCAUUUGCCUAUAUGCCAGUUACCUGAAAAUUUAAUCUAACUCGGUCACUUUUCCAACGGCCAAAAAUAGAACACACAUAUUUUAUUUCCUCCCGCAGCGGCCCCUCUGCCACGCCCCGCUCUGCCCUCCCCUCAACCUUCCUCAUCGCCGUUCUAGCCGCCACCCAAGCCAUACUUCUAAGCCACACCCCGAUCAAUAGCUCCCCGACGACCCCGCACCGCCGACUUGCACCCGUCAAGUUUCAGACCUGCUCUCGCCGGCUAUCAUGAGCUCCCGUUUGAUCAGGGCUCGGCCUUGCCAUGGUCGGCGCUCGUCGUUCCUCACGCAGUCCUCACCUUUGGCCUCACGCGAAGCAAAAAGUAUCCGGCGCACAGUUUAAAACUGAGGGUCACUCCGUCCCAUAAUAAGUGUCUCAACUUUCUACUGACUUUAAUGUAAAGUUGUAUAAUAAGAUUGAGACACUUAUUUUGGGAUAGAGGGAGUAGCAGCUAAUUAAUCUAGUUUUUGUGGUGGAAAGGGGAAGACGCCGAGGGUGUGGCUGGAGGUAGGAGUAUCUUACUGUCCCUUUCUGUGGCAUGGAAUGGAAGUGCCAAGUUGUGGCAUUAGUGGUAGCAGAUUCAGAUUUGCUACCAACUUUUGAGACUGUUUUGGUUAUAAAUAAAUAUAUAAACAAAAUAAUAAUGUGCAUGGCACACAUGGCAGCACGUAGUCAGUACGAGAAAGAUCUGGCUCGCUAGUAUAUACUGCGUACAUAUUCAAAUUUCCUGCCGAACCAGAGCAUCGCCGUUGCCUGAAGAAUAUGCAACGCUAUAGUUGGAGAGAGGCAUUUUGGUGGCCGGGCUACCUGUAGGCCGGUAUCUCGCGACGUACGAUAUAGCCCCGCGAUGUGUGCUGACUUUUCUUAUCGCAUAUAUACGCCGGCGGUUAAGUUGAUAUACACUGUUUUUUUUUGAGACAUGGUGAUAUGGGGUGGGGUGCUACCAUUGUACGUGGGCUGGGGUACACGUUGCCACGCAUGAGCCUCAUGUGCCUGCUGGGCUGGUUUGAAAAUAUCGCCCGUGAACCUGACGCAGUGAGUUGGGUUGGUGCGAUAUUAAUUCUCUGGCUCGACGGGCCCAUUUGUGCUCCCGGUAACUUAACUUCCAAGCGGUGGUCAGUUCACUGUCACCAUUCAUCCCCUUUGCCUGGUGGCUGGGCGAGCGACAAAUCGCCAUGGAUGGUCUCGAGUUUUUCUUUGAGGAAGCGGAAUUAGGGUAAAAAACUAGCAAGUGUGCCAAUUUAUUUCUGUUGCACUUGCUCUUUUGCUUCCAGAAUUUGUAUGGCGUGGGAUUUUGAUAGAAUUCCUUUUUUCGCUCAUUUUCUCUGCAUCUUUGUUGGUGGAUCUGAUAGGAUGACAAAUACGGUUGACUUGCAGAUUGGUCCCUAGGGUGGAUGCGGUGGAUAUUUUGGGCGGCGGAGUCGCUACUGUGGGGUCCGUCAGGGGCGGAGCCCAUUGGGCUGACCCGUAUGCACAGGAAUACGGGUGAAAAAAUUCCCUAGCAGUGCCUAUUAGUUAAAAAGGCCGAGUGCAUCAGGGUGGCCCAAGAGCUGUGCAUCAGGGUCAGCCCGUUCCAGCCACUCCGACGCCUCCGGACUGGCCCAACGCAGCAGUACACGCACGCACGACGGUUCGCUUGCGCAUCCACCAUCUCCUCACGUAGUUUUUGUCUAUGAAAAAAAAGAGAAUCUCUUCACGUAGUCACAUCUUUUUUUUCACUAGAAAAAAACUAAUCGAUCCAUCGAUCGAUUUGUGCAUUACGCGUACGAACCCAGCCUACCAUACUCCAUACGCCCCCUGCGCGUCGCCGUCCCACACAGCCGCCGGAGGCGGCAGCGGCAGCGCGCCGGCCGCCGGCCUCCAUGCAGCCUGGGUCCUCACACGGUGACGAAGCGACGCGCACGAGCAACGUUGCACGCCGUCCGGUGCUCGGUAAUUUCGCAUCCUUUUCAAAUUCCAAUCUUGAAGGUUCGUCUCUGUGUCCGCCAAGAUGAUAAAUUACAAAAGGCCACAAUUGUGGUAGGGCCUUUGUCUUGCUUUUCCUAGUUUUGUUGAACUUCAACAAUCAUGUAUAGACUUGUAGUGAAUAUAGUAAAUCACUAUGUUUUAGUAAAAGUGUGGAGUAUUUUUUAGGGUUAUAACUUCUAAUUAGGUUAUAUUUUAUUUGCCUAUACAAUUCUCCAUGUCUCAUUUAUAAUUUAUAUUUGUCGAAUACAGAUACUAUGGACAAGUUUCUUCUCAAAAGAAAUGCACCAUCACAGCCAGAAGACAUAAAUUGGGAAGAGGAGAUUCAGUAUGAUCAGGGCAAUCGCCUCAAUGAUGAAAGUUUGAGUGAUGAUAUUAUUUGUUAUGUGGAGAAGGAAGAAAUGAAAAGGGCCACCAAUGCUCAAGUGGUUGAGUAUUUCAUGGCCUGGAGGAAUAGAAACAAGUGGUUGAGUAUUUCAUGGCCUAGAGGAAUAGAAACAUACUAAGGUAAUUUUCAAUUUUUAGCAAUCUAAGUACUUUCAUUUGGGCUACAUUUCAAGUAGUUAUAUCCCUUGUUUUAUCAUUAUAGUAAGCAAUUUGAUGGCUACAUUUCGUUUUUACAAAUCGCUUCUAUUAUAUCCAAUAAUGUGUGUUAAACCUAUAAAACACACAUUUAUUCAAUACAUCCACGCUUGAAAAAAUUUAUGCCUUGUUAAAGUGGUGCAUCGGGUAAGAUUUGCUCCAGCUCCGCCCCUGGGGUCCGUUGUUGCUUCCAUCUGUGAAGCUCGCGUGAGCUCAGCAUUUGAUCUCUUCUGAUCCCAUGUCCGACAGUGGUGGCGAACUGCAGUUCCUAUAAGAGGACGAGAAAUCGAGAAUGUUGGCUCGUACAACAGUACUAGUGUGAGGUAGUCAAACGACAUGACUCCUGAGAAUAUGACCAAUGCAACAAUGGGAGAAGAUGGAGAUGCGGAGGGUGUCGUCAUGGGCUCCUGCUGGACUCCACGGUAACAACCAAAUACUCAUGCAGAAAAUUAUUAUUCUCAUUUGCCAUUGAUUUUAUUAGUCUAUAAUGUUCAGUCUUGCUCGACCAAUGUUGGUCCUAUAAUUUUCAGUUAGUGGACGCCCCUGCUAGGUCGCACUUUUAGUACUGAGAGUGAUUCUGCAACAUUUUUUCUUGAUCUAUUUAUAUCGGUCUGCACAAGUACAAAAUACAUCGGUGGAGAUUUUUUGAAAAACAUUUGCAAUAUUUCAGAUUGGCAGUGUGUCAGAUGAGUUAUUUUUCUGAUGCCACUGAUUCUUGAAUUUUCAGUGUUGCUGGGACAAGCCUUGGUUCUAUGAUUUUCGGUACAUUCUUGGCACAUGUUGACAAAGUCAAAACCCAUGUCGUUCGGAUGAGUCUUUGUCAGGUGCGCGCGUGGCUGCGCAGACAUCUGUGCACACGACUGCUGUGCCUGCUAUUAUACAUGGGCUGACACUGUUCAAUUUCUAGCAAAUACGAGCACAUUGCAGCGGCCUCUACUGCAAAUACAGUACCUACCUACCGGCUUGGCGCUGAUCACGACGAGCGCAGACGGGUAUGAUAACGGCCUGCAGGUAACCCGGCCACCAAAGAGCAUUUUCGCUAUAGUUGUGCUUAUAUUAUGAGGAGCAACGCUAUAUUAGCAUGCAGUUGAUACUGGUAGCUGAGUGUGAUGCACCACCACCCUAGGUCGUUGUAGCUCUAGCUGCUUUGCAACAAAAAUGUCGGUCUGAUGGUGAGAGGACCUGCCGGCGCGUCAGACAAGCCGACACACAUGGCUCGUCCAUCCAUCCCUGGGAUUCUGACCGGAAGGGUAGAGAGAGUUGGAGUUGCACUGGACGGAUAUGCUGCCUAUGGUGUAUGUAUGUGCCCUACUACUACUACCAUGUCGUGUCAUAUGCAUGCAGUGCAACAAGAGUGGGUUGGUGAAGGAACUAAUCCAGAUUCACGAGGUUGGGCGUGCAGGCGCAGGUGCAUGUGCGCGCGUGGACUGAUGGAGUUAUUAGUUCCACGCAUCCUCCAUGUGUGUCUGCGUGGGUACACAAGUACAGAUGCAUGGGGGAAGGAAUGCAGUCCGGCGUGUGAUCCGGCCAGCCGCCGGCCAUUUUGCCGGCGACAAGCAACUCAUGCACCCAGCCGGUAAUUUCGAAGAAGAUUAGUUACUGCUAUGUCGUCGUCCAAGUAUGUAUCUAUCUGUCAAUGAAUGCGCAAACGAAUUACUCAUCCGUCCAUCGACAACAUCUAUAUAUAUUGGACCGUCCCUGGGCUGGGAUGAUGACGGCCCAGCGGCCAGCGACACGUGUUUACUCCUACCACUGCACCGCACAGCUAUCGCACCGCCGCCGUACCACGUCUUCUCCGGCGAGCGAUUAGCCGAUUACUGCCUCCUACUAGUGGUGAUUGACGGCCAAGAGUAGCAAAGGAGGAGCAGAGUGUGGUGCAUGGGCUUACCGACGAAGUCAGUGAGGACCCGGCCGUCGGAGAAGCGGCCGACGGGGCGGCGGGGUAUAAAUAUGUGUAUGUUACUUUUCAUUGUGGCUAGUCCAACAUCCUGAAGGAAUGGCAUGAAGCUACAGUGACAUGUGUACGUAAAACGAAGGAUGCCACGAGCUACAGUAAAAUACUGUAGCAAUCACUGUGCGAAUUUACCGUAGCAUGUAAAAUAAAUCAAAAAAUCAUUUUAUUAUACCAUAAUUUUGUUUGUAUGUAAUUUUUGUAAAUGUAUGCAAUAGAUUUGUAAUUUAUAAAUUAAUUAUAAUCAUUUUAGACUUAACUAUAUGAAUGUGAAGAAGGGAUGUCACGGUUAUUGUAGUUUAAAUGUUAGAGGAUCCGCUUCCCUCCGGCCGAUGCGACUGAAGUAGAUGGAGACACAGCAGCAAUCAGUGGACGCCUCCAUUAUUCCUUUCCAUCCUCGAAACCAUAAAUAAUGUCACCACCUCAUGCCAUGCGUGUAUAUCUGAAUUUCUCCAUGCAUGCAAUCGCUGCAUCCUGCAUGGUCAACACAUGUAUUCCUACACGCUCUACGUAUGAGACGACGCGUUUUCUUUAAUUUGUAUGUAUACAUGUACUUCCUUCAUUUCUUUUUACUUCGUGUAUAAGGUUUGCCUGAAGUCAAACGACGUGAGGUUUGUCCAAAUUUAUGAUGCAUCUGUUGGCCUAGACUCGACGCCGAGUAUUUCCGGCGACGGCGAUACUCUCCGACGAACUUGACGAAGGGCUUUACGUCGAGUUGCACCACAAUACAAAGCUGGUCACCUGAUCCCUAAUUGAUCCUUGUACGUGCACGAGUACUAGUACUAUAACGCACAAGCACUUCUAGCUGGAAUCGAUCAACUUGAUUGAUCGUCUAGCUAGCUCACGUAUACGGCGCAGCACAAGAAUCAAUUUGAUUGCCGCACGAGACGAGUUGUUUUGUUUGUAUUGCUUUUCACGGUAUAGCUUACAAGAGGUAUAUAUAGUACCUAGGACCGAUCUAAUCUAGCCUACUCGGAUAGAUGUUCUAAUCCUAGUACUAAUAGGUGACAGCUCCGUGUACGAGCCAGACACCGCAACUAAGAGUCGGGUUUAAUUCCAACAAUCACCCCCUAAACACGACGUCAUCACAUCACAGUUCUGACGCCGAUCCUUCUUCCCAUCUCCAAGAGCUUCUCUCUAUCCAACGCUUUGGUCAGGAUGUUCGCCAGCUGAUCAUCGGUGUGAUUGUAGUUGACCUCCGUCUUUCCUUCUUCCAGGCAGUCCUUUAUGUAGUGAUACAUGGUAUCAAUGUGCUUGCUCCUUUCACGCCGCACCGGAUUCUCGGGUAGAAAAGUGAUAGACUCACUGUCAACGUUGAGCACCACUGGUUCCGGAUCUCUCUAUCCAUGAGAUCACCGUGCACACCUUGACACUCUCCUUCACUUGAAGUCGAUGUCACCACAUUCUGCUUUCGUGAUAGCCAGCUUACUAUGCUUCCACUAAGAAAAUAUGCCACAUCCGAGGUACUCUUACGGUCGUCGACAAUUCCUUCCUUGUCACUACCAUUGUAGCCAAGUAGUUUCACCAUCUCCUUCUUGCUCAGCUCAAGACGAGGUUCCAUUGAAGCGACAAUGUGAUUGCAAUUUUUCAUGCCACAGCUUUCAAGUACCUUCCUUGCAUAUGCCUCCUGGCAUAAUGUGACCCCCUCCGUUUUUUGAUGUUCCUCCAUCCCGAGGUAGUAACUCAAAAUACCAGGAUCAUCCAUCUUGAAAGACUCCUUCAUUUGUAGCUUGAACUUUGCAAUCACCUCUUCAUCUGCUCUAGUAAUCAAUAGGUCGUCUUUGUAGAUGCAAACUAGUAGACGAUCCUUUCCUUCACCUCUCUUGUACAUUGCAUGCUCUAGUGGGGCUUUCUCAAAUCCAAGAGAAAUCAAAGUCCGAUCAAGUUCCAUGCUCCAUGCCCGAGAGCCUUGCCGUAGACCGUACAAGACUUUGUGUAGCUUCAGUACCUUGUGUUCUUCUCCCUCUUUGAUGAAUCCCGGUGACUGAUUCAGAUACACAUAUCCUUCUAACUCGCCAUUCAAAAACGCGGAUUUUACGUCCAUGUGAUGUAUCUUCCAUGAUUCCUGAACCGCGAGAGCGAUGAGUAGUCUCACCGAUUUCAUCCUUUCAAUGGGAACGAACACUUCUUCGAAGUCAACACCUUUCUCUUGCACGUACUCUUUGACUACUAGCCUUGCUUUGUGCUUCACGGACCCUUCGACAUCUCUCUUGAUCGUAAAUUCCCACUUGAGAUCCAUGGCUUUUUCAUUGUUGGGAAGAUCCACAAGUCCCCAUGCAUUAUUAUCGUGGAUGGACCUCAACUCAUCUUCCAUAGCUUGACGCCAACACCACUUCGUAUUCGCGUCCUCGAAAUCUGCCGGUUCCUUGGCGCUUGCUAGACACCGCCGCCCACUCCGUUUCACCUUUUCCGGGUCUUUUGUCCAAAGAGCUUCCUCCGGACGUAUAUAGAUCACCGGGCGUGGACGAUCGGUUGUCGGUAGACAUGUCCUUGCUUCCUUCAUGAGCACAGGCGUUACGUUCCCGUUCCCAUCUCCACACGUGGACGCGGUCCCUCCUGGACCUCCACUGUACGAGCCACCAUGGAGGAGUAGCUUGCCACGCCCAGUUGGGCUUCCUGACUCGUUAGCAAAGUUCCCAAGUAUAGUAAAUCUAAAUGUGGACCUUGCUCACCACGUGAGACACCCAGGCCUCCCGCCGGACUAGUCUCUGGCUCAUGUGGGCUUUCACUUGCUGCUGCACCACUACAUGCAGCUGCCUUGCAACCUCCAGCUGCAGCGCUCGCUGAUGGGUGCGAGGCGUCCCGACUCCAUGAGAGACUUCCUGCUCGAGUUGCUACGGCCAGUGCUUCACUAGUAGAAAACAGGGUUUUGGUUUGGUUAGAAAAAAGCAUUAAUCCCGGUUGCAUUUCGAAUCAGGACUAAUGUGAGUAUUAGUCCCGGUUCGAACGGCUAGGGCACCGUACAGACAUUAGUCCCGGUUCAAAUGGGAUCUUUAGUUCCGGUUGGUGCCACGAACCAGUACUAAAGGGUGCGAUGCCCAUUAGUACCGGUUCGUGGCACCAACCGGUACUAAAGGUUAGACCUUUAAUCCCGGUUCGAGCCAUCAACCGGUACUAAUGGGGUUUGAGGCAUUAGUACCGGUUCGUGGCACGAAGCGGUACUAAAGGUCAAAUUUUCAAACUCCCCCUGAUCGCCUUUUCAAUUUUGUAAAAAAAGCAAAAGAAAAUGAUAAAAACUUCAAACAUUAAAAUCCUUCCAGAUGUAGUUAUGUUACUACAUGUACUAGUUAGGAAAAUUUUAAAACUUAAAUCUGGACAUGUUUUGCAAAAAGUGUAGGAAAAAUGUAAAAUGGCUAUAACUUUUGCAUACGAUGUCAGAAAAAAUGUAUAAUAUAUCAAAAUGUUUAGCACGAAAAUCCGCAUCCGAUUUUGACAGCCUAUGGCCUGUUUGCAAAAUUUUAGAAUCCUCAAAUUCUAAAAGGAAAAAAAGUUAUGCUCAAAUUUCAAUUUUUUUUUGAAUUUUGGUUAAAUCAGGUCAAACUUUGGUCAAACUAUUUAUUCAAGAAGUAUUAGUGUUCCUAAAUAAUUAUUCAAUAAUAUUAGUGUUACUAAAUAAUUAUUACAGUUUUUUAGAAUUUUGGUCAAAUCUGGUCAAACUAUGGUCAAAUCUGGUCAAAGUGUGGUCAAACUACUUAUUCAAGAAAUAUUAGUGUUACUACAUAAUUAUUCAAGAAUAUUAGUGUUGCUAAAUAAUUAUUUCAAUUUUUUGAAUUUUGGUCAAAUCUGGUCAAACUGUGGUCAAACUAGUUAUUGAAGAAAUAUUAGUGUUACUAAAUAAUUAUUGUUUUUUAGAAUAAUAGUUUCAAACUCAAACAGUGAAACGUGUGACUUCAUGCUCAAGCUAAAUUCCCGAGGGUUAAUAGAAUUGACAUCUUACUAUUAUCAGGAAAACAACAAGUGCAGACUUGAAAACGAGGGAGAAUAGAACCCAAAAGUUACGCGUGCUCAGGCUGGAGUAGUGAGAGAAUGGGUGACCGGCCAGGAAGUUAGAUGAUUUGGAAUGAUGAUGGGUGAUUAGAGAUUAGAGGUUAAAUUGAGCAGUGAUGAGGGGUGAUUAGAGAUUAAAUUGGAAAAUAUUUCAGAAAUUUAAAAAUUAAGAAAAAUUCAAUUUUUAAAAAAAAAUUCAAUUUUUCCCCGUAAAAUACCUGUAGUCCUGGUUGGUGUUACCAACCGGUACUAAAGGUGGAGCUCCAGACAGCGGCCACAUGGAUGGCCUUUAGUCCCGGUUCGUGUAAGAACCGGGACUAAAGGGGGGAGGCUUUAGUAACGACCCUUUAGUCCCGGUUCCAGAACCUGGACUAAAGGCCUCUUGGAAAUAUGUCCUAGAGGUAAUAAUAAAAUGAUUAUUAUUGUAUUUCCUUGUUCAUGAUAAUUGUCUAUUGUUCAUGCUAUAAUUGUAUUAACUGGAAACCGUAAUACAUGUGUGAAUACAUAGACCACAACAUGUCCCUAGUGAGCCUCUAGUUGACUAGCUCGUUGAUCAAUAGAUGGUUAUGGUUUCCUGACCAUGGACAUAGGAUGUCAUUGAUAACGGGAUCACAUCAUUAGGAGAAUGAUGUGAUGGACAAGACCCAAUCCUAAACAUAACACAAGAUCGCAUAGUUCGUUUGCUAAGAGCUUUUCUAAUGUCAAGUAUUAUUUCCUUAGACCAUGAGAUUGUGCAACUCCCGGAUACAGUAGGAAGCUAUAAAGGUGCACUAUAGGUACCUCCGAAAGUGUCUGUUGGGUUGGCACGAAUCGAGACUAGGAUUUGUCACUCCGUAUGACGAAGAGGUAUCUCUGGGCCCACUCGGUAUUGCAUCAUCAUAAUGAGCUCAAUGUGACUAAGUAGUUAGUCACGAGAUCAUGCAUUACGGAACAAGUAAAGUGACUUGCCGGUAACGAGAUUGAACGAGGUAUUGGGAUACCCACGAUUGAAUCUCGGGCAAGUAACGUACCGAUUGACAAAGGGAAUUGCAUACGGGAUUGAUUGAAUCCCCGACAUCGUGGUUCAUCCGAUGAGAUCAUUGUGGAACAUGUGGGAGCCAACAUGGGUAUCCAGAUCCCGCUGUUGGUUAUUGGCCGGAGAGAUAUCUCAGUCAUGUCUGCAUGAUUCCCGAACUCGUAGGAUCUACACACUUAAGGUUCGGUGACACUAGAGUAGUUAUGGGAGAUAGUAUGUGGUUACCGAAUGUUGUUCGGAGUCCCGGAUGAGAUCCCAGACGUCACGAGGAGUUCCGGAAUGGUCCGGAGGUGAAGAUUUAUAUAUGGGAAGUCCAGUUUCAGUCACCGGAAUGGUUUCGGGGGUUAUCGGUAUUGUACCGGGACCACCGAAAGGUGUCCGGGGUCCACCGGGUGGGGCCACCUGCCCCGGGGGACUUAAUGUGCUGAAUAUGGGAGGGAACCAGCCCCUAAUUGUCUGGUGCGCCCCUCCCCAAGGGCCCAAGGCGCCUAGGGUUGGAAACCCUAGGGGAGGGGGGCGCCUCCACCUUGCUUGGGGGGCAAGUCUCCCCCUCCUGGCCGCCGCCCCCCUCUAGAUGGGAUCUAGAGGGGCCGGCCCCCUCUCCCCUUCACCCUAUAAAUAGAGGGGGGUGGGAGGGCGGUAGCACCCUUGCUUUUGGCGCAGCCCUCUCCCUCCUCCAACACCUCCUCCUCCUCCGUAGUGCUUGGUGAAGCCCUGCCGGAGAACCACGAGCUCCGUCGCUACCACGCCAUCGUGCUGCUGGAGUUUUCCCUCAACUUCUCCUCUCCCAUUGCUGGAUCAAGAAAGAGGAGACGCCCCCGGGUUGUACGUGUGUUGAACGCGGAGGCGCCGUCCGUUCGGCGCUUAGAUUGGAAUCGACCGCGAUCUGAAUCGCUGCGAGUACGACACCACCAACCGCGUUCUUGUAACGCUUCCGCUUAGUGAUCUUCAAGGGUAUGAAUAUGCACUCCCUCUCUCUCUUGUUUCUAGAAUAUCCAUAGAUUGAUCUUGGUGAUGCGUAGAAAAUUUUGAAUUUCUGCUACGUUCCCCAACAGUGGCAUCAUGAGCUAGGUCUAUUGCGUAAAUUCUAUGCAUGAGUAGAACACAAGUUGUUGUGGGCGUCGAUUUUUGUCAAUUUACUUGCCGUUACUAGUCUUAUCUUGAUUCAGCGGCAUUGUGGGAUGAAGCGGCCUGGACCGAACUUACACGUACGCUUACGUGAGACAGGUUCCACCGACUAACAUGCACUAGUUGCAUAAGGUGGCUAGCGGGUGUCUGUCUCUCCCACUUUAGUCGGAUCGGAUUUGAUGAAAAGGGUCCUUAUGAAGGGUAAAUAGCAAUUGGCAUAUCACGUUGUGGUUUUGGCAUAGGUAAGAAACGUUCUUGCUAGAAACCUAUAGCAGCCACGUAAAAACUUGCAACAACUAUUAGAGGACGUCUAACUUGUUCUUGCAGCAUAUGCCGUGUGAUGUGAUAUGGCCAAAAGGAUGUGAUGAAUGAUAUAUAUGUGAUGUAUGAGAUUGAUCAUGUUCUUGUAAUAGGAAUCACGACUUGCAUGUCGAUGAGUAUGACAACCGGCAGGAGCCAUAGGAGUUGUCGUAAUUUAUUGUAUGACCUGCGUGUCAUUGAAUAACGCCAUGUAAUUACUUUACUUUAUUGCUAAACCGUUAGCCAUAGUAGUGGAAGUAAUAGCUGGUGAGACAACUUCAUGGAGACACGAUGAUGGAGAUCAUGAUGAUGGAAAUCAUGGUGUCAUGCCGGUGACAAUGAUGAUCAUGGCGCCCCAAAGAUGGAGAUCAAAAGGAGCAAAAUGAUAUUGGCCAUAUCAUGUCACUAUUUGAUUGCAUGUGAUGUUUAUCAUGUUUUUGCAUCUUAUUUGCUUAGAACGACGGUAGUAAAUAAGAUGAUCCCUCAUAAUAAUUUCAAGAAAGUGUUUCCCCUAACUGUGCGGCUUUGCAAAAGUUCGUUGUUUCGAAGCACCACGUGAUAAUCGGGUGUGAUAGAUUCUAACAUUCACAUACAACGGGUGUAAGCCACAUUUACACAUGCAAAACACUUAGGUUGACUUGACGAGUCUAGCAUGUACAUACAUGGCCUCGGAACACAAGAGACCGAAAGGUCGAACAUGAGUCGUAUAGAAGAUACGAUCAACAUGAAGAUGUUCACCGAUGAUGACUAGUCCGUCUCACGUGAUGAUCGAACACAGCCUAGUUGACUCGGAUCAUGUAUCACUUAGAUGACUAGAGGGAUGUCUAUCUAAGUGGGAGUUCAUUAAAUAAUUUGAUUAGAUGAACUUAAUUAUCAUGAACAUAGUCAAAAGGUCUUUGCAAAAUAUGUCGUAGCUUGCGUUUUAGUUCUACUAUUUUAGAUAUGUUCCUAGAGAAAAUUUAGUUGAAAGUUAAUAGUAGAAAUUAUGCGGACUGGGUCCGUAAACUGGGGAUUGUCCUCAUUGCUGCGCAGAAGGCUUAUGUCCUUAAUGCACCGCUCGGUGUGCUGAACCUCAAACGUUGUCUGUGGAUGUCGCGGACAUCUUACAUACAUGUUUUGAUGACUACGUGAUAGUUCAGUAAUGUUAAACGGUUUAGAAUUGGGGCGCCGAAGACGAUUUUGAAACGUCGCGGAACAUACAAGAUGUUCAAAGGGCUGAAAUUGGGAUUUCAGGUUCGUGCCCAUGUCAAGAGGUAUGAGACCUCCGACGAGUUUCUUAGCCUACAAACUAAGGGAAAAAAGCUCAAUUGUUGAGCAUGUACUCAGAUUGUCUGAGUACUACAAUCACUUGAAUCGAGUGGGAGUUAAUCUUCCAGAUGAGAUAGUGAUGUUUCUCCAAAGUCACUGCCACCAAGCUACUAGAGCUUCGUGAUGAACUAUAACAUAUCAGCGAUAAAUAUGACGAUCCUUGAGCUAUUCACGAUGUUUGACACCGCGAAAGUAGAAAUCAAGAAGGAGCAUCAACUUUAAUGGUUAGUGAAACCACUAGUUUCAAGAAGGGCAAGGGCAAGAAGGGAUACUUCAUGAAACGGCAAAACAAUUGCUGCUCUAGUGAAGAAACCCAAGGUUAAAGCCAAACCCGAGACUAAGUGCUUCUGUAAUAAGGGGAACGGUCACUGGAGCAGAAUUACCCUAGAUACUUGGUAGAUAAGAAGGCAGGCAAGGUCAACAAAAGUAUAUUGGAUAUACAUUAUAUUAAUGUGUACUUUACUAGUACUCCUAGUAGCACCAUCGUAAUAGAUACCGGUUCGGUUGCUAAGUGUUAGUAACUCGAAAUAAAAGGCUACGAAAUAAACUUAGGAUAGCUAAAGGCGAGGUGACGAUAUGCGUUGGAAGUAUUUCCAAGGUUGAUGUGAUCAAACAUCGCACGCUCCCUCUACCAUCGGGAUCGGUGUUAAACCUAAAUAAUUGUUAUUUGGUGUUUGCGUAGAGCAUAGACAUGAUUGGAUUAUGUCUAUCGCAAUACAGUUAUUCAUUUAAGGAGAAUAAUGGUUACUCUGUUUAUUUGAAUAAUACCUUCAAUGGUCUUGCACCUAAAAUGAAUGGUUUAUUGAAUCUCGAUCGUAGUGAUACACAUUUUCAUGCCAAAAGAUAUAAGAUAGUAAUGAUAGUACCACCUACUUGUGGCACUACCAUGUAAGUCAUAUUGGUAUAAAACACAUGAAGAAGCUCCAUGUUGAUGGAUCUUUGGACUCACUCAUUUUUUGAAAAGUUUGAGACAUGUGAACCAUGUCUAUUGGUAUGUAUGCAUGAAGAAACUCCAUGCAGAUGGAUCAUUUGGACUCACUUGAUUUUGAAUCACUUGAGACAUGCAAAUCAUACCACAUGGGCAAGAUGACUGAAAAGCCUCGUUUUCAGUAAGAUGGAACAAGAAAGCAACUUGUUGGAAGUAAUACAUUUUGAUGUGUGCAGUCCAAUGAGUGUUGAGGCACGCAGUGGAUAUCAUUAUGUUCUUACUUCAUAGAUGAUUUGAGUAUAUGCCAAGUGUAUUUACUUGAUGAAACAAAAGUCUGAAUUAUUGAAAGAUUCAAGUAAUUUUAGAGUGAAGUUGAAGAUCAUCGUGACAAAAGGAUAAAAUGUCUAUGAUAUGAUCACAGAGAUGAGUAUCUGAGUUGCAUGUUUGGUACACAAUUAAGACAUUGUGGAAAUUGUUUCACAACUAAUGCCGCCUGGUACACUAUAGUGUGAUGGUGUGUCCGAACGUCAUAUAUGCACCCUAUUGGAUAUGGUGCAUGCCAUGAUGUCUCUUAUCAAAUUACCAUUAUUGUUUAUGGGUUAGGCAUUAGAGACAACCACAUUCACUUUAAAUAGGACACCACGUUAUUCCGUUGAGAUGGCACCAUAUGAACUAUGGUUUAGAGAAACCUAAGUUGUCAUUUCUUAAAAGUUUGGGGCUGCGACGCUUAUCUGAAAAGUUUUUGACUGAUAAGCUCGAACCCAAAGUGGAUAAAUGCAUCUUCAUAGGACACCCGAAACAGUUGGGUAUACCUUCUAUUUCAGAUCCGGAAGCAUAAGGGAUUGUUUCUAGAUUCUGGUCCUUUCUCGAGGAAAAGUUUCUCUUGAAAGAAUUGAGUGGGAGGAUGGUGGAGACUUGAUAAGGUUAUUGAACCGUUACUUCAACUAGUGUGUAGCAGGGCACAUGAAGUUGUUCCUGUGGUGCCUACACCAAUUGAAGUGGAAGCUGAUGAUAUUGAUCAUGAAACUUCGGAUCAAGUCACUGCCAAAACUUGUAGGUCGACAAGGAUACAUACUACUCCAGAGUGAUACGUAAUCCUGUCUUGGAGGUCAUGUUACUAGACAACAAUGAAUCUACGAGCUAUGGAGAAGCGAUGGUGGGCCCGAUUCCGACAAAUGGCUAGAGGCCAUAAAAUCCGAGAGCGGAUCCAUGUAUGAGAACAAAGUGUGGACUUUGGAAGAACUACUUGAUGGUCGUAAGGCUGUUGGGUACAGAUGGAUUUUAAAAGGAAGACGGACAAUGAUCGUAAGUAUCACCAUUAAGAAAGCUCGACUUGUCAUUAAGAUAUUUUCUGACAAGUUCAAGGAGUUGACUACAAUGAGACUUUCUCACUCGUAGCGAUGCUAAGAGUCUGUUGGAAUUAUAUUAGCAAUUACUGUAUUAUUUAUGAAAUCUUGCAGAUAGGAUGUCAAAACGUUAUUUCCUCGACGAUUUUCUUGAGGAAAGGUUGUAUGUGAUAAAACCAGAAGGUUUUGACAAUCCUGAAAGAUGCUAACAAGUAUGCAAAGCUCCAGCAAUCCUUCUAAGGACUGGAGUAAGCAUCUCGGUGUUGGAAUAUACGCUUUGAUGAGAUGAUCAAAGAUGGGUUUAUACAAAGUUUAUGAGAAACUUGUAUUUCCAAAGAAGUGAGUGGGAGCACUAUAGAAUUUCUGAUGAGUAUAUGUUGUUGACAUAUUGUUGAUCAGAAAUGAUGUAGAGUUUCUGGAAAGCAUAUAGGGUUAUUUGUAAAUUGUUUUUCAAUGGAAACCUGGGACUAAGCUACUUGAAAAUUGAGCAUCAAGGUCUAUAAGGAUAGAUCAAAAAACGCUUAAUAGUACUUUCAGAUGAACACAUACCGUGACAAGAUUUUGAAGGAGUUCAAAAUAGAUCGGCAAAGAAGGAGUUCUUGGCUGUGUCAUAAGGUGUGAGUAUUGAGUAAGACUCAAGACCUGACCACGGCAGAAGAGAUAGAAAGGACGAAGGUCAUCCCCUUUGCUUUAGACGUAGGCUCCACAGUAUGCUAUGCUAUGUACCGCACCUAAAGUGUGCCUUGCCAUGAGUCAGUCAAGGGGCACAAGUGUGAUCCAGGAAUGGAUCACAGGACAGCGGUCAAGGUUAUCCUUAGUAACUAGUGGACUAAGGAAUUUUCUCGAUUAUGGAGGUGGUAAAAGAGUUCAUCGUAAAGGGUUACGUCGAUGCAAACUUUGACACUAAUCCGGAUGAUUCUGAGUAGUAAACCGGAUUCGUAUAGUAGAACAGUUAUUUGGAAUAGCUCCAAAUAGAGCGUGGUAGCUGCAUCUACAAGAUGACAUAGAGAUUUGUAAAGCACACACGCAUCUGAAAGGUUCAGACCCAUUGACUAAUAACCUCUCUCACAAGCGAGAUAUGAUCAAACCACAUGGGUGUUGAAUUCAUUACAAUCACAUAGUGAUGUGAACUGGAUUGUUGACUCUAGUGCAAGUGGGAGACUGUUGGAAAUAUGCCCUAGAGGCAAUAAUAAAAUGGUUAUUAUUGUAUUUCCUUGUUCAUGAUAAUUGUCUAUUGUUCAUGCUAUAAUUGUAUUAACUGGAACCGUAAUACAUGUGUGAAUACAUAGACCACAACAUGUCCCUAGUGAGCCUCUAGUUGACUAGCUCGUUGAUCAAUAGAUGGUUAUGGUUUCCUGACCAUGGACAUAGGAUGUCAUUGAUAACAGGAUCACAUCAUUAGGAGAAUGAUGUGAUGGACAAGACCCAAUCCUAAGCAUAACACAAGAUUGUAUAGUUUGUUUGCUAAGAGCUUUUCUAAUGUCAAGUAUCAUUUUCUUAGACCAUGAGAUUGUGCAACUCCUGGAUACCGUAGGAAUGCUUUGGGUGUACCAAACGUCACAACAUAACUGGGUGGCUAUAAAGGUGCACUACAGGUACCUCCGAAAGUGUCUGUUGGGUUGGCACGAAUCGAGACUGGGAUUUGUCUCUCCGUAUGACAGAGAGGUAUCUCUGGGGCCACUCGGUAUUGCAUCAUCAUAAUGAGCUCAAUGUGACUAAGUAGUUAGUCACGGGAUCAUGCAUUACGGAACGAGUAAAGUGACUUGCCGAUAACGAGAUUGAACGAGGUAUUGGGAUACCCUCGAUCGAAUCUCGGGCAAGUAACGUACCGAUUGACAAAGGGAAUUGCAUACGGGAUUGAUUGAAUCCCCGACAUCGUGGUUCAUCUGAUGAGAUCAUCGUGGAACAUGUGGGAGCCAACAUGGGUAUCCAGAUCCCGCUGUUGGUUAUUGGCCGGAGAGAUGUCUCGGUCAUGUCUGCAUGAUUCCCGAACCCGUAGGGUCUACACACUUAAGGUUCGUGACGCUAGAGUUGUUAUGGGAAAUAGUAUGUGGUUACUGAAUGUUGUUCGGAAUCCCGGAUGAGAUCCCGGAUAUCACGAGGAGUUCCGGAAUGGUCCGGAGGUGAAGAUUUAUAUAUGGGAAGUCCAGUUUCAGUCACCGGAAUGGUUUCGGGGGUUAUCAUAUUGUACCGGGACCACUGAAAGGUGUCCAAGGGUCCACCGGGUGGGGCCACCUACCCCGGGGGACUUAAUGGGUUGAAUAUGGGAGGGAACCAACCCCUAGUGGGCUGGUGCGCCCCUCCCCAAGGGCCCAAGGCGCCUAGGGGGUUGGAAACCCUAGGGGAGGGGGCGCCUCCACCGUGCUUGGGGGGCAAGUCUCCCCCUCCUGGCCGCCGCCCCCCUCGAGAUGGGAUCUAGAGGGGCCGGCCCCCUCUCCCCUUCACCCUAUAAAUAAAGGGGGGUGGGAGGGCUGCAUCACCCUUGCUUUUGGAGCAACCCUCUCCCUCCUCCAACACCUCCUCCUCCUCCUCCGUAGUGCUUGGCGAAGCCCUGCCGGAGAACCACGAGCUCCAUCGCCACCACACCGUCGUGCUGCUGGAGUUUUCCCUCAACUUCUCCUCUCCCCUUGCUAGAUCAAGAAGGAGGAGACGUCUCCGGGCUGUACGUGUGUUGAACGCGGAGGCGCCGUCCGUUCGGCGCUUAGAUCAGAAUCGACCGCGAUCUGAAUCGCUGUGAGUAUGAUUCCACCAACCGCGUUCUUGUAACGCUUCCGCUUAGCGAUCUUCAAGGGUAUGAAGAUGCACUCCCUCUCUCUCUUGUUGCUAGAAUAUCCAUAGAUUGAUCUUGGUGAUGCGUAGAAAAUUUUGAAUUUCUGCUACGUUCCCCAACAAGGCCCUUAUGAACCGGGACAAAUGGCCCCUUUUCUACUAGUGCUUUCGGCCUACUCGAGACAUCACAUCCGCCUGUUACUGGGCAGCGUGGCACGGCUCCUGCGCAUAUGCCCACUUUUGUAUCAGCAUACUUUGAUCCAUGAUCUUCGGGCGUCACGUAAACCAAAGAGACAUUCGUGUAUGUAGCAUCGACACAUUCAGAAUUAUGUCUCGUGUCAGUAGCUUCGACACGAGUUUCGAAACUAUGAUUUUGAGAGCGAACUUUUUCUUCACGGAGCGCGACAAAUUCUUUAGCCGACGCUUGAAGAACUGGAUCCUCCUCGUCCACGAGUUCACACAUCAACAUCAUGUCACCUUCAUCACCUUGCUGGGGCAUGAGCGCCCUCUCCUUCGGGGGAUUCUUACACUCCGACUUGAAGUGUCCAAGCAGAUUACAGUUGUGGCAGCGGAUCUUCCUCUUGUCGAACCUUUUCUUCCUUGGCUUCUCCGACUCUUCGUCGGUGUCCUUUGCGGGACGGUACUUUCCACCGCUACUAGACGCCUUGUUGAAGUUGUUCUCCUUGGAAACCAUUGCCUGCCACUAAGCACAUGUAAGCAUCAGGUACUCAUCCUGAUUUGCGUCACCGUAACUCAGUUUCAUACGCUCGUCAUGGGCCUUGAGGCGACCAACCAGAUCAUCCAAAGUGAGAGUCUUGAGAUCAACGCAUUGCUCGAUCACUGACACAAUCGGCAUGUAGCAUGGUGGAGCGGCACGUAGAAAAUGCCAAACCACGGAGAUGUCCUCCAACUUCUCUCCAAGAACGUGAAUCCCGUUCACCAUCGAGGCAACCCUCGCUGUGAAAGCGUCCACCCUCUCGUCCUUGAAGGAAAUAUGCCCUAGAGGCAAUAAUAAAGUUAUUAUUUAUUUCCUUAUAUCAUGAUAAAUGUUUAUUAUUCAUGCUAGAAUUGUAUUAACCGGAAACAUAAUACAUGUGUGAAUACAUAGACAAACAUAGUGUCACUAGUAUGCCUCUACUUGACUAGCUCGUUUAUCAAAGAUGGUUAUGUUUCCUGACCAUAGACGAAAGAGUUGUCAUUUGAUUAACGGGAUCACAUCAUUAGGAGAAUGAUGUGAUUGACUUGACCCAUUCCUUUAGCUUAGCACUUGAUCGUUUAGUAUGUUGCUACUGCUUUCUUCAUGACUUAUACAUGUUCCUGUAACUAUGAGAUUAUGCAACUCCCGUUUACCGGAGGAACACUUUGGGUACUAUCAAACGUCACAGCGUAACUGGGUGAUUAUAAAGGAGUACUACAGGUGUCUCCAAUGGUACAUGUUGGGUUGGCGUAUUUCGAGAUUAGGUUUUGUCACUCCGAUUGUCGGAGAGGUAUCUCUGGGCCCUCUCGGUAAUGCACAUCACUAUAAGCCUUGCAAGCAAUGUGACUAAUGAGUUAGUUGCGGGAUGAUGCAUUAUGUAACGAGUAAAGAGACUUGCCGGUAACGAGAUUGAACUAGGUAUUGGAUACCGACGAUCGAAUCUCGGGCAAGUAACAUACCGAUGACAAAGGGAACAACGUAUGUUGUUAUGCGGUUUGACCGAUAAAGAUCUUCGUAGAAUAUGUGGCAGCCAAUAUGGGCAUCCAGGUCCCGCUAUUGGUUAUUGACUGGAAACAUGUUUCGGUCAUGUCUACAUAGUUCUCGAACCCGUAGGGUCCGCACGCUUAAGGUUUCGAUGAUAGUUAUAUUAUGAGUUUAUGAGUUUUGAUGUACCGAAGGAGUUCGGAGUCCCGGAUGAGAUCGGGGACAUGAUGAGGAGUCUCGAAAUGGUCGAGACGAAAAGAUCGAUAUAUUGGACGACUAUAUUCGGAGUUCGGAAAGGUUCCGAGUGAUUCGGGUAUUUUUCGGAGUACCGGAGAGUUACGGGAAUUCGCCGGGGAGUAUAUGGGCCUUAUUGGGCUAUACGGGAAUAGAGGAGAGAGGCCAAAAGGAAAGAGGCCUGCGCCCCCCCCCUCUGGUCCGAAUUGGACAAGGGGCGCAGCCCCCUUUUCCUUUUCCCUCUCCCCCUCUUUCUCCUUCUCCUACUCCAACAAGGAAGGAGGGAGUCCUACUCCCGGUGGGAGUAGGACUCCCCUUGGUGCGCCCCCUCCUAGGCCGGCCGCACCUCCCCCCUCCCUUCUUUAUAUACGGGGGCAGGGGGCACCCCAUGACACACAAGUUGAUCUACGGAUCGUUCCUUAGCCGUGUGCGGUGCCCCCCUCCACCAUAUUCCACCUCGGUCAUAUCGUCGCGGAGUUUAGGCGAAGCCCUGCGCCGGUAGAACAUCAUCAUCGUCACCAUGCCGUCGUGCUGACGGAACUCAUCCCUGAAGCUUUGCUGGAUCGGAGCCCGAGGAUCGUCAUCGAGCUGAACGUGUGCUGAACUCGGAGGUGACGCACGUUCGGUACUUGGAUCGGUCGGAUCGUGAAGACGUACGACUACAUCAACCGUGUUGUGCUAACGCUUCCACUUACGGUCUACGAGGGUACGUGGACAACACUCUCCCCUCUCGUUGCUAUGCCAUCACCAUGAUCUUGCGUGUGCGUAGGAAAUUUUUUGAAAUUACUACGUUCUCCAACAGUGGCAUCCGAGCCAGGUUUUAUGCGUAGAUGUCAUAUGCACGAGUAGAACACAAGUGAGUUGUGGGAGAUAUAAGUCAUACUGCUUACCAGCAUGUCAUACUUUGGUUCAGCGGUAUUGUGAGAUAAAGCGGCCCGGACCGACAUUACGCGUACGCUUACGCGAGACUGGUUUCACCGCUACGAGCACUCGUUGCUUAAAGGUGACUGGCGGGUGUCUGUCUCUCUCACUUUAGCUGAAUCGAGUGUGGCUACGCCCGGUCCUUGCGAAGGUUAAAACAACACUAACUUGACGAACUAUCGUUGUGGUUUUGAUGCGUAGGUAAGAACGGUUCUUGCUAAGCCCGUAGUAGCCACGUAAAACUUGCAACAACAAAGUAGAGGACGUUUAACUUGUUUUUUCAGGGCAUGUUGUGAUGUGAUAUGGUCAAGACGUGAUGCUAUAUUUUGUUGUAUGAGAUGAUCAUGUUUUGUUGAAGUUAUCGGCAACUGGCAGAAGCUCUAUGGUUGUCUCUUUGUUGCAUAAGAUGCAAGUGCCAAAUAAUUGCUUUACUUUAUCGCUAUGCGAUAGCAAUAGUUGCAAGAGCAAUAGUUGGCGAGACGACCAUGUGAUGACACAUUGAUAUAGAUCAAGAUGAUGAAGAUCAUGGUGUCGUGCCGGUGACGAUAGAGAUCAUGACAGUACUUUGGAGAUGGAGAUCAAAGGCGCAAGAUGAUCAUGGCCAAAGCAUGUCACAUAUUUUGAUUGCAUAUGAUGUUUAUCUGUUAUACAUCUUAUUCUGUUUUGUUUGACGGUAGCAUUAUAAAGAUGAUCUCUCACUAAUUAUCAAGAAGUGUUCUCCCUGAGUAUGCACCGUUGCCAAAGUUCGUCGUGCCCAGACACCACGUGAUGAUCGGGUGUGAUAAGCUCUACGUCCAUCUACAACGGGUGCAAGCCAGUUUUGCACACGUGGAAUACUCAGGUUAAACUUGACGAGCCUAGCAUAUGCAGAUAUGGCCUCGGAACACGGAGACCGAAAGGUCGAGCGUGAAUCAUAUAGUAGAUAUGAUCAACAUAAUGAUGUUCACCAUUGAAAGCUACUCCAUUUCACGUGAUGAUUGGUUAUAGUUUAGUUGAUUUGGAUGACGUGAUCACUUAGAGGAUUAGAGGGAUGUCUUUCUAAGUGGGAGUUCUUAAGUAAUAUGAUUAAUUGAACUUUAAUUUAUCAUGAACUUAGUCCUGGUAGUAUUUUACAAAUUAUGUUGUAGAUCAAUAGCUUGCGUUGUUGCUUUCAUAUGUUUAUUUUUAUAUGUUCCUAGAGAAAAUUGUGUUGAAAGAUGUUAGUAGCAAUGAUGCGGAUUGGAUUCGUGAUCUGAGGUUUAUCCUCAUUGCUGCGCAGAAGAAUUAUGUCCUUGAUGCACCGCUAGGUGACAAACCUAUUGGAGGAGCAGAUGCAGACAUUAUGUGUUGGGGAACGCAGUAAUUUCAAAAAAUUUCCUACGCACACGCAAGAUCAUGGUGAUGGCAUAGCAACGAGAGGGGAGAGUGUUGUCCACGUACCCUCGUAGACCGUAAGCGGAAGCGUUAGCACAGUUGAUGUAGUCGUACGUCUUCACGAUCCGACCGAUCCAAGCACCGAACGUACGGCACCUCCGAGUUCAGCACACAUUCAGCUCGAUGACGAUCCCCGGGCUCCGAUCCAGCAAAGCUUCGGGGAUGAGUUCCGUUAGCACGACGGCGUGGUGACGAUGAUGAUGUUCUACCGGCGCAGGGCUUCGCCUAAACUCCGCGACGAUAUGACCGAGGUGGAAUAUGGUGGAGGGGGCACCGCACACGGCUAAGGAAUGAUCUGUAGAUCAACUUGUGUCCUUUGGGGUGCCCCCCUGCCCCCGUAUAUAAAGGAGCAAGGGGGAGGGGGCCGGCCAAGGGGAGGAGGCGCGCCCAAGGGGGAGAAUCCUACUCCAAGUAGGAUUCCCCCCUCUUUCCUAGUCCAAGUAGGAGAGGGGAAGGAAGGGAAGGAGAAGGAGAAGGAAGGAGAGGGAGGAAAAGGAGGAAAGGGGGGCCGGCCCCCUAGUCCAAUUCGGUUUGGGCUAGGGGGGCCGCGCGCCCUGCCUCCUCUCUUCCACCACUUGGCCCAUGAGGCCCAUUGCUUCUUCCUCGUAUUCCCGUAACUCCCCGGUACCCCCGAAAAUACCCGAAUCACUCGGAACCUUUCCGAACUCCGAAUAUAGUCGUCCAAUAUAUCGAUUUUUACGUCUCGACCAUUUCGAGACUCCUCGUCAUGUCCCCGAUCUCAUCCGGGACUCCGAACUCAUUCGGUACAUCAAAACUCAUAAACUCAUAAUAUAACUGUCAUCGAAACCUUAAGCGUGCGGACCCUACGGGUUCGAGAACUAUGUAGACAUGACCUAGAACUAUUCUCGGUCAAUAACCAAUAGCGGAACCUGGAUGCCCAUAUUGGCUCCUACAUAUUCUACGAAGAUCUUUAUCGGUCAAACCGCAUAACAACAUACGUUGUUCCCUUUGUCAUCGGUAUGUUACUUGCCCGAGAUUCGAUCGUCGGUAUCCAAUACCUAGUUCAAUCUCGUUACUUGCAAGUCUCUUUACUCAUUACGUAAUGCAUCAUUCCGUAACUAACUCAUUAGCUACAUUGCUUGCAAGGCUUAUAGUGAUGUGCAUUACCGAGAGGGCCCAGAGAUACCUCUCCGACAAUCGGAGUGACAAAACCUAAUCUCGAAAUACGCCAACCCAACAUGUACCUUUAGAGACACCUGUAGUACUCCUUUAUAAUCACCCAGUUAUGUUGUGACGUUUGGUAGCACCCAAAGUGUUCCUCCGGUAAACGGGAGUUGCAUAAUCUCAUAGUUACAGGAACAUGUAUAAGUCAUGAAGAAAGCAAUAGCAACAUACUAAACGAUCAAGUGCUAGGCUAACGGAAUGGGUCAUGUCAAUCACAUCAUUCUCCUAAUGAUGUGACCUCAUUAAUCAAAUGACAACACAUGUCUAUGGUUAGGAAACAUAACCAUCUUUGAUUAAUGAGCUAGUCAAGUAGAGGCAUAGUAGUGACUAUAUGUUUGUCUAUGUAUUCACACAUGUAUCAUGUUUCCGGUUAAUACAAUUCUAGCAUGAAUAAUAAACAUUUAUCAUGAAAUAAGGAAAUACAUAAUAACUUUAUUAUUGCCUCUAGGGCAUAUUUCCUUCAGUCUCCCACUUGCACUAGAAUCGAUAAUCUAGUUCACAUCGCUAUGUGAAUUAACACCAAUAUUCACAUCUGCAUGUGAUUAAUACCCAUAGUUCACAUCAUCAUGUGAUCAACACCCAAAGGGUUUACUAGAGUCAAUAAUCUAGUUCACAUCGCUAUGUGAUUAACACCCAAAAGAGUACUAAGGUAUGAUCAUGAUUUGCUCGUGAGAGAAGCUUAGUCAACGGGUCUGUCAUAUUCAGAGCCGUAUGUAUUUUGCAAAUAUUCUAUGUCCACAAUGCUCUGCAUGGAGCUACUCUAGCUAAUUGCUCCCACUUACAAUAUGUAUCCAGAUUGAGACUUAGAGUCAUCUUGGAUUGGUGUAAAAGCUUGCAUCGUUGUAACUUUUAUGACGGGCUCUUUUAUCACCUCCAUAAUCGAGAAACAACUCCUUAGUCUUUACUAAGGAUAUUCUUGACCCAUGUCCAGUGAUCUACUAUUAGAUCAAAAUUGUAUUCCUUUGCCAAACACAGAGCAAGGUAUACAAUAGGUCUGGUUCACAGCAUAGCAUACUUUAUAGAACCUAUGACUGAGGCAUAGGGAAUUACUUUUCAUUCUCUUUCUAUUUUCUGCAAUGGUCGGGUCUUGAGUCUUUACUCAACUUCACACCUUGUAACACAGGCAAGAACUCCUUCUUUGAUUGUUCCAUUUUGAACUAUUUCAAAAAUUUAUCAAGGUAUGUACUCAUUGAAAAAACUUAUCAAGCGUCUUGAUCUAUCUAUAUAGAUCUUGAUGCUCAAUGUGUAAGCAGCUUCACCGAGGUCUUGCUUUGAAAAACUCUUAUUCAAGUAUCCUUUCAUGCUAUCCAGAAUUUCCAUAUCAUUUCCAAUUAAUAAUAUGUCAUCCACAUAUAAUAUUAGAAAUGCUACAGAGCUCCCACUCACUUUCUUGUAAAUACAGGCUUCACCGCAAGUCUGCAUAAAACUAUAUGCUUUGAUCAACUUUUCAAAGCGUAUAUUCCAACUCUGAGAUGCUUGCACCAGUCCAUAGAUGGAUCGCUGGAGCCUGCACAUUUUGUUAGCACCUUUAGGAUUGACAAAACCUUCUAAUUGUAUCAUAUACAAUUCUUCUUUAAUAAAUCCAUUAAGGAAUGUAGUUUUGACAUCCAUUUGCCAAAUUUCAUAAAAUGUGGCAAUUGCUAACAUGAUUCGGACAGACUUUUAAGCAUCGAUACGAGUGAGAAAAUCUCAUUGUAUUCAACACCUUGAACUUUGUCAAAAACCUUUUUCGACAAGUCUAGCUUUGUAGAUAGUGACACUACUAUCAGCAUCUGUCUUCCUCUUGAAGAUCCAUUUAUACAAUAUGGCUUGCCGAUCAUCGGGAAACUCCACCAAAGUCCACAUUUUGUUCUCAUACAUGGAUCCCAUCUCAGAUUUCAUGGCCUCAAGCCAUUUCGCGGAAUCUGGGCUCAUCAUCGCUUCCUCAUAGUUUGUAGGUUCAUCAUGGUUUAGUAACAUGACUUCCAGAAUAUGAUUACCGUACCACUCUGGUGCGGAUUUUACUCUGGAAAACCUACGAGAUUUGGCAGCAACUUGAUCUGAAGUUUCAUGAUCAUCAUCACUAACUUCCUCACUAAUUGGUGUAGUAAUCACUGGAACUGAUUUUUGUGAUGAACUACUUUCCAAUAAGGGAGAAGGUACAAUUACCUUAUCAAGUUCUACUUUCCUCCCACUCACUUCUUUCGAGAGAAACUUCUUCUCUAGAAAGGAUCCAUCUUAGCAACAAAUAACUUGCCUUUGGAUCUGUGAUAGAAGGUGUACCCAAUAGUUUCCUUUGGGUAUUAUAUGAAGACGCACUUUUCUGAUUUGGGUUCGAGCUUAUCAGGUUGAAAAACUUUUUCAUAUAAGCAUCGCAACUCCAAACUUUAAGAAACGACAGCUUAGGUUUACUGCUAAACCAUAGUUCAUACGGUGUCAUCUCAACGGAUUUAGAUGGUGCCCUAUUAAACGUGAAUGCAGCUGUCUUAAUGCAUAACCCCAAAACGAUAGUGGUAAACCAAUAAGAGACAUCGAUCGCACCAUAUCUAGUAAAGUACGAUUACGACGUUCGGACACACCAUUACAUUGUGGUGUUCCAGGUGGCGUGAGUUGCGAAACUAUUUCACAUUGUUUCAAAUGAAGACCACACUCGUAACUCAAAUAUUCGUCUCCACGAUCAGAUCAUAGAAACUUUAUUUUCUUGUUACGAUGAUUUUUCCACUUCACUCUGAAAUUCUUUGAACUUUUCGUCUAUUUCAGACUUAUGUUUCAUCAAGUAGAUAUACUCAUAUCUGCUCAAAUCAUCUUGUGAAGGUCAGAAAAUAACGAUACCCGCCACGAGCAUCAACGCUCAUUGGACCGCAUACAUCGGCACAUAUUAUUUCCAAUAAGUCACUAGCUCGUUCCAUUGUUCCGGAGAAUGGAGUUUUAGUCAUCUUGCCCAAAAGGCACGGCUCAUAAGCAUCAAAUGAUUCAUAACCAAGUGAUUCCGAAAAUCCAUCUUUAUGGAGUUUCUUCAUGCGCUUUACACCGAUAUGACCCAAACGGCAGUGCCACAAAUAAGUUGCACUAUCAUUAUUAACUUUGCAUCUUUUGGCAUCAAUAUUUAUGAUUAUGUGUAUCAAUACUAUCGAGAUCCAAUAAACUAUUUUCAUUGGAUGUAUGACCAUCGAAGGUUUUAUUCAUUUAAAUAGAAUAACAAUUAUUCUCGGCUUCAAAUGAAUAACCGUAUCACAACGAAUAUGAUCAGAUCAUAUUCAUGCUCAACGCAAACGCCAAAUAACAUUUAUUUAGGUUCAACACUAAUCUCGAAAGUGUAGGGAGAGUGUGAUGAUGAUCAUAUCAAUCUUGGAACCACUUCCAAUACAUAUCGUCACUUCACCCUCAACUAGUCUCUGUUUAUUCUGUAACUCCUGCUUCAAGUUACUAAUCUUAGCAACCGAACAAGUAUCAAAUACUCAGAAGCUACUAUAAACACUAGUAAGGUACACAUCAAUAACCUGUAUAUCAAAUAUACCCUUGUUCACUUUGCCAUCCUUCUUAUCCACCAAAUAUUCAGGGCAUUUCCGCUUCCAAUGACCAUUUCUUUUGCAGUAGAAGCACUUAGUUUCAGGUUUUGGUCCAGCUUUGGGCUUCUUCACGGGAGUGACAACUUGCUUGCCAUUCUACUUGAAGUUCCCUUUCUAUCCCUUUGCCCUUCUCUUGAAACUAGUGGUCUUGUCAAUCAUCAACACUUGAUGCUCUUUCUUGAUUUCUACCUUCGUCGAUUUCAACAUCACGAAGAGCUCGGGAAACGUUUUCGUCAUCCCUUGCACAUUAUAGUUCAUCACAAAGUUCUACUAACUUAGUGAUGGUGACUAAAGAACUCUGUCAAUCACUAUCUUAUCUGGAAGAUUAACUCCCACUUGAUUCAAGCGAUUGUAGUACUCAGACAAUCUGAGCACAUGCUCACUAGUUGAGCGAUUCUCCUCCAUCUUUUAGCAAUAGAACUUGUUGGAGACUUCAUAUCUCUCAACUCGGGUAUUUGCUUGAAAUAUUAACUUCAACUCCUGGAACAUCUCAUAUGGUCCAUGACAUUCAAAACAUCUUUGAAGUCCCGAUUCUAAGCCGUUAAGCAUGGUGCACUUAAACUAUCAAGUAGUCAUCAUAUUGAGCUAGCCAAACGUUCAUAACGUCUGCAUCUGCUCCUGCAAUAGGUCUGUCACCUAGCGGUGCAUCAAGAACAUAAUUCUUCUGUGCAGCAAUGAGGAUAAACCUCAGAUCACAGAUCCAAUCCGCAUCAUUGCUACUAACAUCUUUCAACGUAGUUUUCUCUAGGAGCACAUAUAAAAAUAAACAUAUGAAAGCAACAGCGCAAGCUAUUGAUCUACACAUAAUUUGCAAAAUACUACCAGGACUAAGUUCAUGAUAAAUUAAAGUUCAAUUAAGCAUAUUACUUAAGAACUCCCACUUAGACAGACAUCUCUCUAGUCAUCUAAGUGAUUACGUGAUCCAAAUCAACUAAACCAUGUCCGAUCAUCACGUGAGAUGGAGUAGUUUCAAUGGUGAACAUCAUUAUGUUGAUCAUAUCUACUAUAUGAUUCACGCUCGACCUUUCGGUCUCUGUGUUCCGAGGCCAUAUCUGUAUAUGCUAGGCUCGUCAAGUUUAACCCGAGUAUUCCGCGUGUGCAAUUGUUUUGCACCCGUUGUAUUUGAACGUAGAGCCUAUCACACCCGAUCAUCACGUGGUGUCUCAGCACGAAGAACUUUCGCAACGGUGCAUACUCAGGGAGAACACUUCUUGACAAUUAGUGAGAGAUCAUCUUUAAAUGCUACCGUCAAUCAAAGCAAGAUAAGAUGCAUAAAGGAUAAACAUCACAUGCAAUCAAUAUAAGUGAUAUGAUAUUGCCAUCAUCAUCUUGUGCUUGUGAUCUCCAUCUUCGAAGCACCAUCGUGAUCACCAUCGUCACCGGCGCGACACCUUGAUCUCCAUCGUAGCAUCGUUGUCGUUACGCCAUCUAUUGCUUCUACGACUAUCGCUACCGCUUAGUGAUAAAGUAAAGCAAUUACAGGGCGUUUGCAUUUCAUACAAUAAAGCGACAACCAUAUGGCUCCUGCCAGUUGCUGAUAACUUCGGUUACAAAACAUGAUCAUCUCAUACAAUAAAAUAUAGCAUCACGUCUUGACCAUAUCACAUCACAACAUGCCCUGCAAAAACAAGUUAGACGUCAUCUACUUUGUUGUUGCAAAUUUUACGUGGCUCCUACGGGCUUAGCAAGAACUGUUCUUACCUACGCAUCAAAACCACAAUGAUAGUUUGUCAAGUUAGUGCUGUUUUAACCUUCGCAAGGACCGGGCGUAGCCACACUUGAUUCAGCUAAAGUGAGAGAGGCAGACACCCACCAGCCACCUUUAAGCACAAGUGCUCGUAACGGUGAAACCUGUCUCGCGUAUGUGUACGCGUAAUGUCGGUCCGGGCCGCUUCAUCUCACAAUACCGCCGAACCAAAGUAUGACAUGCUGGUAAGCAGUAUGACUUGUAUCGCCCACAACUCACUUGUGUUCUACUCGUGCAUAUAACAUCAACGCAUAAAACCUAGGCUCGGAUGCCACUGUUGGGGAACGCAGUAAUUUCAAAAAAUUUCCUACGCACACGCAAGAUCAUGGUGAUGGCAUAGCAACGAGAGGGGAGAGUGUUGUCCACGUACCCUCAUAGACCGUAAGUGGAAGCGUUAGCACAACGCAGUUGAUGUAGUCGUACGUCUUCACGAUCCGAUCGAUCCAAGCACCGAACGUACGUCACCUCCGAGUUCAGCACACGUUCAGCUCGAUGACGAUCCCCGGGCUCCGAUCCAGCAAAGCUUCGGGGAUGAGUUCCGUCAGCACGACGGCGUGGUGACGAUGAUGAUGUUCUACUGGCGCAGGGCUUCGCCUAAACUCCGCGACGAUAUGACCGAGGUGGAAUAUGGUGGAGGGGGGCACCGCACACGGCUAAGGAAUGAUCCGUAGAUCAACUUGUGUCCUCUGGGGUGCCCCCCUACCCCCGUAUAUAAAGGAGCAAGGGGGAGGGGGCCGGCCAAGGGGAGGAGGCGCGUCCAAGGGGGAGAAUCCUACUCCAAGUAGGAUUCCCCCCUCUUUCCUAGUCCAAGUAGGAGAGGGGAAGGAAGGGAAGGAGAAGGAGAAGGAAGGAGAGGGAGGAAAAGGAGGAAAGGGGGGCCGGCCCCCUAGUCCAAUUCGGUUUGGGCUAGGGGGGCCGCGCGCCCUGCCUCCUCUCUUCCACCACUUGGCCCAUGAGGCCCAUUGCUUCUUCCUCGUAUUCCCGUAACUCCCCGGUACCCCCGAAAAUACCCGAAUCACUCGGAACCUUUCCGAACUCCGAAUAUAGUCGUCCAAUAUAUCGAUUUUUACGUCUCGACCAUUUCGAGACUCCUCGUCAUGUCCCCGAUCUCAUCCGGGACUCCGAACUCAUUCGGUACAUCAAAACUCAUAAACUCAUAAUAUAACUGUCAUCGAAACCUUAAGCGUGCGGACCCUACGGGUUCGAGAACUAUGUAGACAUGACCUAGAACUAUUCUCGGUCAAUAACCAAUAGCGGAACCUGGAUGCCCAUAUUGGCUCCUACAUAUUCUAUGAAGAUCUUUAUCGGUCAAACCGCAUAACAACAUACGUUGUUCCCUUUGUCAUCGGUAUGUUACUUGCCUGAGAUUCGAUCGUCGGUAUCCAAUACCUAGUUCAAUCUCGUUACUGGCAAGUCUCUUUACUCGUUACAUAAUGCAUCAUUCCGUAACUAACUCAUUAGCUACAUUUCUUGCAAGGCUUAUAGUGAUGUGCAUUACCGAGAGGGCCCAGAGAUACCUCUCCGACAAUCGGAGUGACAAAACCUAAUCUUGAAAUACGCCAACCCAACAUGUACCUUUGGAGACACCUGUAGUACUCCUUUAUAAUCACCCAGUUACGUUGUGACGUUUGGUAGCACCCAAAGUGUUCCUCCAGUAAACGGGAGUUGCAUAAUCUCAUAGUUACAGGAACAUGUAUAAGUCAUGAAGAAAGCAAUAGCAACAUACUAAACGAUCAAGUGCUAGGCUAACGGAAUGGGUCAUGUCAAUCACAUCAUUCUCCUAAUGAUGUGACCUCAUUAAUCAAAUGACAACACAGGUCUAUGGUUAGGAAACAUAACCAUCUUUGAUUAAUGAGCUAGUCAAGUAGAGGCAUACUAGUGACUAUAUGUUUGUCUAUGUAUUCACACAUGUAUCAUGUUUCCGGUUAAUACAAUUCUAGCAUGAAUAAUAAACAUUUAUCAUGAAAUAAGGAAAUAAGUAAUAACUUUAUUAUUGCCUCUAGGGCAUAUUUCCUUCAUUAUGAACGUUUGGCUAGCUCAAUAUGAUGACUACUUGAUAGUUUAGUGCACCAUGCUUAACGGCUUAGAAUCGGGACUUCAAAGACGUUUUGAACGUCAUGGACCAUAUGAGAUGUUCCAGGAAUUGAAGUUAAUAUUUCAAGCAAAUACCCGAGUUGAGAGAUAUGAAGUGUCCAACAAGUUCUAUAGCUAAAAGAUGGAGGAGAAUCGCUCAACUAGUGAGCAUGUGCUCAGAUUGUCUGGGUACUUCAAUCGCUUGAAUCAAGUGGGAGUUAAUCUUCCAGAUAAGAUAGUGAUUGACAGAAUUCUCUAGUCACCAUCACUAAGUUACUAGAACUUCGUGAUGAACUAUAGUAUGCAAGGGAUGACGAAAAUGAUUCCCGAGCUCUUCGUGGUGUUGAAAUCAACGAAGGUAGAAAUCAAGAAAGAGCAUCAAGUGUUGAUGAUUGACAAAACCACUAGUUUCAAGAAAAGGGCAAAGGAAAAGAAAGGGAACUUCAAGCAGAAUGGCAAGCAAGUUGUCACUCCCAUGAAGAAGCCCAAAGCUGAACCAAAGCCUGAAACUGAGUGCUUACACUGCAAAGGAAAUGGUCACUGGAAACAGAAAUACCCUGAAUAUUUGGUGGAUAAGAAGGAUGGCAGAGUGAACAAGGGUAUAUUUGAUAUACAGAUUAUUGAUGUGUACCUUACUAGUGUUUAUAGUAGCCCCUGAGUAUUUGAUACUUGUUCGGUUGCUAAAAAAUAGUUAUUCGAAACAGGAGUUACAGAAUAAACAGAGACUAGUUGAAGGGGAAGUAACGAUGAGUGUUGGAAGUAGUUCCAAGAUUGAUAUGAUCAUCAUCGCACACUCCCUAUACUUUCGGGAUUAGUGUUAAACCUAAAUGAAUGUUAUUUGGCGUUUGCGUUGAGCAUGAAUAUGAUUUGAUCAUGUUUAUUGCAAUACGGUAAUUCAUUUAAAGUCAGAGAAUAAUUGUUGUUCUGUUUACAUGAAUAAGACCUUCGAUGGUCAUACACCCAAUGAACAUAGUUUGUUGGAUCUCGAUCGUAGUGAUACACAUAUUCAUAAUAUUGAUGACAAAAGAUGAAAAGUUAAUAAUGAUAGUGCAACUUAUUUGUGGCACUGCGUUUGGGUCAUAUCGGUGUAAAACGCAUGAAGAAAUUCCAUAAAGAUGGAUUUUCGAAAUCACUUGUUUAUGAAUCAUUUGAUGCUUGCGAACCGUGCCUUUUGGGCAAGAUGACUAAAACUCCAUUCUCCGGAACAAUGGAACGAGCUAGUGACUUGAUGGAAAUAAUACAUACCGAUGUAUACGGUCCAAUGAGUGUUGAUGCUCGUGGCGGGUAUCGUUAUUUUCUGACCUUCACAAGAUGAUUUGAGCAGAUAUGAGUAUAUCUUCUUAAUGAAACACAAGUCUGAAACAUUUGAAAAGUUCAAAGAAUUUCAGAGUGAAGUGAAGAAUCAUCGUAACAAGAAAAUAAAGUUUCUAUGAUCUGAUCGUGGAGGAGAAUAUUUGAGUUACGAGUUUGGUCUUCAAUUAAAACAAUGUGGAAUAGUUUCACAAACUCAUGCCACCUGGAACACCACAGCUUAAUGGUGUCUCCGAACGUCAUAACCGUACUUUAUUGGAUAUAGUGCAAUCUAUGAUAUCUCUUAUCGGUUUACCACUUUCGUUUUGGGAUUAUGCAUUAGAGACCGUUGCAUUCACUUUGAAUAGGGCACCAUCGAAAUCCGUUGAGACGACGCCUUAUGAACUGUGGUUUGGCAAGAAACCAAAGUUGUUGUUUCUUAAAGUUUGGGGCUGCGAUGCUUAUGUGAAAAAGUUUCAACCUGAUAAGCUCAAACCCAAAUCGGAGAAGUACGUCUUCAUAGAAUACCCAAAGGUAACUAUUGGGUACACCUUCUAUCACAGAUCUGAAAGCAAGUUUCGUUGCUAAGAUGGAUCCUUUCUAGAGAAGGAGUUUCUCUUGAAAGAAGUGAGUGGGAGGAAAGUAGAACUUGAUAAGGUAAUUGUACCUUCUCCCAAAUUGGAAAGUAGUUCAUCACAGAAAUCAGUUCCAGUGAUGCCUACACCGAUUAGUGAGGAAGUUAAUGAUGAUGAUCAUGAAACUUUGGAUCAAGUUACUACAGAAACUCGUAGGUCUUCCAGAGUAUGGUCCGCACCAGAGUGGUACGGUAAUCCUGUUCUGAAAGUCAUGUUACUAGACCAUGAUAAACCUACGAACUAUGAGGAAGCGAUGAUGAGCCCAGAUUCCGCAAAAUGGCUUGAGGCCAUAAAAUCUGAGAUAGGAUCCAUGUAUGAGAACAAAGUAUGGACUUUGGUUGACUUGCUCGAUGAUCAGCAAGCCAUGUUAAAUAAAUGGAUCUUCAAGAGGAAGACGGACACUAAUAGUAGUGCUACUAUCCACUAAGCUCGACUUGUUGCAAAAGGUUUUCAACAAGUUCAAGGGGUUGAAUACGAUGAGAUUUUCUCACUCGUAUCAAUGCUUAAGUCUGUCCGAAUCAUGUUAGCAAUUGCCACAUUUUAUGAAAUCUGGCAAAUGGAUGUCAAAACUGCAUUCCUUAAUGGAUUUAUUAAAGAAGAGUUGUAUAUGAUGCAACCAGAAGGUUUUGUUAAUCCUAAAGGUACUAACAAAAUGUGCGAGCUCCAGCGAUCCAUCUAUGGACUGGUGCAAGCAUCUCAGAGUUGGAAUAUACGCUUUGAUAAGUUGAUCAAAGCAUAUGGUUUUAUACAGACUUUUGGAAAGGCCUGUAUUUACAAGAAAGUGAGUGGGAGCUCUGUAGCAUUUCUGAUAUUAUAUAUGCAAGACAUAUUGUUGACUGGAAAUGAUAUAGAAUUUCUGGAUAGCAUAAAAGGAUACUUGACUAAAAGGUUUUUCAAUAAAAGACCUCGGUGAAACUGCUUACAUAUUGAGCAUCAAGAUCUAUUGAGAUAGAUCAAGACGCUUGAUAAGUUUUUUCAAUAAGUACAUACCUUGUCAAGAUUUUGAAAUAGCUCAAAAUGGAAAAGUCAAAGAAAGAGUUCUUGCCUGUGUUGCAAAGGUGUGAAAUUGAGUAAGACUCAAGACCCGACCACGGCAGAAAAUAGAAAGAGAAUGAAAGUCAUUCCCUAUGCAUCAGUCAUAGGUUCUAUAAAAGUAUGCCAUGCUAUGGACCAGACAUAUUGUAUACUCUGCCCAGGUUUGGCAAGGGAGUACAAUAGUGAUCUAGGAAUAGAUCACUGGACAUUGGUCAAAAUUAUCCUUAGUAGAAUAAGGAUAUGUUUCUCGAUUAUGGAGGUGAUAAAAGAGUUCGUCGUAAAGAGUUACAUCGAUGCAAGCUUUUACACCGAUCCAGAUGACUCUAAGUCUCAAUCUGGAUACAUAUUGAAAGUGGGAGCAAUUAGCUAGAGUAGCUCCAUGCAAAGCAUUGUAGACAUAGAAUAUUUGCAAAAUACAUACGACUCUGUAAUAUGACAGACCCGUUGACUAAACUUCUCUCACGAGCAAAACAUGAUCAUACCUUAGUACUCUUUGGGUGUUAAUCACAUAGCGAUGUGAACUAGAUUAUUGACUCUAGUAAACCCUUUGGGUGUUGAUCACAUGACGAUGUGUACUAUGGGUAUUAAUCACAUACAGAUGUGAAUAUUGGUGUUAAAUCACAUGAUGAUGUGAACUAGAUUAUUGACUCUAGUGCAAGUGGGAGACUGAAGGAAAUAUGCCCUAGAGGCAAUAAUAAAGUUAUUAUUUAUUUCCUUAUAUCAUGAUAAAUGUUUAUUAUUCAUGCUAGAAUUGUAUUAACCGGAAACAUAAUACAUGUGUGAAUACAUAGACAAACAUAGUGUCACUAGUAUGCCUCUACUUGACUAGCUCGUUUAUCAAAGAUGGUUAUGUUUCCUGACCAUAGACGAAAGAGUUGUCAUUUGAUUAACGGGAUCACAUCAUUAGGAGAAUGAUGUGAUUGACUUGACCCAUUCCUUUAGCUUAGCACUUGAUCGUUUAGUAUGUUGCUAUUGCUUUCUUCAUGACUUAUACAUGUUCCUGUAACUAUGAGAUUAUGCAACUCCCGUUUACCGAAGGAACACUUUGGGUACUACCAAAUGUCACAACGUAACUGGGUGAUUAUAAAGGAGUACUACAGGUGUCUCCAAAGGUACAUGUUGGGUUGGAGUAUUUCGAGAUUAGGUUUUGUCACUCCGAUUGUCGGAGAGGUAUCUCUGGGCCCUCUCGGUAAUGCACAUCACUAUAAGCCUUGCAAGCAAUGUGACUAAUGAGUUAGUUGCGGGAUGAUGCAUUAUGUAACGAGUAAAGAGACUUGUCGGUAACGAGAUUGAACUAGGUAUUGGAUACCGACGAUCGAAUCUCGGGCAAGUAACAUACCAAUGACAAAGGGAACAACGUAUGUUGUUAUACGGUUUGACCGAUAAAGAUCUUCGUAGAAUAUGUGGGAGCCAAUAUGGGCAUCCAGGUCCCGCUAUUGGUUAUUGACUGGAAACAUGUUUCGGUCAUGUCUACAUAGUUCUUGAACCCGUAGGGUCCGCACGCUUAAGGUUUCGAUGACAGUUAUAUUAUGAGUUUAUGAGUUUUGAUGUACCGAAGGAGUUCAGAGUCCCGGAUGAGAUCGGGGACAUGACGAGGAGUCUCGAAAUAGUUGAGACAUAUAGAUCGAUAUAUUGGACGACUAUAUUCGGAGUUCGGAAAGGUUCCGAGUGAUUCGGGUAUUUUUCGGAGUACCGGAGAGUUACGGGAAUUCGCCGGGGAGUAUAUGGGCCUUAUUGGGCUAUACGGGAAUAGAGGAGAGAGGCCAAAAGGAAAGAGGCCUGCGCCCCCCCCCUCUGGUCUGAAUUGGACAAGGGGCGCAGCCCCCUUUUCCUUUUCCCUCUCCCCCUCUUUCCCCUUCUCCUACUCCAACAAGGAAGGAGGGAGUCCUUCUCCCGGUGGGAGUAGGACUCCCCUUGGCGCGCCCCCUCCUAGGCCGGCCGCACCUCCCCCCUCCCUCCUUUAUAUACGGGGGCAGGGGGGCACCCCAUGACACACAAGUUGAUCUACGGAUCGUUCCUUAGCCGUGUGCGGUGCCCCCCUCCACCAUAUUCCACCUCGGUCAUAUCGUCGCGGAGUUUAGGCGAAGCCCUGCGCCGGUAGAACAUCAUCAUCGUCACCACGCCGUCGUGCUGACGGAACUCAUCCCCGAAGCUUUGCUGGAUCGGAGCCCGGGGAUCGUCAUCGAGCUAAACGUGUGCUGAACUCGUAGGUGACGUACGUUCGGUACUUGGAUCGGUCGGAUCGUGAAGACGUACGACUACAUCAACCGCGUUGUGCUAACGGUUCCGCUUACGGUCUACGAGGGUACGUGGACAACACUCUCCCCUCUCAUUGCUAUGCCAUCACCAUGAUCUUGCGUGUGCGUAGGAAUUUUUUUGAAAUUACUAUGUUCCCCAACAGUCCUCUCCCAUCCCUAGAUUCUCGUAACUUUUUAGCAAAGUUUGCAAGUUCGCCUCGCGCACACGCGAGUGCCCUAGAUGCAAUGUCUUGAGCGUGUCCCACGUCUCCUUCGCUGAUGUCUUCGAGAUAAGAUGCUGCUGCAAGUCCACCGGCAUCACUGCAGAUGGCCGUGAUAGUCUGGCGAUCCUUCCGAUACAAGGCACCACCCAUCAGGUACUCGUCACCGCCGGGGUCGACGGCUUCCCAGAGCUCAUUAGCCUCGAGCGCCCAAUCCAUCAUGGUCGCUGAUAACCCACAAGUAUAGGGGAUCGCAACAGUUUUCGACGGUAGAGUAUUCAACCCAAUUUUGUUGAUUCGACACAAGGGGAGCCAAAGAAUAUUCUUAAGUAUUAGCAGCUGAGUUGUCAAUUCAACCACACCUGGAAACUUAGUAUCUGCAGCAAGGUGUUUAGUAGCAAAGUAAUAUGAUAGUGGUGGUAAUGGUAACAAAAGUAAAGACAACAAAAGUAAUGUUUUUGGUAUUUUGUAGUGAUUGUAAUAGUAACAACAGAAAAGUAAAUAAGCGAGAACCAGUAUAUGGAAAACUCGUAGGCACCGGAUCAAUGAUGGAUAAUUAUGUCGGAUGUGGUUCAUCAUGUAACAGUCAUAACAUAGGGUGACACAGAACUAGCUCCAGUUCAUCAAUGUAAUGUAGGCAUGUAUUCCGAAUAUAGUCAUAAGUGCUUAUGGAAAAGAACUUGCAUGACAUCUUUUGUCCUACCCUCCCGUGGCAGCGGGGUCCUAUUGGAAACUAAGGGAUAUUAAGGCCUCCUUUUAAUAGAGAACCGGAACAAAGCACUAGCACAUAGUGAAUACAUGAACUCCUCAAACUAUGGUCAUCACCGGGAGUGGUUCCGAUUAUUGUCACUUCGGGGUUGCCGGAUCAUAACACAUAGUAGGUGACUAUAGACUUGCAAGAUAGGAUCAAGAACUCACAUAUAUUCAUGAAAACAUAAUAGGUUCAGAUCUGAAAUCAUGGCACUCGGGCCCUAGUGACAAGCAUUAAGCAUAGCAAAGUCAUAGCAACAUCAAUCUCGGAACAUAGCGAAUACUAGGGACCAAACCCUAACAAAACUAACUCAAUUACAUGAUAAAUCUCAUCCAACCCAUCACCGUCCAGCAAGCCUAUGAUGGAAUUACUCACGCACGGCGGUGAUCAUCAUGAAAUUGGUGAUGGAGGAUGGUUGAUCAUGACGACAACGACGAAUCCCCCUCUCCGGAGCCCCGAACGGACUCCAAAUCAGCCCUCCUGAGAGAGAUUAGGGCUUGGCGGUGGCUCUGUAUCGUAAAACGCGAUGAUUUCUUCUCUUUGAUUUUUUUCUCCCCGAAAGCCAAUAUAUGGAGUUGGAGUUGGCGUCGGAGGGCCACCAAGGGGCCCACGAGGUAGGGGGGCCACCCAGGGGUGGCGCCCCCACCCUCGAGGACAGGGUGUGGGCCCCCUGGUCUUCUUCUUUGGCGAGGAUUUUUUAUUAAUUAUCCUAAGACAUUCCAUGGAGUUUCAGGUCGUUCCGAGAACUUUUAUUUUCUGCACAAAAACAACACCAUGGCAAUUCUGCUAAAAACAGCGUCAGUCCGGGUUAGUUCCAUUCAAAUCUCACAAGUUAGAGUCCAAAACAAGGGCAAAAGUGUUUGAAAAAGUAGAUACGACGGAGACGUAUCAACUCCCCCAAGCUUAAACCCUUGCUUGUCCUCAAGCAAUUCAGUUGACAAACUGAAAAAGAAAAAAGAAAAACUUUUACAAACUCUGUUUGCUCUUGUUGUUGUAAACAUGAAAAACCAGCAUUCAAGUUUCAGCAAAUAUUAUGAACUAACCAUUCUCACAAUAACACAAAGGUCUCACAAUUACUCAUAUCAAUAGCAUAAUCAGCUAGCGAGCUAUAAUAACAAAACUCGGAUGACAACACUUUCUCAAAAUAAUCAUAACAUGAUAUAACGGAAUGGUAUCUCGCUAGCCCUUUCUGAGACCACAAAACAUAAAUGCAGAGCACCUUCAAAGAUCAAGGACUGACUAAACAUUGUAAUUCAUGGUAAAAGAGAUCCAGUCAAGUCAUACCCAAUAUAAACCAAUAAUAAUGAAUGCAAACGACAGUGUGCUCUCCAGCGGGUGCUUUUUAGUAAGAAGGAUGAUGACUCAACAUAAAAGUAAAUAGAUAGGACCUUCGCAGAGGGAAGCAUGGAUUUGUAGAGGUGCCAGAGCUCGGUUUUACAAUAGAGAUUGAAUAACAUUUUGAGCGGCAUACUUUUGCUGUCAACGCAACAACUAUGAGAUGACGAUAUCUUCCAUGCUAAACAAAUUAUAGGUGGUUCCCAAACAGAAUGGUAAAGUUUAUACUCCCCCUCCUCCACAAGCAUCAAUCCAUGGUUUGCUCGAAACAACGAGUGCCUCCAACAUUCAACGGGUCCCAAGGGGAGUUUUGUUUGCAAUUAUUUUGAUUUAGUUUGCAUAAAGCAUGGGACUAGGCAUCCCGGUGACCAACCAUUUUCUCGUGAAUGAGGAGCGGAGUCCACUCCUCUUGAGAAUAACCGCCUAACAUGGAAGAUAAGGACAACCCUAGUUGAAACAUGAGCUGCUUGAGCAUACAAAACAAAAUUUUAUUUGAAGGUUUGGAGUUUGGCACAUACAGAUUUACUUAGGACGGCAGGUAAAUACCGCAUAUAGGAAGGUAUAGUGGACUCAUAUGGAACAACUUUGGGGUUUAAGAAGUUUGGAUGCACAAGCAGUAUUCCCGCUUAGUACAGGUGAAGGCUAGCAAAAGACUGGGAAGCGACCAACUGGGAGAGCGACAACAGUCGUAAACAUGCAUCAAAAUUAAUUUACACCGAAUACAAGCAUGAGUAGGAUAUAAUCCACCAUGAACAUAAAUAUCAUGAAGGCUAUGUUGAUUUGAUUCAACUACAUGCGUGAACAUGUGCCAAGUCUAGUCACUCAAUUCAUUUAAAGGAGGAUACCAUCCCAUCAUACCACAUCAUAAUCAUUCUAAUAGCAUGUUGGCACGCAAGGCAAACCGUUAUAACUUAUAGCUAAUCAAGCAUGGCACAAGCAACUAUAAUCUCUAAAUGUCAUUGCAAAUAUGUUUACUUCAUAAUAGCUAACUCAGGAACGCUGGAUUAUCAUAUUUACAAAAACAAGAGAGGUCGUUCAUACCAGCUUUUCUCAUCCCAAUAAGUCCAUCAUAUAUCAUCAUUAUUGCCUUUCACUUGCACGACCGAACGAUGUGAAUAAUAAUAAGAGUGCACGUGCAUUAGACUAAGCUGGAAUUUGCAAGCAUUCAAUAACCAGGAGAAGACAAGUAAUAUGGGCUCUAAGUUAAAUAAACAAUCAUGCAUAUAAGAGCCACUUCAACAAUUUAAUCAUGGUCUUCUCCUACUGACCCCCAAAGAAAAGAAAAGGAAAACUAUUUACACGGGAAAGCUCCCAACAAGCAAAAGAAGAACGGGAAAUAUUUUUGGGUUUUCCUUUUUAACUACUACAGCAAAGAAAUAAAGUAGUACUAAUUUUUUUGUUUUUCUAACGGUUUAAUAAACACACAAGAAGAAGCAGGAAAAAGAAAAUAAACUAGCAUGGAUAUUACAGUGAAAAAGUAUGAACACCGACAUCUAGCAAUGAGUGUAUGUGAACAUUAGUGUAAUGUCGGUGGGAAAUACGUACUCCCCCAAGCUUAGGCUUUUGGCCUAAGUUGGUCUAUUGCCAGGGAUGGCCUGGUGGAUACCCGUAAGUGAAGCCGGGGUCAUACUGUGAUGCAGCGGCUAUCGCCUCCUGAGCUGCAGUGUAGCGUCUAGUUGCCUCCGCUCUCCUCUCGUAUUCAUCUGCCUCUUCUCUGGUAAUAAUAUAUCUUCCCUUUGUCCGAAAAUCAAAGAAGGCAGGAGCAGGAAGAGCAAUAUGGACUACAUGACGUUUGUUAAAGAUUAGUCUAUAUUGGAGAGGUGGUUCAGUCCUCUCAACAAACUGGUGGGAAACCAUAGAAUCAAAAUCCAAAUGAGUAGAGGGUAACUCUGUAUCACCCUCUCAAAUGUCUAUCUCAAGAAAAUUAGCUAAGCGGGUUGCAUAAAUUCCUCCAAAGAAAUCUCUGUUAUAUCUGUUAUGAUGCAACCUACGAGCUACGAUGGCUCCCAUGUGAUAAGAUUGGUCUCCUAACACAGCACUUCUGAGAAUGCUGAGAUCACGGGCACACAAGUGACAUACUUCAUCCUUAGCAUUAAUGCAUCUACCUAUAAAGAGAGCAAAAUAGUGUAUAGCAGGGAAAUGAAUGCUCCCUAAAGUGGCUUGUGUUAUAUCUCUAGAUUCCCCCACAGUUAUUUUAGCAAGAAAGUCUCUAUAUUCAGAUUUAGGGGGAUCCCUGACAUUACCCCAUGGUGGAAGCUUGCAAGCAGCAGUGAAAUCCUCUAAGUCCAUGGUAUAAGAUUUGUCAUAAAGGUCAAACAUGACUGAAGGAGAAUUAUGCGAGGAUGAAAACUCAAACCUCCUCACAAAUGAACUUGUGCGAUCAUGAUACUGGGGGCAUUUGUCAGCUUCAAACUCCUCAAGACCGGCGUUGCGCAAAUAUGCGCUAAAUUCUUCUUUGAUUCCCACUUGAUUCAUAAAAUUUUCCGAAGGCCAUUCACAUGGCCUAACAGGAGCAUCUCUUGGUGGUUCCUCGUCAGCAUCACGUAUUGCAAGCCUGGGACCUUGUUUCCUUGAAGAGCCUGAAGGAAAUAUGCCAUAGAGGCAAUAAUAAAGUUAUUAUUUAUUUCCUCAUAUCAUGAUAAAUGUUUAUUAUUCAUGCUAGAAUUGUAUUAACCGGAAACACGAUACAUGUGUGAAUACAUAGACAAACAUAUAGUCACUAGUAUGCCUCUACUUGACUAGCUCAUUAAACAAAGAUGGUUAUGUUUCCUAACCAUAGACAUGUGUUGUCAUUUGAUUAAUGGGAUCACAUCAUUAGAAGAAUGAUGUGAUUGACAUGACCCAUUCCGUUAGCCUAGCACAUGAUCAUUUAGUAUAUUGCUAUUGCUUUCUUCAUGACUUAUACAUGUUCCUGUAACUAUGAGAAAUAUGCAACUCCUAUUUACCGGAGGAACACUUUGGGUACUACCAAACGUCACAACGUAACUGGGUGAUUAUAAAGGAGUACUACAGGUGUCUCCGAAGGUACAUGUUGAGUUGGCGUAUUUCGAGAUUAGGUUUUGUCACUCCGAUUGUCGGAGAGGUAUCUCUGGGCCCUCUCGGUAAUGCACAUCUUUAUAAGCCUUGCAAGCAAUGUGACCAAAUGAGUUGGUUACGGAAUGAUGCAUUACGGAACGAGUAAAGAGACUUGCCGGUAACGAUAUUGAACUAGGUAUUGGAUACCGACGAUCAAAUCUCGGGCAAGUAACAUACCGAUGACAAAGGGAACAACGUAUGCUGUUAUGCGGUUUGACCGAUAAAAGAUCUUCAUAGAAUAUGUAGGAACCAAUAUGCGCAUCCAGGUUCCGCUAUUGGUUAUUGACCGAGAAUAGUUCUAGGUCAUGUCUACAUAGUUCUCGAACCCGUAGGGUCCGCACGCUUAACGUUACGAUGACAGUUUUAUUAUGAGUUUAUAAGUUUUGAUGUACCGAAGUUUGUUCGGAGUCCCAGAUGUGAUCAUGGACGUAACGAGGAGUCUCGAAAUGGUCGAGACAUAAAGAUCGAUAUAUUGGAAGCCUAUAUUUGGACAUCGGAAUCAUUCCGGGUGAAAUCGGCAUUUUACCGGAGCACCGGGAGGNNNNNNNNNNNNNNNNNNNNNNNNNNNNNNNNNNNNNNNNNNNNNNNNNNNNNNNNNNNNNNNNNNNNNNNNNNNNNNNNNNNNNNNNNNNNNNNNNNNNNNNNNNNNNNNNNNNNNNNNNNNNNNNNNNNNNNNNNNNNNNNNNNNNNNNNNNNNNNNNNNNNNNNNNNNNNNNNNNNNNNNNNNNNNNNNNNNNNNNNNNNNNNNNNNNNNNNNNNNNNNNNNNNNNNNNNNNNNNNNNNNNNNNNNNNNNNNNNNNNNNNNNNNNNNNNNNNCCCCCUUUCCUUCCCCUCUUCCUCCUCUUUCCCCCCUUCUCCUAUUCCAACUAGGAAAGAAGGGAGUCCUACUCCCGGUGGGAGUAGGACUCCCCCCUUGGCGCGCCCUCCUUGGCCGGCCGCCUACUCCCCCCUGGCUCCUUUAUAUACGGGGGCGGGGGGCACCCCAUAGACACACAAGUUGAUCUACGGAUCGUUCCUUAGCCGUGUGCGGUGCCCCCUUCCACCAUAUUCCACCUCGGUCAUAUCGUCGCGGAGUUUAGGCGAAGCCCUGCAUCGGUAGAGCAUCAUCAUCGUCACCACGCCGUCGUGCUAACGGAACUCAUCCCCAAAGCUUUGCUGGAUCGGAGCCCGGGGAUCGUCAUCGAGAUGAACGUGUGCUGAACUCGGAGGUGCCGUACGUUCGGUACUUGGAUCGGUCGGAUCGUGAAGACGUACGACUACAUCAACCGCGUUGUCAUAAUGCUUCCGCUUACGGUCUACGAGGGUACGUGGACAACACUCUCUCCUCUCGUUGCUAUGCCAUCACCAUGAUCUUGCGUGCACAUAGGAAUUUUUUUGAAAUUACUACGUUCCCCAGCAGUGGUAUCAGAGCAUAGGUUUUAUGCGUUGAUGUUAUAUGCACGAGUAGAACACAAGUGAGUUGUGGGCGAUACAAGUCAUACUGCUUACCAGCAUGUCAUACUUUGGUUCGGCGGUAUUGUGAGAUGAAGCGGCCCGGACCGACAUUACGCGUACGCUUACGCGAGACUGGUUUCACCGUUGCGAGCACUCGUGCUUAAAGGUGGCUGGCGGGUGUCUGUCUCUCUCACUUUAGCUGAAUCGAGUGUGGCUACGCCCGGUCCUUGCGAAGGUUAAAACAGCACCAAGUUGACGAACUAUCGUUGUGGUUUUUAUGCGUAGGUAAGAACGGUUCUUGCUAAAGCCCGUAGCAGCCACGUAAAAUUUGCAACCACAAAGUAGAGGACGUCUAACUUGUUUUUGCAGGACAUGUUGUGAUGUGAUAUGGUUAAGACGUGAUGCUAUAUUUUAUUGUAUGAGAUGAUCAUGUUUUGUAACCGAAGUUAUCGGCAACUGGCAGGAGCCAUAUGGUUGUCGCUUUAUUGUAUGAAAUGUAAACGCCCUGUAAUUGCUUUACUUUAUCUCUAAGCGGUAGCGAUAGUCGUAGAAGCAAUAGAUGGCGUAACGACAAUGAUGCUACGAUGGAGAUCAAGGUGUCGCGCCGGUGACGAUGGUGAUCACGACGAUGCUUCGAAGAUGGAGAUCACAAGCACAAGAUGAUGAUGGCCAUAUCAUAUCACUUAUAUUGAUUGCAUGUGAUGUUUAUCCUUUAUGCAUCUUAUCUUGGUUUGAUUGACGGUAGCAUUUUAAGAUGAUCUCUCACUAAUAAUCAAGAAGUGUUCUCCCUGAGUAUGCACCGUUGUGAAAGUUCUUCGUGCUGAGACACCACCUGAUGAUCGGGUGUGAUAGGCUCUACGUUCAAAUACAACGGGUGCAAAACAGUUGCACACGCGGAAUACUCAGGUCAUACUUGACGAGCCUAGCAUAUACAGAUAUGGCCUCGAAACACGGAGACCGAAAGGUCGAACGUGAAUCAUAUAGUAGAUAUGAUCAACAUAGUGAUGUUCACCAUUGAAACUACUCCAUCUCACGUGAUGAUCGGACAUGGUUUAGUUGAUUUGGAUCACGUGAUCACUUAGAUGACUAGAGAGAUGUCUGUCUAAGUGGGAGUUCUUAAGUAAUAUGAUUAAUUGAACUUAAAUUUAUCAUGAACUUAGUACCUGAUAGUAUUUUGCUUGUCUAUGUUUGUUUGUAGAUAGAUGGCUCGUGCUGUUUCCGUUGAAUUUUAAUGCGUUCCUUGAGAAAGCAAAGUUGAAAGAUGAUGGUAGCAAUUACACGGACUGGGUCCGUAACCUGAGGAUUAUCCUCAUUGCUGCACAGAAAAGUUACAUCCUAGAAGCACCGCUGAGUGCCAGGCCUGCUGCUGAUGCAACUGACGACGUUAAGAACGUCUGGCAGAGCAAAGCUGAUGACUACUCGAUAGUUCAGUGUGCCAUGCUUUACGGCUUAGAACCGGGUCUUCAACGACGUUUUAAACGUCAUGGAGCAUAUGAGAUGUUCCAGGAGUUGAAGUUAAUAUUUCAAGCAAAUGCCCGGAUUGAGAGAUAUGAAGUCUACAAUAAGUUCUAUAGCUGCAAGAUGGAGGAGAAUAGUUCUGUCAGUGAACAUAUACUCAAAAUGUCUGGGUAUAAUAAUCACUUGAUUCAACUGGGAGUUAAUCUUCCUGAUGAUAGUGUCAUUGACAGAAUUCUUCAAUCACUGCCACCAAGCUACAAGAGCUUCGUGAUGAACUAUAAUAUGCAAGGGAUGAACAAGACUAUUCCCGAGCUCUUCGCGAUGCUAAAAGCCACGGAGGUCGAAAUCAAGAAGGAGCAUCAAGUGUUGAUGGUUAACAAGACCACCAGUUUCAAGAAAAAGGGCAAAGGGAAGAAGAAGGGGAACUUCAAAAAGAACAGCAAGCAAGUUGCUGCUCAAGAGAAGAAACCCAAGUCUGGACCUAAGCCUGAAACUGAGUGCUUCUACUGCAAGCAGACUGGACACUGGAAGCGGAACUGCCCCAAGUAUUUGGUGGAUAAGAAGGAUGGCAAAGUGAACAAAGGUAUAUGUGAUAUACAUGUUAUUGAUGUGUACCUUACUAAUGCUCGCAGUAGCACCUAGGUAUUUGAUACUGGUUCUGUUGCUAAUAUUUGCAACUUGAAACAGGGACUACGAAUUAAGCGAAGAUUGGCUAAGGACGAGGUGACGAUGCGCGUGGGAAAUGGUUCCAAAGUCGAUGUGAUCGCGGUCGGCACGCUACCUCUACAUCUACCAUCGGGAUUAGUUUUAGACCUAAAUAAUUGUUAUUUGGUGCCAGCGUUGAGCAUGAACAUUAUAUCUGGAUCUUGUUUGAUGCGAGACGGUUAUUCAUUUAAAUCAGAGAAUAAUGGUUGUUCUAUUUAUAUGAGUAAUAUCUUUUAUGGUCAUGCACCCUUGAAAAGUGGUCUAUUUUUAUUGAAUCUCGAUAGUAGUGAUACACAUAUUCAUAGUGUUGAAACCAAAAGAUGCAGAGUUGAUAACGAUAGUGCAACUUAUUUGUGGCACUGCCGUUUAGGUCAUAUCGGUGUAAAGCGCAUGAAGAAACUCCAUACUGAUGGGCUUUUGGAAUCACUUGAUUAUGAAUCACUUGGUACUUGCGAACCGUGCCUCAUGGGCAAGAUGACUAAAACGCCGUUCUCCGGAACUAUGGAGCGAGCAACUGAUUUGUUGGAAAUCAUACAUACUGAUGUUUGUGGUCCAAUGAAUGUUGAGGCUCGCGGCGGGUAUCGUUAUUUUCUCACCUUCACAGAUGAUUUGAGCAGAUAUGGGUAUAUCUACUUGAUGAAACACAAGUCUGAAACAUUUGAAAAGUUCAAAGAAUUUCAGAGUGAAGUGGAAAAUCAUCGUAACAAGAAAAUAAAAUUUCUAUGAUCUGAUCGUGGAGGAGAAUAUUUGAGUUACGAUUUUGGUCUACACUUGAAACAAUGCAGAAUAGUUUCGCAACUCACGCCACCCGGAACACCACAACGAAAUGGUGUGUCCGAACGUCGUAAUCGUACUUUACUAGAUAUGGUGCGAUCUAUGAUGUCUCUUACUGAUUUACCGCUAUCGUUUUGGGGUUAUGCUUUAGAGAUGGCCGCAUUCACGUUAAAUAGGGCACCAUCAAAAUCCGUUGAGACGACGCCUUAUGAACUGUGGUUUGGCAAGAAACCAAAGUUGUCGUUUCUUAAAGUUUGGGGCUGCGAAGCUUAUGUGAAGAAACUUCAACCAGAUAAGCUCGAACCCAAAUCGGAGAAAUGUGUCUUCAUAGGAUACCCAAAAGAGACUAUUGGGUACACCUUCUAUCACAGAUCUGAGGGCAAGAUUUUCGUUGCUAAAAUCGGUUCCUUUCUAGAGAAGGAGUUUCUCUCGAAAGAAGUGAGUGGGAGGAAAGUAGAACUUGAUGAGAUAACUGUAUCUACUCCCUUAUUGGAAAGUAGUUCAUCACAAGAACCAGUUCCUGUGACAACUACACCAAUUAGUGAGGAAGCUAAUGAUAUUGAUCAUGAAACUUCAGAUCAAGUUUCUACUGAACCUCGUAGGUCUACCAGAGUAAGAUCCGCACCAGAGUGGUACGGUAAUCCAAUUCUGGAAGUCAUGUUGCUUGACCAUGAUGAACCUACAAACUAUGAGGAAGCGAUGAUGAGCCCAGAUUCUGCAAAAUGGCUAGAGCCCAUGAAAUCUGAGAUGGGAUCCAUGUAUGAAAACAAAGUAUGGACUUUGGUUGAGUUGCCCGAUGAUGGCAAGCAAUUGAGAAUAAAUGGAUCUUUAAGAAGAAGACUGACGCUGAUGGUAAUGUAACUGUCUAUAAAGCUUGACUUGUUGCGAAAGGUUUUCGACAAGUUCAAGGAGUUGACUACGAUGAGACUUUCUCACCCGUAGCGAUGCUUAAGUCUGUCCGAAUCAUGUUAGCUAUUGCUGCAUUUCAUAAUUAUGAAAUUUGGCAAAUGAAUGUCAAAACUGCAUUCUUGAAUGGAUUUCUGGAAGAAGAGUUGUAUAUGAUGCAGCCAGAAGGUUUUGUAGAUCCAAAAGGUGCUAACAAAGUGUGCAAGCUCCAGCGUUCCAUUUAUGGACUGGUGCAAGCAUCUCAGAGUUGGAAUAAACGCUUUGAUAGUGUGAUCAAAGCAUAUGGUUUUAUACAGACUUUUGGAGAAACCUGUAUUUACAAGAAAGUGAGUGGGAGCUAUGUAGCAUUUCUGAUAUUAUAUGUAGAUGACAUAUUAUUAAUUGGAAAUGAUAUAGAAUUUCUGGAUAGCAUAAAGGGAUACUUGAAUAAAAGUUUUUCAAUGAAAGACCUCGGUGAAGCUGCUUACAUAUUGGGCAUCAAGAUCUAUAGAGAUAGAUCAAGACGCUUAAUAGGACUUUCACAAAGCACAUACCUUGAUAAAAUUUUGAAAAAGUUCAAAAUGGAUCAGGCAAAGAAAGGGUUCUUGCCCGUACUACAAGGUGUGAAGUUGAGUCAAACUCAAUGCCCGACCGCAGCAGAAGAUAGAGAGAAAAUGAAAGAUGUUCACUAUGCUUCAGCCAUAGGCUCUAUCAUGUAUGCAAUGCUAUGUACCAGACCUGACGUAUGCUUAGCAAUAAGCUUGGCAGGAAGGUACCAAACUAAUCCAGGAAUGGAUCACUGGACAGUGGUCAAGAACAUCCUGAAAUACCUGAAAAGGACUAAGGAUAUGUUUCUCGUAUAUGUAGGUGACAAAGAGCUAGUCGUAAAUGGUUACAUCGAUGCAAGCUUGGACACUGAUCCGGACGAUUCUAAAUCGCAAACCGGAUACGUGUUUUUAUUAAACGGUGGAGCUGUAAGUUGGUGCAGUUCUAAACAAAGCGCCGUGGCAGGAUCUACAUGUGAAGCGGAGUACAUAGAUGCUUCGGAAGCAGCAAAUGAAGGAGUCUGGAUGAAGGAGUUCAUUUCCGAUCUAGGUGUCAUACCUAGUGCAUCGGGACCAAUGAAAAUCUUCUGUGACAAUACUGGUGCAAUUGCCUUGGCAAAGGAAUCCAGAUUUCACAAGAGGACCAAGCACAUCAAGAGACGCUUCAAUUCCAUUCGGGACCAAGUCCAAGUGGGAGACAUAGAGAUUUGCAAGAUACAUAUGGAUCUGAAUGUUGCAGACCCGUUGACUAAGCCACUCUCACGAGCAAAACAUGAUCAACACCAAGACUCCAUGGGUGUUAGAAUCAUUACUAUGUAAUCUAGAUUAUUGACUCUAGUGCAAGUGGGAGACUGAAGGAAAUAUGCCCUAGAGGCAAUAAUAAAGUUAUUAUUUAUUUCCUCAUAUCAUGAUAAAUGUUUAUUAUUCAUGCUAGAAUUGUAUUAACCGGAAACAUGAUACAUGUGUGAAUACAUAGACAAACAUAUAGUCACUAGUAUGCCUCUACUUGACUAGCUCAUUAAUCAAAUAUGGUUAUGUUUCCUAACCAUAGACAUGUGUUGUCAUUUGAUUAAUGGGAUCACAUCAUUAGAAGAAUGAUGUGAUUGACAUGACCCAUUCCGUUAGCCUAGCACUUGAUCGUUUAGUAUAUUGCUAUUGCUUUCUUCAUGACUUAUACAUGUUCCUGUAACUAUGAGAAAUAUGCAACUCUCGUUUACCGGAGGAACACUUUGGGUACUACCAAACGUCACAACGUAACUGGGUGAUUAUAAAGGAGUACUACAGGUGUCUCCGAAGGUACAUGUUGAGUUGGCGUAUUUUGAGAUUAGGUUUUGUCACUCCGAUUGUCGGAGAGGUAUCUCUGGGCCCUCUCGGUAAUGCACAUCUUUAUAAGCCUUGCAAGCAAUGUGACCAAAUGAGUUGGUUACGGAAUGAUGCAUUACAGAACGAGUAAAGAGACUUUCCGAUAACGAGAUUGAACUAGGUAUUGGAUACCGACGAUCAAAUCUCGGGCAAGUAACAUACCGAUGACAAAGGGAACAACGUAUGUUGUUAUGCGGUUUGACCGAUAAAAGAUCUUCGUAGAAUAUGUAGGAACCAAUAUGUGCAUCCAGGUUCCGCUAUUGGUUAUUGACCGAGAAUAGUUCUAGGUCAUGUCUACAUAGUUCUCGAACCCGUAGGGUCCGCACGCUUAACGUUACGAUGACAGUUUUAUUAUGAGUUUAUAAGUUUUGAUGUACCGAUGUUUGUUCGGAGUCCCGGAUGUGAUCACGGACGAAACGAGGAGUCCCGAAAUGGUCGAGACAUAAAGAUCGAUAUAUUGGAAGCUUAUAUUUGGACACCGGAGUCGUUCCGGGUGAAAUCAGCAUUUUACCGGAGCAUCGGGAGGNNNNNNNNNNNNNNNNNNNNNNNNNNNNNNNNNNNNNNNNNNNNNNNNNNNNNNNNNNNNNNNNNNNNNNNNNNNNNNNNNNNNNNNNNNNNNNNNNNNNNNNNNNNNNNNNNNNNNNNNNNNNNNNNNNNNNNNNNNNNNNNNNNNNNNNNNNNNNNNNNNNNNNNNNNNNNNNNNNNNNNNNNNNNNNNNNNNNNNNNNNNNNNNNNNNNNNNNNNNNNNNNNNNNNNNNNNNNNNNNNNNNNNNNNNNNNNNNNNNNNNNNNNNNNNNNNNNNNNNNNNNNNNNNNNNNNNNNNNNNNNNNNNNNNNNNNNNNNNNNNNNNNNNNNNNNNNNNNNNNNNNNNNNNNNNNNNNNNNNNNNNNNNNNNNNNNNNCCUAUUCCAACUAGGAAAGAAGGGAGUCCUACUCCCGGUGGGAGUAGGACUCCCCCCUUGGCGUGCCCUCCUUGGCCGGCCGCCUCCUCCCCCUGGCUCCUUUAUAUACGGGGGCAGGGGGCACCCCAUAGACACACAAGUUAAUCUACGGAUCGUUCCUUAGCCAUGUGCGGUGCCCCCUUCCACCAUAUUCCACCUCGGUCAUAUCGUCGCGGAGUUUAGGCGAAGCCCUGCGCCGGUAGAGCAUCAUCAUCGUCACCACGCCGUCGUGCUGACGGAACUCAUCCCCGAAGCUUUGCUGGAUCGGAGCCCGGGGAUCGUCAUCUAGCUGAACGUGUGCUGAACUCGGAGGUGCCGUAUGUUCGGUACUUGGAUCGGUCGGAUCAUGAAGACGUACGACUACAUCAACCGCGUUGUCAUAACGCUUCCGCUUACGGUCUACGAGGGUACAUGGACAACACUCUCUCCUCUCGUUGCUAUGCCAUCACCAUGAUCUUGCGUGCACGUAGGAAAUUUUUUGAAAUUACUACGUUCCCCAACAGAGCCACCUUGGAACAUCCUCCUAAACAUAUUGUUUCCUCUGAAAAAUUUCUGAAAUUUUUAAUAACUUCAAAUAAAAGUGAACCAACUUCAAUAAAAUUGAUAGCAACAACUCCUGCAAGUGCCUAGAGCCUAUAUAAAGCAUUGGAACUACUUGGAACCAUAUAAAUUUGACAUGCAAUCUCAAAAACAUGGUCACCUAUGCAGCAAAAAUUUGCAAUGAAUAAAGCACUAGAUCAAAAACUAAUUGGACCAAUGGAGGAGUCACAUACCAAGGAACAAUCUCCCCAAGCAGUUUUGCGAGAGGUGCUUUGAGCAAGGAGAUCGAAAAUCACAGCAACGGGGGCUGGAACUCGUGCUUGAGUUGGUUUUUCGUGUUUGUGUGAGGCAAAGGAAGAAGAUGGGUGCAAUAAUAAGUGGAGGAGGGCCACCAUGGGCCCACGAGGCAGGGGGCGCGCCCAGGGGGUAGGGCGCGCCCUCCACCCUCGUGGCCAGGUGGCAGCUCCCCCCGCGGUGAUUUUUGCACAGUAAAUUCUUAAAUAUUCCCGAAAAAUCAUAUUAAAUUGACAUGGUAUUCUGAGGACUUUUAUUUUCAGGAUAUUUUUAUAUUGCACAGAUAAGUCGGGAGACAGACAGAAAAGUACUAUUUUACUUUAUUUCUACUAAAUAACGGAAAAUAUAAAGAGGGUACAAAAGGUUGUGCUUCUAAUUUCAUCCAUCUCAUGUUCAUCAAAAAGAAUCCACUAACAAGGUUGAUCAAGUCUUGUUAACGAGCUCAUUUCGAUUAACACGGACCCGGAGAAAUUUCGAAUAGCACUAAGUUACCUCAACGGGGAUAUGGACAUCCCCAACAAUAAGUAUAUCAUACUUUUUCUUGACACUAGGGAGAGGAAAUUCAAAACCUACGAAUAUAAUCGAUGGAAUUUUUCCAAUAGAGUUGAUACUGUGAACCUGAGGUUGUUUCCUCGGAAAGUGUACCGUGUGCUCAUUACCAUUAACAUGAAAAGUGAUAUUGCCUUUGUUGCAAUCAAUAACAGCCCCUGCAGUAUUAAGGAAAGGUCUUCCAAGAAUAAUAGACAUACUAUCAUCCUCAGGAAUACCAAGAAUAAAAAAGUCCGUUAAAAUAGUAACGUUUGCAACCACAACAGGCACAUCCUCACAAAUACCAAUAGGUAUAGCAGUUGAUUUAUCAGCCAUUUGCAAAGAUAUUUCAGUAGGUGUCAACUUAUUCAAGUCAAGUCUACGAUAUAAAGAGAGGGGCAUAACACUAACACCGGUUCCAAGAUCACACAAAGCAGUUUUAACAUAAUUUCUCUUAAUGGAGCAUGGUAUAGUAGGUACUCCAGGGUCUCCAAGUUUCUUUGGUAUUCCACCCUUAAAAGUGUAAUUAUCAAGCAUGGUGGAAAUUUCAGCUUCAGGUAUCUUUCUUUUAUUAGUAAUAAUAUCCUUCAUAUACUUAGAAUAAGGACUUGUUUUGAGCACAUCAGUUAAUCGCAUACGCAAAAAGAUAGGUCUAAUCAUUUCAGCAAAGUGCUCAAAAUCCUCAUCAUCCUUUUUCUUGGAUGGUUUCGGGGGAAAAGGCAUGGGUUUUUGAACCCAUGGUUCCCUUUCUUUACCAUGUUUCCUAGCAACGAAGUCUCUUUUAUCAUAGCGUUGAUUCCUUGAUUGUGGGUUAUCAAGAUCAACAACAGGUUCAACUUCUACAUCAUUAUCAUUACUAGGUUGAGCAUUAACAUGAUCAUUAUCAUUAACAUUAUCACUGGGUUCAUGUUCAUCACCUGAUUGUGUUUCAGCAUCAGAAAUAGAAAUAUCAUUUGGAUUCUCAGGUGGUUCAGCAAUAGGUUCACUAGAAGUUUGCAAAGUCCUAUCAUUUUUCUUUUUCUUCUUUUUAGAAGAACUAGGUACAUCAAUAUCAUUUCUCUGAGAAUCUUGCUCGAUUCUCUUAGGGUGGCCUUCAGGAUACAAAGGUUCCUGAGUCAUUCUACCGGUUCUAGUAGCCACUCUAACAGCAUAAUCAUUUUUCUUACUAUUCAUUUCAUCAAGCACUUCUUUUUGAGCUUUAAGUACUUGUUCUACUUGAGUGGUAACCAUAGAAUCAUGUUUGCUAACAAGUUUAAGUUCACCUCUAAUAUCAGCCAUAUAAUCACCCAAGCAUUUAAUCAUAUAAGCAUCUUGUUUUAAUUGUCUACCAAAAUAAGCAUUAAAGUCAUCUUGCUUAAACAUAAAGUUAUCGAACUCAUCCAAGCACUCACUAGCAAUUUUAGUAGGAGGGACUUCAGCUUUAUCAUAUCUAUAGAGAGAAUUUAUCUUUACUACCUGUGUCGGGAUAUCGGGAGGUUCUUCAGUAAAUAAGUAAUUGAGAUCAUAUACUUCUUCAAUAGGCGAUAAAUUAAGACCGUGUAUUUCUUCAAUAGGAGGUAAAUUCUUAACAUCUUCAGCUUUAAUACCUUUUUCUUUCAUAGAUUUCUUUGCCUCUUGCAUAUCUUCAGGACUGAGAAAUAGAACACCUCUCUUCUUCGGAGUUGGUUUAGGAAUAGGUUCAAUAAUUGGCUCAGAAAUUGGCUCGGGAGCUAGCUCAGGAGGUGCCCAAUUAUUUUCGUUUGUCAACAUAUUGUUCAAUAGAAUUUCAGCUUCAUCCGGUGUUCUUUCCCUGAAAAGAGAACCAACACAACUAUCCAGGUAAUCUCUGGAAGCAUCGGUUAGUCCAUUAUAAAAGAUAUCAAGUAUUUCAGGUUUCUUAAGAGGAUCAUCAGGCAAAGCAUUAAGUAACUUGAGAAGCCUCCCCCAAGCUUGUGGGAGACUCUCUUCUUCAAUUUGCACGAAGUUAUAUAUUUCCCUCAAGGCCGCUUGUUUCUUAUGAGCAGGGAAAUAUUUAGCAGAGAAGUAAUAAAUCAUAUCCUGGGGACUUUGCACACAACCAGGAUCAAGGGAAUUAAACCAUAACUUAGCAUCACCCUUUAAUGAGAACGGAAAUAUUUUGAGUAAAUAAAAGUAGCGCGAUCUCUCAUUAUUAGUAAACAGGGCAGCUAUAUCAUUCAACUUAGUAAGAUGUGUCACAACAGUUUCAGAUUCAUAGCCAUAGAAAGGAUCAGAUUCGACCAAGGUAAUUAUAUCUGGAUCAACAGAAAAAUCAUAAUAAUCCUUAUCGGGAACACAAAUAGGUGAAGUAGCAAAAGCAGGGUCAGGUCUCAUUCUAUCUCUAAAAGAUUCUUUACUCCAUUUAACUAUAAACCUCUUAAGUUCAUAUCUAUCCUGGCAAGCAAGGAUAGCUGCAGAAGAUUCUGCAUCAAAAAGAUAACCUCCAGUAAUAGAAGGCAUAUUUUCAUCAUCACUCUCAUCAUUGUAUUCAGGUGCAAUAAUUUCUCUUUCUUUAGACCUAGCAAUUUGCUCAUCAAGAAAUUCACCAAGGGGCACAGUAGUAUCAAGCAUAGAAGUGGUUUUAUCAUAAGUAUCACGCAUAGCAGAAGUGGCAUCAUUAAUAACAUGCGACAUAUCAGAAUUCAUAGCGGUAGCAGGUUUAGGUGUCGCAAGCUUACUUAUAACAGAAGGAGAAUCUAGUGCAAGGCUAGAUGGUAGUUCCUUACCUCCCCUCGUAGUUGAGGGCAAAAUCUUGGUCUUAGCGUCUUUCAAGUUCUUCACAGUGUCCACCAGAUAUAAAUCCCAAGUGACUCAAAGAAUAGAGCUAUGCUCCCCGGCAACGGCGCCAGAAAAAGGUCUUGAUAACCCACAAGUAUAGGGGAUCGCAACAGUUUUCGAGGGUAGAGUAUUCAACCCAAUUUUGUUGAUUCGACACAAGGGGAGCCAAAGAAUAUUCUUAAGUAUUAGCAGCUGAGUUGUCAAUUUAACCACACCUGGAAACUUAGUAUCUACAGCAAGGUGUUUAGUAGCAAAGUAAUAUGAUAAUGAUGGUAAUGGUAACAAAAGUAAAGACAGCAAAAGUAAUGUUUUUGGUAUUUUGUAGUGAUUGUAACAGUAACAACAGAAAAGUAAAUAAGCGAGAACGAGUAUAUGGAAAACUCGUAGGCACCAGAUCAAUGAUGGAUAAUUAUGCCGGAUGUGGUUCAUCAUGUAACAGUCAUAACAUAGGGUGAUACAGAACUAGCUCCAGUUCAUCAAUGUAAUGUAGGCAUGUAUUCCGAAUAUAGUCAUACGUGCCUAUGGAAAAGAACUUGUAUGACAUCUUUUGUCCUACCCUCCCGUGGCAGCGGGGUCCUAUUGGAAACUAAGGGAUAUUAAGGCCUCCUUUUAAUAAAGAACCGGAACAAAGCACUAGCACAUAGUGAAUACAUGAACUCCUCAAACUAUGGUCAUCAUCGGGAGUGGUUCCGAUUAUUGUCACUUCGGGGUUUCCGGAUCAUAACACAUAGUAGGUGACUAUAGACUUGCAAGAUAGGAUCAAGAACUCACAUAUAUUCAUGAAAACAUAAUAGGUUCAGAUCUGAAAUCAUGACACUCGGACCCUAGUGACAAGCAUUAAGCAUAGCAAAGUCAUAGCAACAUCAAUCUCAGAACAUAGUGGAUACUAGGGAUCAACCCCUAACAAAACUAACUCGAUUACAUGAUAAAUCUCAUCCAACCCAUCACCGUCCAGCAAGCCUACGAUGGAAUUACUCACGCACAGCGGUGAGCAUCAUGAAAUUGGUGAUGGAGGAUGGUUGAUGAUGACGACGGCGAUGAAUCCCCCUCUCCGGAGCCCCGAACGGACUCUAGAUCAGCCCUCCCGAGAGAGAUUAGGGCUUGGCGGUGGCUCCGUAUCGUAAAACGCGAUGAUUUCUUCUCUCUGAUUUUUUUCUCCCCGAAAGCCAAUAUAUGAAGUUGGAGUUGGCGUCGGAGGGCCACCAGGGGGCCCACGAGGUAGGGGGGCGCGCCAGGGGGGGCGUCCCCCACCCUCGUAGACAAGGUGUGGGCCCCCUGGUCUUCUUCUUUGGCGAGGAUUUUUUAUCAAUUAUCCUAAGACAUUCCGUGGAGUUUCAGGUCGUUCCGAGAACUUUUAUUUUCUGCACAAAAACAACACCAUACAAUUCUGCUGAUAACAUCGUCAGUCCGGAUUAGUUCCAUUCAAAUCACACAAGUUAGUGUCCAAAACAAGGGCAAAGGUGUUUGGAAAAGUAGAUACGACGGAGACGUAUCAGUCUCCCACACCACAAAGUUCCCACGGUCAAAUCGUGGAUACUUCGAUCUCACCGGAGCAGCAAUUACUUUAGCCGCACCGGAAUACUCCGCCAGUUGCUUGGACUUGUCCUUCUCGUCGUCCAACAUGAUCUCUCGUUACUAGAAGAUCAACCUUGCUCUAGAUACCAAUUGUUGGCCCAGAUCCGACGCGGAGUACUUCCGGCGACGGCGAUAUGACCGACGACGAACGACGAUGACACACGACGCUCACUGACGAACUCGACGAAGUGCUUUACGUCGAGUUGCACCGCAGUACAAAGCUGGCCACCUGAUCCCUAAUUGAUCCUUGUACGUGGACGAGUACUUGUACUAUAACGCAUGAGCACUUCUAGCUGGAAUCGAUCAACUUGAUUGAUCGUCUAGCUAGCUCACGUAUACGGAGCAGCACAAGAAUCAAUUUGAUUGCCACAUGCACGUCUCGUGCGUGUUGUUUUCUUUGUAUUGCUUUUCACGGUAUAGCUUACAAGAGGUAUACACACGUAUAUAUAUAGUACAUAGGACCGAUCUAAUCUAGCCUACUCGGAUAGAUGUUGUCGGACGUCGAUAACUGCCACACGUGUGGCAGGAAAAGAAACGCACCACACGUCUUUAAUACAAAUAGAUUGCUACGUCACCGCAUGCAUGCAUGUGAAAAUCUUUUCGGAUUUUUAGUUUUUAAAAUGUUUUAUCUCUUAAAUGAAAAAUCCAAUUGAAGAUCCGUUUUCACCAUUGAAUCCCUCGCGACGAGAUCUUCAAAACUAGAUCUCAUAUCGAUAUAUUUCGGUGAAUUUUUUUGGUUAAAAGUUGUCAUGUCUAUUGCACAUGAAUUGACAUGAUAUUUACACUGAAGUUGCCAUGAUAUGUUUCAACUAUUUUCUUUUACAUUUAAAAGUAAAAUUUAACAUAUUAUAAAACGGAGAAUUAAGAAACUAGACUUGUCAUGCACCAUAAACUAAAAUUGCCAUGAUAAUGCACUUAAAUUGCCAUGGUUCAAUAAAAAAAUAUUUUCAUGAUCAAAGUACUGGAAUUGUCAUCAUCAAAAAACUAAAAUUGCCAUGAUCUACAAACUAAAAUUGUCACAUGGCAACUUUAGUUUAAGCACUAUGGCAACUAUAGUGUAAACAUCAUGGCAACUUCUUGGCAACAAUAAAAUUCGUGAAACAUAUCAACAUGGGGUCUAGUUUUGAAGAUCUCGUCGAGACGGAUUUAAUGAUGAAAACGGGUUUUUAGUAGGCUUUUUUAUUUAGGAGAUAAAACAUUUUUAAGCCAAAAACCAAAAAGAUUUCUGCUGAUGUCAUCUAUUCAUACGUGACAAAAUGAGUGGUGAUGGAGGCGUGUGGGCAAUCUGGAAAACGCCCACAAGUGUGGGCGUUAGUUUUUUCGAUGUUCUAAUCCUAAUACUAAUAUAGGUGACUCCUCCGUGUACGAGCCGGACACGGCAACUAAGAGUCGGGUUUAAUUCCAACAGCAUCUAAUUAUAUUGAUUCGGUAUUGUGGAUGUUGAUAUUUUUUCUUAUAAAUUUUCCCAAACUUUAUAAAACUUGACUUCAGACAAAUUUUGUUUGCAGACUAAAUGAAAACGAGGAAGUGUGUUUUUAAAUAUCCUUAUUGUAUAUCUUCAAAUAUGACCAGACGAUUCGUAUUCUUUUGUGUUGUAUAUACACGCGAGCGAGACGGUUCUCUAUCUUUGGCGUUGUACGUUUUCGUGUACGUACAUGCCCAACCAAAAUGACUGCUCCCUGGCCAGCUCUAUUCUGGUCAGGUUGUAUUAAUCACGCUCGCUGGGUCUGACCGGCUGAUCUGGACGGCCAACCGCCACCGAAACGGCCGGCCCACACGGUCGCCGCCGUGGUACAGCAAGACAACCAGGCAGCCCCCCUCGUCAGACACGGUCGGACGUACACACACGGCUCCGGCCUCCGGCCAUGGGACUGCUGCAUUAACUCCACUCUCUGAACCGUCGUCUCUCUGCAGCCGCAUCAGUCAGGCAAAUCACGAACGUUAAUGAAAGUCAUCCUUAUUUCCGAUUCCGAGACUGCAUUUAACUUUACACUCUGGUUAACAUACACCAGUAACAUACACAUAUCCUUAGACUGUGUUACUGUAUUCAGGCUAGUCAUAAUGUAUAGUAACUUAGACUAGUAACAUGCAUAUGUUACUAGUCUAUGUUAGCAUGUUACUAGUCUAUGUUACUACCAUCAUAGUGGGUAGUAACAUAAGUGUAGUGUCAUGCAAGUCUUCAUUUAUUAUGUUGUAGACUCAUUUUGCAUUGGGGUGCGUUAUGUUAUGGUAACAUAUUAUGUUACCACAAGCACCUCUCUCCUCAUUAAUUUCAUGCCACAUAAGCAUAUAUGUCUUGGAAUGUGCUAUGUUACUAUCUAAGUUACUCCCACUAUGGCUAGCCUCAUAGUGGGAGUAACAUAAGUGUGGUAACAUGCAAAGUUUCAUUUAUUAGGUUAUAGAGUAACAUAAGUGUGGUAACAUGCAAAACUUCAUUUAUUAGGUUAUAUAAACUCAUAUUGCAUUGGGGCAUGUGAUGUUACAGUAACUAGCUAAGUUACUAUAACUAUCUCUCUCCUCAUUAAAUCAUUGCCACAUACGCACAUUUGUUGAGUUGGACUCGAUGUUACUGCUGAAGUUACUCCCACUAUGGCUACUCUUAGGAGCACCACCUAUUUGGAAUAAACCGUAGGCAGUAGAUUCCUAAAUAUGUAGUCCACAUUGAAAUCUUAAAAAAAUAUUUUUAGGAAUGAGAGAGUAUUUGAAAUCGGCUUUGUCGGUGAAGCUGGAUUUAGAUUUGGGUCACUUUCAAUGCAGUUGCCUGAAAUAGUUCAAGUGUACUUCGGUGACAAUCAAUUCUGCCAAUGAAGCGAAUCCAUAGCUGCCUUGAUGUCAACUGAAACAACAUGGCCUUAAGUUGAUUGCAGUGAUAGUACUAGCAGUCUCCCUNNNNNNNNNNNNNNNNNNNNNNNNNNNNNNNNNNNNNNNNNNNNNNNNNNNNNNNNNNNNNNNNNNNNNNNNNNNNNNNNNNNNNNNNNNNNNNNNNNNNNNNNNNNNNNNNNNNNNNNNNNNNNNNNNNNNNNNNNNNNNNNNNNNNNNNNNNNNNNNNNNNNNNNNNNNNNNNNNNNNNNNNNNNNNNNNNNNNNNNNNNNNNNNNNNNNNNNNNNNNNNNNNNNNNNNNNNNNNNNNNNNNNNNNNNNNNNNNNNNNNNNNNNNNNNNNNNCACCUCCAUCCUGGGCGCGACGCGGGCGCCGGGCGUCGCGGCGCGGCGGCGCACGGGGUCGUGGUGGGCUCCAGUGUUCCUGUCGGGCUUCGGGCGGCGUGGUUGGUGGCAGGGCGUGCGGUGGUAGCUGCGGCGGCAAGGAUGGCAGGCCAGUCUGCGCGGUGGCAGCUGCUCACAGCGUGGGCUGGGAGCGGCAUGGCGGGUGGUGCCUCCUGCGGCGAGGGCUACGGGCGGCGCGACCCGGCGGUUGCUGACAGCGAGGGGGCCGGCGCAACAACGGCUUGGUGGCGGUGGUGGCGGAGCGUGCCGACCGGAUCUGGCGAUUUCUGGUGGGCGGCGCGUGUUGCGGCACUAGCUGGCGUGGCUGCUGCUUCGGCUGUGGGCGAUGGCGGCGAGGCGGCUCAGCCCUCUGGUGGAGGCUUCCAUUCGUCGCGCCGGCACCGCGACAGCUCGGCAGGUUGCCUGCGGCGACAACUGGAUUUUUGGCGUCAGUUCGUUUGUAGGCGGCCUGGUUCGACCUUCGAGCCAUCUUCGCGGCGUCUGGUCGCUAUCUUCAUCAAAGGGCUGGCCCUCCCCCACUGCGGUCCAUCACUCGUCUCGCACCCGACAACAGGACCGAGCUCGUCUCGCGCGCGGCAACAGGACUGACCUUGUCUCGCGCCCGACAGUAGGACCGAGCUCGUCUCGCGCCCGGUGCCGCAGAACGGGUCGAUGAAGGCCAAGUUUGGCCGGCCUAUUGAGUCUCGGCACUAGGGGCCAUCCAUGUGCUUUGGUUGGGGUAGCGGCGGAUCUCGGUGAGGUGGUGUCAAGGUCUUCGAUGCAGGGGUGGCGGCCCUGAUGGUGGUUCCGCGGUGCUCAUGGGCAAAGCUCGUGGCUUGGUGUUGCCCGGUUGCCACGGCCGUGUGGGUGGCAUGGUAGCCGGGGUGUGGUGUUCAGUGGCGUGAGUGGUGGCUGGGGUGAAAACCUACUCUAUCUUCGGACGGACCGGCGGCGGCGAAACUCGUUCCCUUCUUGAAGGCGUCGUCGUGGCACUCAUUGCCUGUCGUGUUGCUCUAGGGGAAACUCUGAUCCUCAGAUCGCGCGCUGACGGCGCUUCGGUGUCGUUCAUUUUCUGAAGGCGCCGCCUUGGAGCGCACAGAUCGUCAUAUGCGGCUUCACCUCUUAGUGUAGUGCUUGGGUUGGUGAUGCUGUGCUCAAUGCUUAUGUAUACUGCAUUGGGUGCGUGUGUGCAUGUGUUGUGAGGGUGUGCGCUUGUAUCGGGUGUUGUCGAUCAUUUCUUUAUAUAUAAAGCGGGGUGAAAGCCUUUUUUGGUAAGUUGACUGCAGUAGUCCCCCCCCCCCACACACACACAUCCGGUGCCUCACCUCCGACGAGUCCUUGUCUGAGCCCUCACCGACGACACCGUCGUCUCGCUUCGGUUCUGUCAAAUCCAACGAGUAGUCCUUCGAGAUCAUAAUGGGAAGUUCGUCGCUGCAGCAAAUGAUUUUUUUUUAUGACUCUGGUUUGCUAUAGCAGUUUCUCCCUAAAUAAUUUGUGCUAGUUGGCGUACUCACAAAAGAAGAAGAAAUCUCGCAAUUGUUGCCCUAUAUUUUUGGGAUCAAAGUAGUCAUGUACAUUCCUUCAUGUAGAAAUACCCCAAGAAUAAAAACAGUGGCAAGAAUUGUUAAGAUGAUUCUAUUCCUGUGACAGCACAAGCAUACCCCAAGAAUAAAAACAGUGGCAUUAAAAAAAAGAGCUCACAGCCUCUAUAAAAAGAGGUGCCCCACGUACAACGGGAAUGGUCACUGGCUUUUCUAUACUACUAUUAAACAAGCGAACAUUAUCUUUUCUAAACGCAUCCCGUCAAGUGUACACGCAACAAUACAGACUAAUUGGAGCCUCACGAUUAGUCCCAUUUGUUUAUAUCUACUCCCUCCGUUUCAAAAUAGAUGACUCAAUUUUGUACUAACUUAGUACAAAGUUGGGUCAUCUAUUUUAGAACGGAGGGAGUAACUGUUAACACAACAACUAACUCUCACCAAAGUAGAUUUAGCAAUUUAAGAGGACGGACGAAAACUCUGCGAUCGGCAUCCGCUGAUCCCACUGAUCCAUCCGCUCCGCUAAUCCCUCCGUCAUUUCCUCCCCUUCCGCUCCGCUAAUCCCUUCAUCACUUCCUCCCCUGCCAAAAAUCCCUGCCGUUGGCGUCCCAUGGAGGCAGGCACGCAGCCUGUACGCGCCGGUCAUCGCCACCGCUCCUCUGCUCCGCCGGCCGUCCACGCCCAAACCAUGCCUCCUGCCCUCCACAUCUCCCCACACGGCACCGCCUCCGCCGGCCCUCCACGGGCCUCUUCGGCGCCCAACCACCCGCGGGCCUCUUCGGCGCCCCUCACCCGCCGGCCACCGCCCUCCCAGUGGUCCCUCUCACCGCCCCCUUCUCGGUGCCCACCAGCCGUCCUCCCGGCGCUCCCCACUCCACCACACGAAGACAAAGUCGAGACGGCACCAGGUGCCAGCAUCGCCGGCUCGCCGCACUUCGCUGGCCAACAAUCGCCACGGGCGCUCCCUGAUCCCUUCGCGCGGCAACAGCAACGGGUGCCCCAGUCCCCUCCAUGCGUCCGUGCACUCCGCCUGGGAGUUGCUCUAUUCCCAGGUAUGUUUGGCCAUGCCGACGGCCAUGACGCGUGAUGCUCUAUGGUUAGGAACGACUUACUUUGCAUGAACUGCUUAGCUCGUGAGUUUUGCAUCAGCCGCUUAGAGCAAGGCCAUGUGCGUAUUAAUUCAUCUCAAGCUCUUGGGGAUCGUUCUUCAGUAAAACAAAUCUGUACUAGAUCGCGCUUCAGUUUAAUUGGUGUGGCACAACUAUUCAUUUCAGGAGAGUCAAGACUUCUAUCUCAUAAGAUAUUCAAUGGAUAUUUUGUGAAACUAUUCUACCUCGGUGUUUGUCCAGAAGAAACAAACUCAUGUGAGUGAUAUUCAGUAGCCUUAUAGUAGCUAUUUGUGAGUGAGUUUGCCUGCAUAAUGUUAAUUAUGGCUUUCGCAGGUUCAGGAAGAGCUAUUUUGUGCACAUGAGUUGCUAUUGGCAGUGGAAAGAUUGUCUAUGUAGAGAGCUUAGAGAAAAAAGUGAGUGGUUCAAUUUUAUGUGAUGGGAAUGUUCACAAGGCAUCUUAAUUUUUGGAGAGAUAUAAACCCAUAAAGAAUUCAGAAUUGUGCUUGUUCACAGCUUUCUUUCAGUGAUUAGUAGUUGAUUUGCUUUGCAAAACAAUUAUAUUAUAGGUUAACUUGUCUAUAUAUUGCUUCACAUUUGUGUGUUUUAAGGUGAAUUCCGUACAGAUUGUGGUAGCUAGAGCAGGUGAAUGUCCGUGGCUGCUAGCUACAAGCAUCAAGUAAUCGUACCAAGAUUGCUUGGGUGUCGUGGUCCGAUAAGCAUCAAACAUUUGUAUGCCGAUUGGUAACAGGCUGAUUUAGAGUGGAUAAUCUACCGGUUUUGGGACUGACUUCAACAAGUAAAAAUUUAUGGGUAGUCAAGGUAAAUACUCACCCAAAGGGCAACAAAUUGGUUAUCGUUUUAACAGCAACUGGACAAAAGGUCCAUUUUCAAAGCAUUGUUUGAACUGGAAUGGUCGAUUUCUUUCUGCAGAAUAUAGUGCUGGUUUUAAUGGAUAAGAUGUCUUGGUAUUUUUUUUUAGUGAGAAAUGCAUCUUGGUUCAACCUUUCAUUUAUGUUUUCUGAACAUAGGUCAUGAUUCUGAACGAAGAGAGUGGAUCUUGAAUAGUAAAGAUGGUACUGCCCCAUAUAACUACAGUGCAAUUAUACUGGAGCAUGCAGGUUCAUCUUUGUUCAGUUAUACUGUGCAAUCUAGGUUCAUCUUUGUGCAGUUAUACUGCCUUCGUGUCCUAUAACUACUGGAAACUACGACCACAGUGCAGUUAUACGGGAACCUAUAACUACUGUGCAAUGUAGGUUGUUCUUUGUGCAGUUAUACUGCCUCCUAAUCCAACCUUCACUUUGUUGAUCCUGAAGCAUGAAAGCACAUUAUGUAGUAUGAUCUGCAGCCUUUUCAGCACUGUUUUUAUUUUUCCUUUUUUCUCUUUUUUCAUUUCCAGUUCUUGCUCUCUAAGCCGGUUCUCAGCUAAUGUACGGUUGUCCCCCCUUCUUAAUGCAAUGGCCGAACUACUUCUUGUUAUGGUCAAAAAAUCAAGUAAAAAGACAACAUCUUGAUUUGACUCUUAUAAAAUGAAAUAAAAAUAUUCAUAUUGAUGACCAUUUCUUGUAGCAUUGUUGAUGUUCUUUCGUUUGCCGUUUUAUGUUUUCACAGUUUGAUGAUGGUAUUUUUUGUGGUUAGAUUUAAAAGAUAUCAAGAAUGAAGAAUGAUGUUCUGGAUCUGUGCAAUGAUGACAUUAACAGGGGAAUUGCAUAAAUGGGGUAAUUCAAUUUUUGAUUUAGUCACUUGCAAAACUAGGUAACAGAACUUUGGACUAUCACAAUACUAUUGCUUUGAUAUUGAUUUGUCAUCGUCAGUGUCGAUGUGGGGCGUAGGAGGCACAGAGAUGAUGCUGAUCGCCAGCGAUUAGCAGUCGAGGAGCGGUACCCCGGCCUGCGCCUGAGCUACAAUAGCAUGUUACCAUUGAUAACAUGAGCUAUUGCUAAUGGUCUGCUGACUAAUGUACUGACAACUUGAAAUCAUCUUUUCUUUAAACUUAGUGGUAAUUUAUCAAGGAAAGAUAUAUAUUUGUUGGUCAGUUGCUCAGUUCCAGGGAUGGAAUCUGGCUUGCUUGCUGCUUUGCCAUAAGCCGCUUUUGUUUGCGACUGAAUUUAGCUCAUAAUAGCUCAAAAUGAAAGAAAAAAGUCGUUUUAUAUUGUGACAAAUAUGCUACCAACUUUUAUCUUAACAUUUAUUGUCCCUUUUUUUUGUUGUUUUUAUUUUUAUCUCUCUACUUUCCGGUUGCUUCCAAGCUUUACUUGAAGAACUAAUAUUAAAUUGUGAAUUCAUUUGAGACCCUGCCAUCUUAUAGUGGAGAAUCUAUAAGCGAGUGUUCAUACCAUGUGUCUCUUCACACUUACAUUGUAAGAGUCCUUGGAAUUGUAUAUCUAUUCUAUCUGAGUGGUAAUAGAUAUAGAUGUUGCUGAUGUAUUUAAUCUCAGUACAUUGUAGGAGAUCUCAUCGAGAUUUAAACUUGCAGAGUUUAUCGAAUGUAUCCAAAUCAUUGCACGUAUAUGUGGAUUGAAAAUUUAAGCUUUAAAGUAUUCAAAUUUUGAAAUCUAAUAAAACGUGUAUUGCACGUGCACGCUUACNNNNNNNNNNNNNNNNNNNNNNNNNNNNNNNNNNNNNNNNNNNNNNNNNNNNNNNNNNNNNNNNNNNNNNNNNNNNNNNNNNNNNNNNNNNNNNNNNNNNNNNNNNNNNNNNNNNNNNNNNNNNNNNNNNNNNNNNNNNNNNNNNNNNNNNNNNNNNNNNNNNNNNNNNAAAUAUUCACCCCAAUGCAAAAAAAUCGGUGGAUGAACCCCAAAAGGUCGGAUGAAGGCCUCCUAGGGGCGCAAUGGGUGGAGAUGCUCUAAGUACAUUCAGAUCCAUAAGCGUGAAUCUACCAAAUUAAUUAAGCACCGAGAGGAGGAAGGAGGGCAGCAAUACCACUACCUAGAUCUAUAGACUCCUGUGUAGUGUAGGAUCGCCGCCGGCCGCAGCGCGGCCGCGGCUGGCUGGAUCGGCCUGGAAUUUCCUAUUGGUCGUUCACUGCGGCAAAAUGCGGGCGCUUCGCACAGGGGGAACAACCGAGCGACGCUGCCUGGGCUGGCCCACUUAGAUACGUUACCAACUGCCCAAUCCGGUUUUGUGAACCUUCUAGAAGGUUUCCUGAACCAGGUUUUCGUUGCUUUCAUCGGUUUUUCCUUUUUUUCUUUGUUUUUCUGUUUCUUUUUUUCUUUUUCUUUUUUUCUUCUUUCUUUGUUUUUCUGUUUCUUUAUUUCAUUUUUUUCAAUUCCUUUUCUUCUCUUUCUAUUUCCUUUUUGUUCUUCAGAUUUUCAAAUUCCUUUUUUUUUCUUUNNNNNNNNNNNNNNNNNNNNNNNNNNNNNNNNNNNNNNNNNNNNNNNNNNNNNNNNNNNNNNNNNNNNNNNNNNNNNNNNNNNNNNNNNNNNNNNNNNNNNNNNNNNNNNNNNNNNNNNNNNNNNNNNNNNNNNNNNNNNNNNNNNNNNNNNNNNNNNNNNNNNNNNNNNNNNNNNNNNNNNNNNNNNNNNNNNNNNNNNNNNNNNNNNNNNNNNNNNNNNNNNNNNNNNNNNNNNNNNNNNNNNNNNNNNNNNNNNNNNNNNNNNNNNNCAUAAAAUGUUCAGUUUUUUUAAAAUUGUUCUCAAAAUUCAAAAAUUGUUCUCGUUACACAAAAAAGUGCAAAACUUUCGAACUUAAUAUAAUGUAUCGAACUUCAACUUUUUUGUUCAGGUUUUCAAAAAAUGUUUGCACUUCCAAAUAUAUUCGGGAUUUUUCAAAUUUGUUCUCUGUUUCAAAAUUUGUUCUUAAUAUUCAAAAAAUGUUCGUGCUUUAAGAAAUUGUUCGUGCUUCCAAAUUUGUUCUACGUUUCAAAAUUUGUUCUCAAGAUUCAAAAAAAUGUUCAUGCUUUUAAAAAAAAUCCGCGCUUCCAAAUUUGUUCUCUGUUUCAAAUUGUGUUCUCAAGAUUAAAAAAAUGUUCAUGCUCUAAAAAAUGUUCAUGUUCAAAUUUUGUUCUCAAAUUUCCGCACUGACAAAUUUGUUCUCCGUUUCAAAAUUUGUUCUCAAGAUUAAAAAAUUGUUCGUGCUUUAAAAAAAUGUUCAUGUUCAAAUUUUGUUCUUGAUUUCAAAAUUUUGUUCUCUAAAUUCAAGAAAUGUUCGGCAUUUUAAGAAGUGUUCAGUUUAUCAAAAAAUUGUUCAAGCCUUUUAGUUUUUCUUCUAAAAUUUGGAAAGUGUUCUCUUUUUAAGAAACACCUUUUCAAAAUAAUUUUCGUGUUAGGAAUUUGAGAAAAUGUUCGGGUGUCCAUUAUAUUUAGCUCCGCACGGCGUAGCAAACCAAGAAAGCUUGUCUAUCGCGAUGGCUAUGCUCAUGCAUACAUAGAUGGAGGUCUCUAGUUUGAUCCCUCUCUUGAGCAGAGGUUUUUGGGAUUUUUACAAUGCGUUGCGUGAAUGGGCCGGCCCAGCUGGAGACGCGCCUGUGCGUCCGCUCGACAAUUUGCCGCAGCGAGCGGCGCAUAGGAGCUCUCGAUCGGCCCCGUGUGCGUAGUGAGUGAUGUGGUGGCGACCGUGUAGAAAUGGGCCGUUGUAGGGCCAGGACGUCUCGGUCUACCCUGCUUCAUUUUUCUUUCGAAUUAACCCAUGAUCCAAAAUCCAGUUUAACUGAAAAAAAUAGUGCGCUUGAAAUAACUGAAAAAAAAGUUAAAGAUAAACAAAACAUGAUAAUCAAACCAUCUCUCGUGGUAUAGAAGGGUGGUUCUCCUCAGGUUGUCACAGAGGUAACUAAGGCAAGCCAAUUCAUUUCUCCAGUUGGUGUGGUUUUCUUCGCGUCAGGUUACGGUGUAUGACAGUAUGAGUACUUUUAGAUGGUUAUUAAGGAGAAGCCUGCCUUCAGCACCGGAGGCACGAACUAUGCGAUAACGGUGAAUCCGAAUGAGGAUCUCCGACUAAACCUUGUCUUCUUUGCGAUUUGGUACAUCCCGGGCAUCACCCAUGCCGUCAAUGCGGUUACGGGUCUCUUCUCCUAAGUAUAUUAGAUCAUGUAUUACAGAAGAAAAAAAUAGACCACGGAGAUUCAGAACAGCCAAAGCCAACUGUUACAGAAGUUAGAACAGUUGGUGCUUCUAUGUUUAAUAAAUAGACAAAGAUUUAGAAGAAUUUCUAUAGUGGGGGAAAGGGUGAAGAGAACCUAUGAUGAGUCUACUCUACCACAUCUUCCCCCUCUACCGAAAAUAGCCAAAGGAAGGAAAGCCAUAAAGAAGCUAACGAGAAGAAAGCCAGCUAUUCCUCUGUACAUGGUCAGCUGCAGUGAGCAGCAUUGAAACAGUCACAACUUCAGUAGUGGAGUAGUUCCUACUGAAAUGCCCUCUGAAUGUAUAUGCAAUGAGCAAAUUAGUUCAGCACAUGUGCGCACGAUAUUCAUUCAAUUCACUCCACAUGUUCAUAAAAUCUACACCACUAGUACUUACUCUGUAGAUUUCCAAAUUAAGCGAGCAUAAGCUCGAUAGUAGUUGAUCGGCCGAUAAGGCAAGUACUACAUACCAUUCACACGAAUGGCACACAUAGCCAACAAUCUAGUACAUCACAUAACAGCAGUUUGGUGCACCUAAUGCACAAAAGAUGCUUACUAACUACAGAGCUGAUAGCAUAAUAGGUACAGCAUAACAUAAUUCAUCCUCACACCUUUAACCGGCCAAAGCUGGAAACUUGCCAUAGUACGGCACAUAGAAUAGACUGAGAUAUAGUUUAGUGAAUCUUCUUGGAAUCUUUUGAAACUGUGAGCCUUUUCCAGUGCUGAUGCUAACCGAGAUGAUCUUAUCAGCAAUUUCGUCAUCAAGGAUAACCAGCUCCCUCUCCAGGUUAACAGUCCUGAUGUCAUAAUCGAAAUGCCAAUAUCCAUCACUGUGAGUGCGGAGUAACAUGUCCCUCCCAAAUACAUCGACCAUACUCAGACGAUGCUUCACUACCCACCUGUCGGGGCCUUCCAAACUCCAAAUCCGUAUCGCACAGCCAUCUAAUUCUUGUUUCGCAUAGCACAAGACGCCUGAGGACUGGCUAAGACGGCCGUUAUAACAGCAAAAUAUGUCCGUCCUAUCUGGAUAUCCUGGCAGCUGAAUGAACCUAUGGUUGAGCCCUUGUGUACAUCUGUCAGGUGCGUCUAGCGCCAGGAUUUUAUUCAAGAUGAAGUGCUUCAGAUACAACACCCCAUUUACAAAGAGAGAAUCACCUUCAAAUGGAUCUCUAGUUUUCCAAAGACAGCUAGACCAUGUGGAAUCCUUAGAGAAAAAUACCUUAACUUCAGUGUUGAUACAGCUCAUGACCUCGAUAGACUGGAAUUUGAAGACAUAGAAGUGUUCAGACCAUAAUGGAUCGAAACACAACUCAAAUGCAAUAUUGGAGCGGGCCGGGCCAGGUUCAGUAUCUGGAAGUGCCAUCCACUCUUGAGUUGCUGGAUUGCACACAAUAGCAUUGGAAAUUUCUUCACUUCUAAUUUUCUGAUAACAAAGAAGUAGGCCAUUGCAGCAACCCCGAAGCUGUAUUGGGUACUUAUAACAUGGCACAAAGCUAAGUGUUGUGUCAAUUUCCUUGUCACCUGAGGGCAGUCUGGCGAGAUGGAUGGCACUGCCAAGAGGGGAGGCAACUCUGCCACGCUCAAAUUUCUGGUACAAGAGGCCAGCGGGAGUUCUUGGGAGCUUUUGCCGAUAGUAUGGAUGAGAUGAGAGGGCAAGCCAAGACUUGCAGACACAUUUGAUGCGGCACAAGGACUUUAGCGGCAGUCGAGACAGGAUGUCUACUACCAGCUCAUCAGGUAGUACACAUGUGGACAUCCCCAAUCUAGGAUCUGAACUUAUCUGCAUCAAAAGAAAAGAAAAAAUUAGAUAAUGUAAAACUGGGAAACAAUAAAGUAUGUGUGUAAACAUCAUCUGAACCCAAAAAUUAAAAUCCAGCAAAGUUUCACCCUCCAAAAAACAAUGAAUGCACAUUUUUCUGUUGGUCCCAAUUGAUGCUUGAAUUAGUAAACGAGUGGCUGUUGAAACGUAUGUGAUCAUGUUCAUCUUAUGACAAUGACACCAUUGUGUAUAUGAAAGAACAUAUUUGGUAUGGACUUAUGACCUGUACUGAGUGGGUCACAGGGAUUCAAUGUGAAAGAACAGAUUUGGUAUGGGCUUAUGGCCUAUGCUACGUGGGUCACAGGGAUUCACCGUUUGGUUGACACAGGGAUACUGCUAUAUAGUAGUUAUGUGCAAGAUAAAAUAAAAUGACCAAGUUUUUCCAAUGCUUACAUCGCCAUCCAUCCUUGGAAAAAAUGUGAUCUGAUAAAAUCUAUAAUCCUAAGGACCUAUCAGACACCGUGAGAAGCUGAGACAGGUGCUAACUCGAGAAAUAAGCCAGGGCAAGUCAAGAAUAUCAUGUAUCCAUCCUUAGUGCGACUGACCAACAGAAACGAACUCAUCAGACAUCAGAUCAUGUAUAUGCUCCUAACCACGACUUCCUUUGGCAUCACGAAGACGACAGGAUGAGGGAAAUCCGUCAAUUUACAGGAUGGCACACCAACUGGCGAAACGGAUGGCGUUGAGAUCUAGGUUGCAUCUGCGAUGAGCUCAGAUUAGAAACAACACAUGAGGACAAACAUGCGGCAUAGACACCGAGGAGAGGAAGAGGAACGGGAGCUCACCGCAUAAUGCUUACUUCGGGUCGUCGGCGAGUACGGUCGGCCAGGCGGCAAGCGAAAACGAGGCUGCGGAGGUGAGGCAGCAACGCAGGAUUUGGAGGUGGGCGCAACGUAGUGCCUAGAGAGAAGGGGGAUAGGAGAGGAUGUGUUGAAUCUGAAUCAAGGAAAGAAGUAAAGCGAGUGCUCGAGGCCCCUCUAGAGAUAAAGGGAUAAGGGAAAGCACGCGGGACCACAUUGACACAUGUUUUGCAUGUGAGGUGGCUGACGCCAGCGCUUUUGUCACCCCACCGAACAAAAUUAUUUUCAUUUAGAAAAAUAAUACUAAUCUCACUUGAAAACAACGUUGGGAGUCGCUAGGGUGAUAUUUUCUCCGUCGGCUAUCUCUCCAGCCAUCCAUUGUACUUAAAAUGGUAAUUUUUGGAUCCCUAUCGUUGUAACAUUAAACACCCAAAUAUGAAAUAGUUAGAAUAUUCCCCCCCAUGAACCCAAAAUUUAUUCAUAGAAUUGCAACAUUUAAAACAUGCCCACAAAAAAUAUAGGACAUAAAAAAGGGUCAAAAUAGCAUGAACACGGGCAACAUGAAAAAUCAAUGUAAGAAUAUACAAGCACAACAUAUACAAUAACGAAGAAAACAUUUGUAACAUAAUUGCAAUCCCUUUGUGACAGAAGUUUGGAGUCAUUUACAAAAUCUCGUUCAUGUGUAUGCAGUAAACAACCUAUGCACAAAAAAAAUCCGCUUAACGCAUGUCCGACCAACUGAAAGGAUCAAAGUCUCAAAGAUAUCAAGAGGGGUAUUGAAUAGGCAACUAAUUUUUUACAAAAUCAUUGAUUUUAGGAAGUGUGGAAUUGGACCACACAAAGACUACAAUAUUCGCUCGAAGUUUAAGUCCUUGGGGUUCUAAUCUCCGUUGGAGAUACGUGGGACACCAAGGCACCAACAACCACAGAAACAUAGUGUUACUCUCCUUGAGCUUUGGCCACGAAUCCAAGCUCAACCACUAAGAGCAGAGCUUGAAGUAAUUUUCGGCCUUCACAAACUAUCCUUGGAAUAAUCCACAGCAUGGAAGAUCUCAGGAGACUCCAACCUUCUAAGAGUCCCCAGAAAUGCCACAGAAGUUGAACAGUUGACGCUCCUAUGUUUAAACAGACAUUUAGAAGAAUUCUACAGUGAGGGAAAGGGUGAAGAGAAAAGGAACGGAAAGCCAGCCUGAUUCACCUACAUUCUGGACAAGUCAAAGAUGGACUGCAGAGGAUACACAGACCUAAACAAGGCAUUUUGUACAUGGUCAGCUGCAGCCAGCAGCAUUGAAACAGUCACAACUUCAGUAGUAGUUCCUACUGAAAUGAUAAGUUUUGUGCAGCUUCAGUAGUAGUUCCUUCAGUGAACAGCAUAAGUUAGAUAAUAGUUGACCGGCCGAAAAGACAAGUACUACAUACACUACAUACAGUUCACACGAACGACACACAACCAACAAUCUAGUUCGUAGGAAUAGGAUUUUAUUUUUGAUGGAAGGCCCAUAGGAAUAGGAAUUCGGUUGCCUAAAACAGAGAGAGCGAGAAAGAUGGGCUCGAUCGGAUAUGUUCGUGACAUCCCCUACCAUCCAGCUUCUGCGUCCACUAUGCCCACGACUCAGCUCCACAUCAUGCUUGAUCCAAUAAUAAUCACGUAAGGCUGGCACACAAAAGUUUGUGGGCUCAUGCACCUCCUACCUUAUUUGCAUGGGGCUAAGAAAACGGUAAGGAAAAAACAAUAAAGAGGUGCACAAGGUCUCGCACCGGACGUGUCGUGAGCUUCUGCCUCCCGGAAGACCUGGCGCGUGCACGUUGCUGCUGCCACUGGUGUGCCGUUCGUGGCCGCGACAGCUCGUUCCUGUGCCUCCCGGUCGCCGCGCAGGAGCUCAUGACAACCUCCUCCACGUCCCGCCGCCAUGGUCACCACAUCGCCACUUGUCGGCCGGUCCUCUCGGUCCAGCCCAUGCUUUUUGCUGGUCCGGUCCCUGAAAACAGGACCGCUAGGUUGGUCCGUCCGGUCCGAUCCAGCCCGCUAGCGGCCAGUCCAAACGGUGGCUCGGUCAGGGACCGGACCGGACCGACCAUGUCCACCCUAUAAGGGCUCAAGAUUAUCUCAAAUUUGCAGACAUAGAAGUGCUGAGACUAUAAUGAUCAAAACACAACCUGAGAACAGCAAAUAUCUGGAAGUACAAUCCACUCUUUAGUUGCUGGAUUGCACACGAUAGCGUCAUAAAUUUCAUUAUAGUGCGUAUCACAAUGAUAACAAAGAAGUAGGCCAUUGUUGUAGUCCUUAAGCUUGAGAUCAACAUAGCACAAAAUCAAUAUCCCUAUCACUCGAGGGAAGUCCCGCCAGAAGGAUGGGAGUGCCAUGCUCACCUUUUUGGUAGAGGAGACGGACAGGAGUUCUUGGGAGCUUCUGGCGGUAGUGCGGAUCAGAUGAGAAGGCAAGCCAAGAUUUGGAGACACAUCUGAAAUGGCAAAAGGACUUAAGCGGCAGCCGAGACAGGAUCUCCACCACCAGGUCAUCAGGUAGUACAAUUGUGGUCAUCCCCUAACAAGGUUAUCUCCUAUGAGUUUUUGUUGUUGUUGAAAACACUCCUAUGAGCUUAUUUAGCAGAUGAACUUAUAUCUUCAUCAAAAGAGAAGAAAGUAAAUGAUAUAAAACUGAGGAACUUAGUGUUUAUCCAGAACUACAAGAAGUAAUGAUGCCCAUAAUUUAACGAUUAACCGGAAUGAGCAAAUUACUGGAUUGUAGCUGAGACCAGCACUUGAUAAUUGGUAAACAUUGACUCCAUGCCCAAAAUAUGGAUGUAGGAUUGUGGAUGCCAUUUGAACUGAAAUACUAUACAACUUUCACACUAAAAACCAUGACUAAAUUUUUUGUUGUUGGUCCCCUUCUAACGAUAGCUUUUGCAGUUUACACCAGAAUUUGUAAAUGUGGAUUGAGGAAAGUUUUGAAGCAUAUUUUCGUACGGGCUUAUGGCGUUCGCUGAGUGUGUGAGCGUGGGUCACGGGGAUUCAUAGUUAUGUGCAAUUGUGCAAACAAUAAAAUUACUAAGUUUUUUCCAAUGAUUGCUUUGCCAUCCAUUACAUAACAAGCCAGCAACAAUGAAAUCAUAAUGCAGUGCGUUGCUUAAUGCGCUGUGAAACAGAAAGUUAUCUGAUAAAAAAGUGAACAUAAUGAACCUUCAGGAUCUAUAAUCUUAGGGACCAACAAAAAAAAUAGUAAUGGUGCAAGGGCAAAUAUAAGCAACUCGUGAGAUAAGCAAGACAUCAGAUCAGGUGUAUGUUCCAAACCUCGAUUUGCUUUCGUGGCACGAAAUCGACAGGAUGAGGGGAAAUGAGAAAGCUCCAUGUAUUGAAAGCUCCAUGUUACUCCAGAUGUUCAUAACAUCAACAAGAUAUAGCAAUAUGCAUAUGCUCUGCAACUUUCCUACACUACGCUAGCAAUACAUAACACAUAACGAAGCCAACAAUCCAUGGAGCUUUCUCAUUUCCCAUGGAGUUAUUAAGACCAGAGAAGUGCCAAAUAGAUGAACAUAACAGAUACCGAAGCCAACAAUCCGGAACAUACAUAACAGCUGUUUGGUACAGCUAGUGCACAAAAGAUAUCAGGAUGAGGGGAAAUGCGGACUCACCUGCUUGGGGGAGAGGAAUCCAGGGUGGCGGAACGGCCGUCGUGAGAGUCAGAUUGCAUCUGCACGACCUCAGAUCAGAAACGACACAUGACAUGAGGAUAACAUUCAGCAUAAAGCAUCGACGAGAGGAAAAGGCACGAGAGCUCACCGCGUAAGCCGGCAAGCUGGACGUUGCCGGAAGCAGCGGUAGUGCCGGAGAAGGGUCUCGCCGCCGCUCUCCGGAGAAUGGGGAUUCACCGCUACUUGGGAGAGACUCGUAGUGGGAAAAGCAACGACAGUAUUUGGGCUGAGGCUCUUACUGGGCUGGGCCAAGUCCCUCAUAUUCGAUUAUUUUUUUCUACACAUUCGGCGACUGAACUAGAGACCUCCGAGAGCAACUAAUUAACGAGCGCUCCUUUGGAAGCCUCGUAACGAUCAGCACAACUUGGUGCGCUCUCAGCGAUUCGCCACGUGCCGCGCUCUGAACGCUCCCUCCAGAUUUUAUUUUUUAUAUUUUUCCGCACGCGUUUUUGGCUUUUUAAACGGUUUUUUUCAGGUUUUUUCGAUGUUUUGGUUUUCCACCGGUCUUCCCUAGCUUUUCAACAAAAAAAAACAAUUUUAAAAAAAAAUUGCGCAAAAAAACGUGUUUUCUUUUUUCUUCCUUUCCCGAGAGUCAUGGUUUUAUUCCCGUGAGAGGCACGACCGUGCCUCUUGGAAACGAAAAAAAAGCGUUUUCUAUUUUUUUUUCCUUUCGCGAUAGUCAUGGUUUAGCUUCCGCGAGAGGCACGGUAGUGCUUUCGCGAGAGUCACGGUCGUGCCUCUUGGAAAUAGAAAAAAAACGCGUUUUCUAUCUUUUUUCUUCGCGAGAGUCACGGUUUUGCUUCUGUGAGAGGCACGGUUGUGCUUUCGCGAGAGUCACGGUCGUGCCUCCUUAGAAACGAAAAAAAACGCGUUUUUUUAUUAUUAUUUUUCUUUCGCGAGAGGCACGGUUGUGAUUUCGUCAGAGGCAUGGGCGUGCCUCUUUUGAAAAGGGAAAAACCCAUGCUCCCGGUUCGGUUUUUCCGUCCGGUUUUUUUUGUCCAACUUUUUUCAUGAAAAAAAUUCGUCAAAAUCUAUCAACAUCGGAUCUAGUUUUGAAGAUCUCGAUGCGAGAAAUCCAACGGUGAAAGCGGUUCAAGAUUUGGACGCAUGGUUUAAGAGAUAAAACCUUUUGAAUAAACGGAUCUAUGAAAAGAGGAAAAACUCCCAGGUUACGACAAGUGGCGCACAUGCAACGCGCCACUUGUCGCAACCUGAGGAAUUGGAAUGAUCUUCGUAAUGAGUACUCCUUAACUAGUGAUUUCGGAGACCUCCUAUGUGCUGCUUACUGCGGCAAAAUGAUGCAGGUUCGCACAGGAGACGAGUCACCUGGCCAGCCCAUUCGCUACCCUUGCGGAACGAAAAAUAGCAACAACAAAAAAGACAUGGUGAAAGCAGUUUGAGAUUUGGACGCACUGUUUAAGAGAUAAAACGUUUUGAAUAAACGGAUCUAUGAAAAAAGNNNNNNNNNNNNNNNNNNNNNNNNNNNNNNNNNNNNNNNNNNNNNNNNNNNNNNNNNNNNNNNNNNNNNNNNNNNNNNNNNNNNNNNNNNNNNNNNNNNNNNNNNNNNNNNNNNNNNNNNNNNNNNNNNNNNNNNNNNNNNNNNNNNNNNNNNNNNNNNNNNNNNNNNNNNNNNNNNNNNNNNNNNNNNNNNNNNNNNNNNNNNNNNNNNNNNNNNNNNNNNNNNNNNNNNNNNNNNNNGGAGACCUCCUAUGUGUUGCUUACUGCGACAAAAAUGUUGCAGGUUCGCACAGGAGACGAGUCACCUGGCCCGCCCAUUCGCUACCCUUGCGGAAUGAAAAAUAGCAACAAAAAAAAGACACGGUGAAAGCGGUUCGAGAUUUGGACGCACGGUUUUAGAGAUAAAACGUUUUGAAUAAACGGAUCUAUGAAAAAAAGGAAAAACUCCCAUAUUACGACAAGUGGCGCACAUGUAACGCGUCAAUUGUCACAACCUGAGGAAUUGGAAUGAUCUUCGCAAUGAGUACUCCUUAACUAGUGAUUUCGGAGACCUCCUAUGUGCUGCUUACUGCGGCAAAAUCGCUGCCCUUGCGGAAUGAAAAAUAGCAAAAAAAAAGACACACUACGUAGGGAUUGAACUCACGACCUUCUAUAGAUGCUCGCUAUGCGCAAGCCACUGCGAAACACACACUAUUAUGUAAAAACUGCAGCGCGAAACUUAAAGAACUAGGCAGCCAUGAAAAUAAAACAAGUUCACGAAAUUCCAUAGAAAUGAAAUUUGUGGGCAACAAAUCGAACUCUUCUCCUCAAGCCAGGGAAGCUAGUCCAUAGCCACUGUGGUAAUUCCCAUACAUUUUUUAAUUAAUAACAAAAUUUAACCAUGUCAACAUUUUUUUAAUUUCCGAUUUUUUUUAAAUGUGAACUUUUUCCUAAAAAAAAGAAUUUUUGGUGUGGGAACCUAAUUUAAAAAGUUGAACAUUUUUUGAAUUACUGAACUUUUUUUAAAUGAGCGAACAAAAUUUGAAAAACAGGAACAUUUUCAGUAAAAAUGAAUAAAAUUUGUAAAAAUGAGAACAAAAAUUAAUAUUCUGAACAAAUUUUGAACUCUAAACUUUUGAAAACACGAACAACAUGAACAAAUUUGAAAAAAUGAGAACAAAAAUUAACAUUUUGAACAAAUUUUAAGAACAAAAAUAAGAUUCUGAACAAUUUUUAAAACACGAGCAACAAUGAGAACAAAAAUUAACAUUCCGAACAAUUUUUGAACUCCAAACUUUUGAAAACACGAACAACAUGAACAAAAUUUGAAAAAAAAUGAGAACAAAAACAAACAUUCCAAACAAAUUUUCAGAACAAAAGUAAGAUUUCAAACAAUUUUUGAAAAAGGAAACAAAAUUUGUGACUUAGAACAUUUUUGAAAUUUCUGAACAAAUUUUGAAAAUGCGAACAAUUAUUGAGAUUCUCAUCUUUUCCGAAUUUUGUGCAUUUGAAAUAAAACUUGAAAACAGGAAAUAUUUUCAUUGUUUGUAACAAAAAUUUGAAAAAUGUAAUCAAUUUUGAAAAUUAUGGACACUUUUUGAAAAAGGAAAAUAAACUUGAAAAAAAGAAAGAGAAAAAUAAAAAUGAACAGAAAAAGAAAAAGUAAAAAAGAAAAAGGAAAAAUAAUAGAAAGCCGGAAAAACCAGAAAAGAAUCUAAACAACAACAAAAACCCGGUUUAGGGAACCUUCUAGAAGGUUCCCAAAACCGUUUGGACGGACUGUGUGUAUUUGGAAGUGGGCCGGCCCAUGUUUUGUCGUUGGCUUGGCUGCUCUAUGCGAUCGCCUGACACUUUGCCACAGCGAGCAUCCAAUAGGGUUUUCCACUGAACUAGGCGGUCUAUCAGCGAAACUGCACAAUAGAGGACCUUCAACAACAACUAUCCAAGUUUUCUAAAAAAAAUAGCAACUAUCCAAGAUAUCAAGGGAAGAAUGCUUGAUUUUGCUUCGGUGGAUUUCAUCCAUGAGAAGCGAGAGUUGAAUCUUGAAUCUCAUAUAAAUUAUUUAAAGCAUCAACUGCUUUCGCUUUUGGCCAUCAUGUGUUGGCUUUCUGAUUUACCAGACAUCAUUUGUAUCCCUGAACUUAUUCCUAGAUAAAUAAAGUUGCUUGACCACCGGAAAAAAAACCCAGCGAAACUGCACAAUAGUACAACGUCAUUCGAGUUCGAGUAUUUGUUAAGCCUACUAGUAUUGCUAUAGGCAAUGAGGGAUGGGUUGGAAUUUGUUUCCCUCGGUUUUAAUCGUCUUGAAGCAGAAUCAGAUUCUUCACAAGUAAUUGAUUUCUUUACCUGGCGGACACAAUUGUGGGAUGCAGCCUCGGCAAUAUUUGUGGAGUGUGUGGAUACGGUGUCGAUAAUUGAAAAGGUCAUGUUUAAGCAUUGUUUACGAACUGCUAAUAAGGCAGCUCAUGUGCUAGCGAAUCAUAAUUUUUGUAAUAAGAUGUCUUUUACUUGGUUAGACGAACCGCCUGAUUUUGUUAGCAGUGCGGUCGCGAACGACGUAACCCAGUUUGAAUUUUAAUAAAGCUAGUCUGGAUGGCCUUAUCCUCGGAAAAGAAACCAAUAUUGCUAGAUUUUUGCUUGAUUUAGCUCGACGUCAUCACAUGUGUGGUUUCUGGAGCCUCCGGACUAUGUAAAACUUUCUGUUACUGAUUAAUAAAGUCUGGUGUUUUGCUCAUACAAAAAUUUAUGAAGCCAACAAACUUCGGCAAGAGUAAUUAGUCAAGGGGUCCUCCUUGCGAAAUGGCCCACCAAAGCGGUUUGUUCUUGGUUUCCCUUUCAGUUUUGGGUUUUGUAACUUUUGCACUUUGCCCUUCAUACUAUCUAGGUUUUUCGCUUUUCCCUUCCACGCGUGACACGGGUAAAAAAUAGACGCCAAAACUUUAGCCAAAAAUUGGCGUGCGUAGCAACAAAAGUAGAAUACAGCUACCAAAAAUCCCCCUUUUCACUUUCUUUUCUGAUUAUAUUUCUGGGAGAUGGAGUUUUAUGGGGUAAUUAUGGGUGUGGGGGCUUCUAAAAACUAUCAAAUGAUAGCUUUCAACUAAAAAAACAAGUUUCAGUAAUAUUACAGUGCCUGCAGGCGCAAUUCCUGCUCGCCUCCAGCUCAUUAAAAUUUCAUAUACAUCUUGAAGGGGGGUCAUAGGUCGAUGUGUGUGUUCUUCGACAACGUGUUUAUCAUAAUAACCGUGUGCUUCCGACUUCGCUGGUAGGCGAUCCCGGUUCAAAACUCCUCUCCCUUUGAUCUAAUCCUUAAAGUUCAAAACGUGUCUCACUUCCCUGCCCAUUUCCUCUUGGAUGCUCAUGAUCAUCAUCAUCACAACAUCUUCGUUCGACUCCGACGAAUCUAAGGACUCCUUUUGCAUUACUUCAUCAAGCUCCGUGUUUCCAUACUCCUCAUCUGACGAACCAUCCGAAUUCAUCAUUUUCCUACAAAAGAAUCACAAAAGAACUGGUUGGACAAUUUUUCAAACACACAGAGAGCAAGGUACAGUCCAAGAAUAGCCGAUGACAUAGGCGAUGGAUCAAUGGAAUGUCCAUGAUGUCAGUAUGCUCAAGAAGCUGUGGUCACAGACCAUGCCACCAGCGAAUGGAUGAAGCAAGAGGAGGGCAUCCUUGCCUGCAAGUAGGGAAUCCGUAGGAAUAUUGAAGGAGGAUACCAUGACCAAACUCCUUGGAUGGCCUCCGAACUGUACCUGAAGAACUCAUCGGCGAAGCAUGCUAGCUGCUCGAAUCUCCGCACUGUCUCGGCAAGGGGGGUCCUACUGGACUUCACGAUGACUGAAACAUUAGCUCAUUUGGUAACAACCUAACAUAUGAGAGCUGGCUGCUGCUAUGCCGAGAGACUGAAACCUGGCAAGAUUACAAGAGUGCUCCCAGCCAUUGUAUAGAAAGCACACACUGCAUCACACAUCCUUUUACCCAAAGCUUCAUGUUACUAUGCAGGUUUCCUAAAUUAUACUAGCAUAAGUAAGACCAGUGUUAACAGGAGAAAUGAGAAGUGACAAUUAGAUGAACAUACAUAACGGCUGUUUGGCACAGCUAGCGCACAAAAGAUACCUAGAGAUUACAUCAUCCAUCGGGUAAAUAUUCUAACAUUUGUCUUGAGCUCCCUGAAGCACAGAAGCUGGAAACUUGCCAUAGUAUGGCACGUAGAGUAGACUUCGAUAGAGGUCAACAAACCUUGGAAUGUUUAGAAUCUGCGAGCCCUUUCCAGUACUGAUGCUAUAUGAGAUGAUCUUAUUAUCAGCAAUUGUGUCAGCAAGGAAAACUAGCUCUCUCUCCAAGUCAAAUGCCAGGAUUUCAUAAUCAAAGUACCAUAAUCCUUCAUUGUUAGUAUGGAGCAUUAUGUCCCUCCCAAAUACAUUGUUCAUAUUUAGACGAUGCUUCACCACCCACCUAUCAGAUUCUUCCAAACUCCAAAUUCGGAUCAUGCAACCAUCCAAUUCUUGUUGUGCAUAGCAUAAGACUCCAGAUGACUGCCAAAGACGCCCGUCAAAGCAAUAAAACAUCUGAUCUACUCCAUAUGGAAACCCUGGCAACUGAAUGGUCCUAUGAUUGAGCUGCUGUGUGCAUGUGUCAGGUGCAUCGACUGCCAGAAGGUAAUGCCUCCAUAAGUGCUCCACAUACAACACCCCAUUUACGAAGAGCCAAGCACCAGUAAAUGCAUCACUAGUUUCCCAAAGACAACUAGACCAUGUGGAAUCCUCGGAGAAAAAUACCUUAACUUCAGUGUCAUAUCCACCAUUUGGGCUCGAACUUGACUCAAAUUUGAAGACAUAGAAGUGUUGAGACCAUAAUGGAUCAAAACACAACCUGAGAACAGAAAAUGAGACGGCUAGUCCAGGUUCAGUAUCUGGAAGUGCCAUCCACUCUUUAGUUGCUGGAUUGCACACGAUCGCGUCAGAAAUUUCUUUAUAGUACGUAUCACCAUGAUAACAAAGAAGUAAGCCAUUGCUGCAAUCCUGAAGCUUUAAGGGAUGCUCAUAACAUGGCACAAAGCUAAGUGUUGUGUCAAUAUCCCUGUCACUUGAGGGAAGGCCCGCAAGAUGGAUGGCAGGGUCAUGCUCUCUUUUUUGGUACAGGAGACCGACGGGAGGUCUGGGGAGCUUCUGGCGGUAGUGCGGAUCAGAUGAGAAGGCAAUCCAAGACUUGGAGACACAUUUGAAACGGCAAAAAGACUUAAGCGGCAGCCCAGACAAUAUCUCCACCACUAGGUCAUCAGUUAGUACAGCUGUGGUCAUCCCCUGCCGAGGUUCUAUAUCUCCUUUGAGCUUAUCUAGCAGAUGAACUUAUAUCUACAUCAAAAGAGAAGAAAAUAGAUGAUAUAAAACUGAGAAACUUACUGUUUAUGCAGAAGUGGAAGAAAUAGUGAUACCCAUAAUUUAACGAUUAACGGAAGCUCAGAUCAGCACUUGAUAAAUGGUAAUCAUUGACUCCAUACUGGAAAUAUGGAUGUAGAAUCAUCGAUGUCAUUGCACAGAAAUAGUAUCCAACUUUCACACUAAAAACCAUGACUGUUUUUUGUUGUUGGUCCCCUUCUUACAAUACUUUCGUGGUUUAUUCACACCAGAAUUUGCAAACGAGUAAAGUUCUGAAGCAUAUUUUCGUAUGGGCUCAUGGCCUAUGCUGAGAGGGUCACGGGGAUUCACCGGUUGAAUGACACAGGGAUACUGCUAUCUACUCCUAUGUGCAAACAAUGAAAUUACUGCGAGUUUUUCAUCAGAUAUCAGAUCAUAUAUUCAUAUAUAUGCUCCAAACGGCGACUUCCUUUCGCGGAAUGAAGGCGACAGGACGAGGGGAAAAGCGGACUCACCAGCUAGGGCGAGGGACGGCGGAACAGACGGCGGUGAGAUCCAGGUUGCAUCUGCAACGAGCUCGGAUCAGAAUUCAGAAACCGCACACGAGGACAAACAUGCGGCGUAGGCACCGAGGAGAGGAAGAGGAACGGGAGCUCACCGCGUAAUGGUUGCUUCCGGUCGUCGGCGAGUGCGGUCGGCCAGGCAGCAACCGGAACGAGGCUGCGGAGGUGAGGCGGCAGUACGGGGAGCUUGACGCUGCAGCAAGCAGCGGUCGUGCCGGAGAAGGGCCUCGCCGCGGCUCGCCGGAGAAUGGGGAUUCGCCGCUAGUUGUCCAGAUUGGGAGAGAGUGGGAUCACAUUUGGGCCGAGGCUGCUCGCUAGGGCAAAGGAAGAAAGAGAGCCUCUUACUGGGCUGGGCCUAGUCCCUCUCGUUUUUAUAUUUGCCUCAGCUCUCUACUACUACUCUGAUAUGCGAGCGGCGAUCCCUCAAAAAAAAAAUUGAUAUGCGAGCGGCUUGGAAUCCAGCAAGUGAGGUGCGGUGGCGCAAGAUUGAAAAUAACAUGUUUACAGUCCAAUUUGGAUGCCUAGGAGAUUUUUAUCGGGGACAUCCGGAUGCCUAGGAGAUUGAAAAUAGCCAUUGUGCUUACAAAUUCGGUCACUGGAUGGCACAUGUCCCACAGCCUAACGCGUAUUUUUUGAAUUUUCUUACUUUUAAGAGGAAUCUCUAUUUCCGAUCAUGUCAUCAUCUAGCCCCAUUCAACGUCUUGGAAGUGGACUAGGAUCAGGUGACUUGCCUCUUGGCAGUCACGCUGUAACAUGCGCCUGUAAGUCCAACAUAUGUAGCUUUGUGUGCCUGAUCUUGCUGAGUUUUUGUUCUUUUCUUUUUCUAGAGAUUGAUUUAUGGUUGACUUAAAUCGCUGAAGUCUGGGCCGUCUUUGGCCUUCAAUGAACGUUGGAUUUAGAGUAUCUCCACUCGUUCGGCCCUCCAGUGCAUAGGCCGACGCCUUUUCGUGCAUCCACCCGGCGAUUUUUAGACCCUGGGGGCAACUAAGGCCCCAGCCACGCCCCCAGGUGCCGCCCCCCAGGGCCCCAGCCAUGUGCCCCAUAUUCAAACUUGAUCGUUCCCGCUUCAAAAAAAGGCCUGAUCCGGCGAUCAUCGCAAUAGUUCAGCGAUCAGUGCCACAGUUCAGCGAUCAAAUGAAAGGAUAGCCAAUAGUUCGGCGCACAAAAAAAGGAAGGACGCGAAUGGAAUGCAUCAAACAUCGAGGUCGCCCUCCGGUGUCGUCAUCUGCGUGCGCGGGCUGGGAGGAGUCGGCACGGCUUCUGGACUAGUCGGCGCGGCUUCUGUGCUGCUGGGCGUCGCGGAUGCAUCAUCAGUCGGGCUGGGCGGUGGCGUUGGCGUCGGCGUUGGAGUCGCCGGUAUCUAGUUCAGGAUGAGGCCGCGCUCCACCAGGAACCACGCCUUGAGCUUCUCGUCGCCGCUCUGGAGCAUGUCAGCGCCGCCCAUCAAGAAAGCCAGGUCGUUGUUCCUCUUCUUGGCGUCUUGAGCUUUGAGCUUCGUGGCAACGUUGGUCCGGAGCAAGUCGAGUUUGACGGCGUUGUUCGUCGUCAAAGCAGCCCACCGCGCCUCAGAUUUCUCUUCUCGCUGGGCAGCCCUGGUCUUGGCGUCGGCGAGGCAAUGCUCGAUGGACUCUUGCACGCGUGCGGCAGCCGACUCAGCGUGUUUCACCUUCUUGGCCCCUUUGUUGCCGUCCGGGCGCCCGUCGGCCGCGCCCGGUGUCGGCGCGUCCAGCUUAUACGUCUCCUUGGCCUUGACGAGGGUGCACCGGAUAUCCGCCCACUUCUCGCACUUGUCGAUCCGUUUGAAGACGUGGAGGUACUUGAACUCUUGGUCACUGUUGUCGUCGCGGUACAUGGCGAACAUGCGCAACAGCUGCGGCGAAGAGCGAGCAUCAGUCGACGCGGGCGUGCAAAUGGGCGCGUGCAUGGCGAGAGGAAUAGGGAGAGGGCGGCGUGCUGUACCUGAUCCUCGACGCUGGUGCUGCUCUCCGGGCGAGCUGCGACCUCCUCGACGAUCCCAUGCCAUUUGUCGCACGCUGUUUGGAUGAGCCCCAAAUGGUUCCCCAUCGCCUUCGACCCCCGCUGCAUGUGGACGCUUUUGAGUAGGGGUCGACGAGCUUGCGCUCGUCGAACUCAGCCUUUAUGCGGUACCAAUAUGUGUCGAUUUUCUGGUUCGUGCCGGUGAUCGGGUCGAGGCAGAUAACUUUCCACGCUUCGGCGAGGCACUCAUCUUCCUUGGUCGCCCACUUGAUGCGCGGCUCGCCGGUCUUGGCCGCCCCUUUCUUCUUCUUCUUCUUCUUCUUCUUCUUCUUCUUCUUCUUCUUCUUCUUCUUCUUCUUCUUCUUCUUGCCUUUCCUCGUCCGCGCCGGCUCUUCCUCUUCCUCCUCCUCCUCCUCCUCCUCCUCCUCCUCCUCCGGCUCUUGCUCGCCGUAGUCGAGCUCGCCGUCCAUGUCGUCGAGAUAAAUCGAGCCGUCUUAGGUAGUGAACCCAGGGGAAGCGGCGGCGGCAGCCGAGCCGGCUGCGAUGAUGUCUUCCAUGUCGGCCUCUGUCGCGUCGGCGUCGCCAAGAUGCGACGAGGAGGAGGCUUGCGAGUAGAGGCCGCGACGGAGAAGUGGCGUCAGGGAGGCGGCGUAGUCCGGUGACGAGUACGUGUAUGGAGGGUACUGUUGGAGAACGUUGCAGAAAACAAAAAAUUUCCUACGGUUUCACCAAGAUCCAUCUAUGAGUUCAUCUAACAACGAGUGAUUAGAUACAUCUACAUACCUUUGUAGAUCGCGAGCGGAAGCAUUCAAAGAACGGGGAUGAUGUAGUCGAACAUGACGUCAUCCAAAUCACCGGAGAUCCUAGCACCGAACGGACGGCACCUCCGCGUUCAACACACGUACGGAACAGCCACGUCUCCUCCUUCUUGAUCCAGCAAGGGAGGAGGAGAGGUUGAGGGAGAUGGCACCAGCAGCAGCACGACGGCGUGGUGUUGAUGGAGCUGCAGUACUCCGGCAGGGCUACGCCAAGCACUAUGGAGGAGGAGGAGGUGUUGGAGAGGGAGAAGGAGGCAAACCAAAGGCCUGGGUGGUUUUGCUCCUCCUUUUCCCCACUAUAUAUAGGGCCAAGGGAGAGGGGGAGGCGCAGCCCUUGCCCCUUCCUCCAAGGAAGGGUGCGGCCAAAGGGGGGGAGGAGUCCAUCCUCCCCAAGGCACCUUGGAGGUGCCUUCCCCCUUUAGGACUCUCCCCUUUUUUUCUUCUCUUGGCGCAUGGACCUCUUUGGGCUGGUGCCCUUGGCCCAUGUAGGCCAAGGCACACCCCCUACAGCCCAUGUGCCCCCCCGGGAUAGGUGGCCCCACCCGGUGGACCCCCGGGACCCUUCCGGUGGUCCCGGUACAAUACCGAUAACCCCGAAACUUGUCCCGAUGCCCGAAACAGGACUUCCCAUAUAUAAAUCUUUACCUCCGGACCAUUCCGGAACUCCUCGUGACGUCCGAGAUCUCAUCCGGGACUCCGAACAACCUUUGGGUUACUGCAUAUACAUAUCCCUACAACCCUAGCGUCACUGAACCUUAAGUGUGUAGACCCUACGGGUUCGGGAGACAUGUAGACAUGACCGAGAUCGCUCUCCGGUCAAUAACCAACAGCGGGAUCUGGAUACCCAUGUUGGCUCCCACAUGCUCCACGAUGAUCUCAUCGGAUGAACCAUGAUGUCGAGGAUUUAAUCAACCCCGUAUACAAUUCCCUUUGUCAAUCAGUAUGUUACUUGCCCGAGACUCGAUCGUCGGUAUCCCAAUACCUUGUUCAAUCUCGUUACCGGCAAGUCACUUUACUCGUACCGUAAUGCAUGAUCCCGUGACCAGACACUUGGUCACUUUGAGCUCAUUAUGAUGAUGCAUUACCGAGUGGGCCCAGUGAUAUCUCUCCGUCAUACGGAGUGACAAAUCCCAGUCUCGAUCCGCAUAAAACAAUAGAUACUUUCGGAGAUACCUGUAGUGCACCUUUAUAGUCACCCAGUUACGUUGUGACGUUUGAUACACCCAAAGCACUCCUACGGUAUCCAGGAGUUACACGCUCUCAUGGUCAAAGGAAGAGAUACUUGACAUUAGAAAAGCUCUAGCAAAUGAACUACACGAUCUCACGCUAUGCUUAGGAUUGGGUCUUGUCCAUCACAUCAUUAUCCUAAUGAUGUGAUCCCGUUAUCAAUGACAUCCAAUGUCCAUAGCCAGGAAAUCAUGACUAUCUGUUGAUCAACGAGCUAGUCAACUAGAGGCUUACUAGGGACAUAUUAUGGUCUAUGUAUUCACACGUGUAUUACGAUUUCCGGAUAAUAUGGUUAUAGCAUGAAUAAAGACAAUUAUCAUGAACAAAGAAAUAUAAUAAUAAUGCUUUUAUUAUUGCCUCUAGGGCAUAUUUUCAACAGUCUCCCACUUGCACUAGAGUCAAUAAUCUAGUUACAUUGUGAUGAAUCGAACACCCAUGGAAUUCUGGUGUUGAUCAUGUUUUGCUCUAGGGAGAGGUUUAGUCAAUGGAUCCGCUACAUUCAGGUCCGUAUGUACUUUACAAAUCUCUAUGUCUCCAUCUUGAACAUUUUCACGAAUGGAGUUGAAGCGACGCUUGAUGUGCCUUGUCUUCUUGUGAAACCUGGGCUCCUUGGCAAGUGCAAUAGCUCCAGUGUUGUCACAGAAGAGCUUGAUCGGCCCCGACGCAUUGGGUAUGACUCCUAGGUCGGUGAUGAACUCCUUCAUCCAAAUUGCUUCAUGUGCUGCCUCCGAGGCUGCCAUGUACUCCGCUUCACAUGUAGAUCCCGCCACGACGCUCUGCUUGCAACUGCACCAGCUUACUGCCCCACCAUUCAAAAUAUACACGUAUCCGGUUUGUGACUUAGAGUCAUCCAGAUCUGUGUCGAAGCUAGCGUCGACGUAACCCUUUACGACGAGCUCUUCAUCACCUCCAUAAACGAGAAACAUUUCCUUAGUCCUUUUCAGGUACUUCAGGAUAUUCUUGACCGCUGUCCAGUGUUCCUUGCCGGGAUUACUUUGGUACCUUCCUACCAAACUUACGGCAAGGUUUACAUCAGGUCUGGUACACAGCAUGGCAUACAUAAUAGAACCUAUGGCUGAGGCAUAGGGGAUGACACUCAUCUCUUCUAUCUCUGCUGCCAUGGUCGGACAUUGAGCUGAGCUCAAUUUCACACCUUGCAAAACAGGCAAGAACCCUUUCUUGGACUGAUCCAUUUUGAACUUCUUCAAAAUCUUAUCAAGAUAUGUGCUUUGUGAAAGACCUAUGAGGCGUCUUGAUCUAUCCCUAUAGAUCUUGAUGCCUAAUAUAUAAGCAGCUUCUCCAAGGUCCUUCAUUGAAAAACUCUUAUUCAAGUAGGCCUUAAUGCUGUCCAAAAGUUCUAUAUCAUUUCCCAUCAAAAGUAUGUCAUCUACAUAUAGUAUGAGAAAUGCUAUAGAGCUCCCACUCACUUUCUUGUAAACACAGGCUUCUCCAUAAGUCUGUGUAAACCCAAACGCUUUGAUCAUCUCAUCAAAAUGAAUGUUCCAACUCCGAGAUGCUUGCACCAGCCCAUAAAUCGAGCGUUGGAGCUUGCACACCUUGUCAGCAUUUUUAGGAUCGACAAAACCUUCCGGCUGCAUCAUAUACAAUUCUUCCUUAAGGAAACCAUUAAGGAAUGCCGUUUUGACGUCCAUUUGCCAAAUUUCAUAAUCAUAAAAUGCGGCAAUUGCUAACAUGAUUCGGACGGACUUCAGCUUCGCUACCGGUGAGAAAGUCUCAUCGUAGUCAACCCCUUGAACUUGUCGAUAACCCUUAGCGACAAGCCGAGCUUUAUAGAUGGUCACAUUACCAUCCGCGUCUGUCUUCUUCUUAAAGAUCCAUUUAUUUUCUAUGGCUCGCCGUUCUACGGGCAAGUCAGUCAAAAUCCAUACUUCGUUUUCAUACAUGGAUCCUAUCUCGGAUUUCAUGGCUUCUAGCCAUUUGUCGGAAUCCGGGUCCGCCAUUGCUUCUUCAUAGUUCGAAGGUUCACUGUUGUCUAACAACAUGAUUUCCAAGACAGGGUUGCCGUACCACUCUGGUGUGGAACGUGUCCUUGUGGACCUUCGAAUUUCAGUAGGAGCUUGAUCAGAAGUAUCUUGAUCAUUAACUUCCUCUCUAACCGGUGCAGGCACCUCAGGAACAUUUUCUUGAGUUGCGCCAUUUUCCGGUUCAGGAGGUAAUACUUCAUCAAGCUCUACUUUCCUCCCACUUACUUCUUUCGAGAGAAACUCUUUCUCCAGAAAGGACCCAUUCUUGGCAACAAAGAUCUUGCCUUCGGAUCUGAGGUAGAAGGUAUACCCAUAAGUUUCUUUAGGGUAUCCUAUGAAGACGCAUUUUUCCGACUUGGGUUCGAGCUUUUCAGGUUGAAGUUUCUUGACAUAAGCAUCGCAUCCCCAAACUUUUAGAAACGACAGCUUAGGUUUCUUCCCAAACCAUAAUUCAUACGGUGUCGUCUCAACGGAUUUCGACGGAGCCCUAUUUAAAGUGAAUGCGGCAGUCUCUAAAGCAUAGCCCCAAAAAGAUAGCGGUAAAUCGGUAAGAGACAUCAUAGAUCGCACCAUAUCUAAUAGAGUGCGAUUACGACGUUCGGACACACCAUUACGCUGAGGUGUUCCAGGCGGCGUGAGUUGUGAAACUAUUCCACAUUUUCUUAAGUGUGUGCCAAAUUCGUGACUCAAGUAUUCUCCUCCACGAUCUGAUCGUAGAAACUUGAUUUUCCUGUCACGUUGAUUUUCAACCUCACUCUGAAAUUCCUUGAACUUUUCAAAGGUUUCAGACUUGUGUUUCAUUAAGUAGACAUACCCAUAUCUACUCAAGUCAUCAGUGAGGGUGAGAACAUAAUGAUAGCCACCGCGAGCCUCAACACUCAUUGGACCGCACACAUCAGUAUGUAUGAUUUCCAAUAAGUUGGUUGCUCGCUCCAUUGUUCCUGAGAACGGAGUCUUGGUCAUUUUUCCCAUGAGGCAUGGUUCGCACGUGUCAAAUGAUUCAUAAUCAAGAGACUCUAAAAGUCCAUCUGCAUGGAGCAUCUUCAUGCGUUUGACAGCUAUGUGACCAAGGCGGCAGUGCCACAAGUAUGUGGGACUAUCGUUAUCAACUUUAUAUCUUUUGGUACUCACACUAUGAACAUGUGUAGUAAUACGCUCGAGAUUCAUUAAGAAUAAACCAUUGACUAUCAGAGCAUGACCAUAAAACAUAUCUCUCAUAUAAAUAGAACAACCAUUAUUCUCAGAUUUAAAUGAGUAGCCAUCUCAUAUUAAACGAGAUUCUGAUACAAUGUUCAUGCUCAAACUUGGCACUAAAUAACAAUUAUUGAGGUUUAUAACUAAUCCCGUAGGUAAAUGUAGAGGUAGCGUGCCGACGGCGAUCACAUCGACCUUGGAACCAUUCCCGACGCGCAUCGUCACCUCGUCCCUAUCCAGUUUUCGUUUAUUCCGCAGCUCCUGCGGUGAGUUACAAAUAUGAGCAACGACACCGGUAUCAAAUACCCAGGAGUUACUACAAUUACUGGUAAGGUACACAUCAAUUACAUGUAUAUCAAAUAUACCUUUGGUUUUGCCGGCCUUCUUGUCCGCUAAGUAUUUGGGGCAGUUCCGCUUCCAGUGACCACUUUCCUUGCAAUAAAAGCACUCAGUCUCGGGUUUGGGUCCAUUCUUUGGCUUCUUCCCGACAGCUUGCUUGCUGGGCGCGGCAACUACCUUGCCGUCCUUCUUGAAGUUCUUUUUACCCUUUCCCUUCUUGAACUUAGUGGUUUUAUUGACCAUCAACACUUGAUGUUCCUUCUUCACUUCUACCUCUGCUGAUUUCAGUAUAGCAAAUACUUCAGGAAUGGUCUUUUCCAUCCCCUGCAUAUUGAAGUUCAUCACAAAGCUCUUGUAGCUUGGUGGAAGCGACUGGAGGAUUCUGUCAAUGACCGCAUCAUCCGGGAGAUUAACUCCCAGCGGAGUCAAGCGGUUAUGUAACCCAGACAUAGUGAGUAUGUGCUCACUGACAGAACUAUUUUCCUCCAUCUUACAGCUGAAGAAUUUGUCGGAGACUUCAUAUCUCUCGACCCGGGCAUGAGCUUGGAAAACCAUUUUCAGCUCUUCGAACAUCUCAUAUGCUCCAUGUCUCUCAAAACGCUUUUGGAGCCCCGGCUCUAAGCUGUAAAGCAUGCCGCACUGAACGAGGGAGUAGUCAUCGGAACGUGCCUGCCAAGCGUUCAUAACGUCUUGUUCUGCAGGGAGGACAGGUGCGUCACCCAGCAGUGCUUGUAGGACAUAAUCUUUCUUGGCAGCUAUGAGGAUGAUCCUCAGGUUCCGGACCCAGUCCGUAUAGUUGCUGCCAUCGUCUUUCAGCUUGGUUUUCUCUAGGAACGCGUUGAAAUUGAAUACUACAUUGGCCAUUUGAUCUACAAGACAUAUUGUAAAGAUUUUAGACUAAGUUCAUGAUAAUUAAGUUCAUCUAAUCAAAUUAUUAAUAAACUCCCACUCAGAUUAGACAUCCCUCUAGUCAUCUAAGUGUUACACGAUCCGAGUCGACUAGGCCAUGUCCGAUUAACACGUGAGACGGACUAGUCAUCGCCGGUGAACAUCUUCAUGUUGAUCGUAUCUUCCAUACGACUCGUGUUCGACCUUUCGGUCUUUGUGUUCCGAGGCUAUGUCUUCACAUGCUAGGCUCGUCAAGUUAACCCUAAGUGUUUUUGCAUGUGUAAAACUUCUUACACCCGUUGUAUGUGAACGUAAGGAUCUAUCACACCCGAUUAACACGUGGUGCUUCGAAACGACGAACUGUAGCAACGGUGCACAGUUAGGGGAGAACACUUCUUGAAAUUUUUGUAAGGGAUCAUCUUAUUUACUACCGUCGUCCUAAGUAAACAAGAUGCAUAAAACAUAAUAAACAUCACAUGCAAUUAUAUAAAGUAGUGACAUGAUAUGGCCAAUAUCAUAUAGCUCCUUUGAUCUUCAUCUUCGGGGCUCCAUGAUCAUCUUGUCACUGGCAUGACACCAUGAUCUCCAUCAUCAUGAUCUCCAUCAUCGUGUCUUCAUGAAGUUGUCACGCCAACGACUACUUCUACUUCUAUGACUAACGCGUUUAGUAAUAAAGUAAAGUAGUUUACAUGGCGUUCUUCAAUGACACGCAGGUCAUACAAAAAAUAAAGACAACUCCUAUGGCUCCUGCCGGUUGUCAUACUCAUCGACAUGCAAGUCGUGAUUUCUAUUACAAUAGCAUGAACAUCUCAUACAUGACAUAUAGAUCAUUCAUCAUUCAUCACAACUUUGGCCAUAUCAUAUCACAAAGCACUUGCUGCAAAAACAAGUUAGACGUCCUCUAAUUGUUGUUGCAUGUUUUACGUGGCUGAAGUAGGGUUCUAGCAAGAACGUUUUCUUACCUACGUGAAACCACAACGUGAUUUGUCAACUUCUAUUUACCCUUCAUAAGGACCCUUUUCAUCGAAUCCGCUUCAACUAAAGUAGGAGAGACAGACACCCGCCAGCCACCUUAUGCAACUUGUGCAUGUUAGUCGGUGGAACCGGUCUCACGUAAGCGUACGUGUAAGGUUGGUCCGGGCCGCUUCAUCCCACAAUACCGCUGAAGCAAGAUAAGACUAGUAGCGGCAAGAAAGUUGACAAAUCUACGCCCACAACAAAUUGUGUUCUACUCGUGCAAGAAGAACUACGCAUAGACCUAGCUCAUGAUGCCACUGUUGGAGAACGUUGCAGAAAACAAAAAUUUUCCUACGGUUUCACCAAGAUCCAUCUAUGAGUUCAUCUAACAACGAGUGAUUAGAUACAUCUACAUACCUUUGUAGAUCGCGAGCGGAAGCGUUCAAGGAACGGGGAUGAUGUAGUCGAACACGACGUGAUCCAAAUCACCGGAGAUCCUAGCACCGAACGGACGGCACCUCCGCGUUCAACACACGUAAGGAACAGCCACGUCUCCUCCUUCUUGAUCCAGCAAGGGGGAGGAGAGGUUGAGGGAGAUGGCACCAGCAGCAGCACGACGGCGUGGUGUUGAUGGAGCUGCAGUACUCCGGCAGGGCUACGCCAAGCACUAUGGAGGAGGAGGAGGUGUUGGAGAGGGAGAAGGAGGCAAACCAAAGGCCUGUGGUGGUUUUGCUCCUCCUUUUCCCCACUAUAUAUAGGGCCAAGGGAGAGGGGGAGGCGCAGCCCUUGCCCCUUCCUCCAAGGAAGGGUGCGGCCAAAGGGGGGGAGGAGUCCAUCCUCCCCAAGGCACCUCGGAGGUGCCUUCCCCCUUUAGGACUCUCCCCUUUUUUUCUUCUCUUGGCGCAUGGGCCUCUUGGGGCUGGUGCCCUUGGCCCAUGUAGGCCAAGGCACACCCCCUACAGCCCAUGUGGCCCCCCCGGGAUAGGUGGCCCCACCCGGUGGACCCCCGGGACCCUUCCGGUGGUCCCGGUACAAUACCGAUAACCCCGAAACUUGUCCCGAUGCCCGAAACAGGACUUCCCAUAUAUAAAUCUUUACCUCCGGACCAUUCUGGAACUCCUCGUGACGUCCGGGAUCUCAUCCGGGACUCCGAACAACAUUCGGGUUACUGCAUAUACAUAUCCCUACAACCCUAGCGUCACUGAACCUUAAGUGUGUAGACCCUACGGGUUCGGGAGACAUGUAGACAUGACCGAGAUCGCUCUCCGGUCAAUAACCAACAACGGGAUCUGGAUACCCAUGUUGGCUCCCACAUGCUCCACGAUGAUCUCAUCGGAUGAACCACGAUGUCGAGGAUUUAAUCAACCCCGUAUACAAUUCCCUUUGUCAAUCGGUAUGUUACUUGCCCGAGACUCGAUCGUCGGUAUCCCAAUACCUUGUUCAAUCUCGUUACCGGCAAGUCACUUUACUCGUACCGUAAUGCAUGAUCCCGUGACCAGACACUUGGUCACUUUGAGCUCAUUAUGAUGAUGCAUUACCAAGUGGGCCCAGUGAUAUCUCUCCGUCAUACGGAGUGACAAAUCCCAGUCUCGAUCCGCAUAAAACAAUAGAUACUUUCGGAGUUACCUGUAGUGCACCUUUAUAGUCACCCAGUUACGUUGUGACGUUUGAUACACCCAAAGCACUCCUACGGUAUCCAGGAGUUACACGCUCUCAUGGUCAAAGGAAGAGAUACUUGACAUUAGAAAAGCUCUAGCAAACGAACUACACGAUCUCACGCUAUGCUUAGGAUUGGGUCUUGUCCAUCACAUCAUUAUCCUAAUGAUGUGAUCCCGUUAUCAAUGACAUCCAAUGUCCAUAGCCAGGAAAUCAUGACUAUCUGUUGAUCAACGAGCUAGUCAACUAGAGGCUUACUAGGGACAUAUUAUGGUCUAUGUAUUCACACGUGUAUUACGAUUUCCGGAUAAUACAGUUAUAGCAUGAAUAAAGACAAUUAUCAUGAACAAAGAAAUAUAAUAAUAAUGCUUUUAUUAUUGCCUCUAGGGCAUAUUUCCAACAGGUACUGCACGCUGGCGAACGCGGGCGAGGGCGUGCGCUGGACCGGGCGCCCAUGGGGGAAGGUGAUGUUGGGGUUGAAACCACCGUGGACGUCGCUGUUAGCAUAGCCCGGCGACGGCGUGCUCCAUGGGUGUGGCGACGACGAGAAGUCGGCCGGAGAUCCGACGCUUUGCUGGCUCCAGGCCGCGUGCGGGCCGUGGCCGCCAGGUGGAUUCAUCAUCCCUGCAUGAGCCGCCUCGGCUUGUUCGGCCGUCGAGCGCUCCGCCUGCUCCGCGGCUGCAAGUGCCGCCCUCUCCCGGGCCUUCUUGGCCCUGUUGCGCCUAUCGGCGGUGACGGCCUCUCGGCGCUGCACUUCCGCCUUCCAGUCGGCGUUGCUCAUGCCCGGGGGCUUGGACGGCGGCGCCCUCUGCUUCGGCUGGGCGAUGGCGGCGGCUGUGGUAUCCGUCGCGGCGCGGGGGAACACGUACUUCUUUGGCGACAUGGCGACCAGCUUGGAAGAGAGGAGACAGAGUUUGGCGGGAGGAAUGGACAAUGAGAGGGAAGCCGAUGGGGGAAGCGGGAGGAAACGGCAGGAAAAGGGCCUCCUCUCGCUGACAGAGAGGCCCCACGCCCCUUUUCGCUUCUGCUGACGCCCCCAGGCGACACCCGGGCGCUUGGGUUCGGGUCGGGAUUGCCCGCUCUGGAUUUGCCCCAAACCGGCGCUAAAUGAGGUCCCGGGGGAGCGACUGGGCCGAUUUUCGGCCACCGAUGCUAAAUGAGGUCCUGGNNNNNNNNNNNNNNNNNNNNNNNNNNNNNNNNNNNNNNNNNNNNNNNNNNNNNNNNNNNNNNNNNNNNNNNNNNNNNNNNNNNNNNNNNNNNNNNNNNNNNNNNNNNNNNNNNNNNNNNNNNNNNNNNNNNNNNNNNNNNNNNNNNNNNNNNNNNNNNNNNNNNNNNNNNNNNNNNNNNNNNNNNNNNNNNNNNNNNNNNNNNNNNNNNNNNNNNNNNNNNNNNNNNNNNNNNNNNNNNNNNNNNNNNNNNNNNNNNNNNNNNNNNNNNNNNNNNNNNNNNNNNNNNNNNNNNNNNNNNNNNNNNNNNNNNNNNNNNNNNNNNNNNNNNNNNNNNNNNNNNNNNNNNNNNNNNNNNNNNNNNNNNNNNNNNNNNNNNNNNNNNNUACAGCCGCAUGUUACAGCGUGACUGCCAAGAAGCAAGUCACCUGAUCCCAGUCCACUUCCAAGACGUUGAAUGGGGCCAGAUGAUGACAUGAUCGACUUCCCCGCAGGUUAAGGCAUCUCAUAAAUAAGAUUCUGCCAAUAUAUCAUUUUUGUUGUUGCGAAAGGAAUCAGCAAAAGGUGAUGUUCCAGUUAGUGUUAGCUGCAUCAGUGACCAAGACUUUCAGGGUUCUCACAAUAAUAGACUUCAGGGUGUCAGCAACUGUGUCUCAUGAAAUUGGUUAGUUUGAGAGCUGCGGCAUGCCGCUGGUGGCAACACUAUCCUGCGUGGAUAGACAAUGGAUCAGUAGUUAAACGGGUAACACCAAAUUGGACAUGCAGGAGAACAUGCAGAUGUUCAUUGUCCAUAAACAGAGCAUCAGGUUCCUCUCCUAUGCUGCAGUCACCGGCCAUGCCACAAUCCUUGACUGAAGGGGCUCAGUAGGAUACCAUGACCAAACUCCUUGGACGGAUUCCGAACCUCCGCACUGUCAGCAAGGCCGCAAGGCGGAUCCUACUCGACUUUGCUAUGACAGAAGAAUUAGCUUUUCUAGUAAAUCAAUCAAAUAUAUGAGCGUUAGCUGCUAUACCAAAGAGACUGAAGCAUGGCAAAAUUACAGGAGUUCUCCCAGCCAUUGUAUAGAAAUCUCACAGAGUCUCACACGUCCUUGCAUAGAAAGCUUCAUAACAUCAACAGACAUAGGAAUAUGCUCUGCAGUUUUCCCACAUUAGGCCAGUAUAAGCAAGACCAGAGUUAAUAGGAGAAAUGACAAGUGCCAAUUAGAUGAACAUAAUACAUAACGAAGCCAACAAUCCGCUACAUGCAUAACAACCGGUUGGUACAGCUAGUGCACAAAAGAUACCUAGAGAUUAAAGCAUUCAUAGGGUAAAUAUUCUAACAUUUGUCUUGAGCUCCCUGAAGCACAGAAGCUGGAAACUUGCCAUAGUAUGGCACGUAGAGUAGACUUCGAUAGAGGUCAACAAACCUUGGAAUGUUUAGAAUCUGCGAGCCCUUUCCAGUACUGAUGCUAUAUGAGAUGAUCUUAUUAUCAGCAACUGUGUCAGCAAGGUAAACUAGCUCUCUCUCCAAGUCAAAUGCCAGGAUUUCAUAAUCAAAGUACCAUAAUCCUUCAUUGUUAGUAUGGAGCAUUAUGUCCCUCCCAAAUACAUUGUUCAUAUUUAGACGAUGCUUCACCACCCACCUAUCAGAUCCUUCCAAACUCCAAAUUCGGAUGAAACAACCAUCUAAUUCUUGUUGUGCAUAGCAUAGGACCCCAGAUGACUGCCAAAGACGCCCGUCAAAGCAAUAAAACCUCUGAUCUGGUCCAUAUGGAAACCCUGGCAACUGAAUGGUCCUAUGAUUGAGCUGCUGUGCGCAUGUGUCAG